rnacentral:lncRNA from 1 species
AGAAAACACCACCACCUAGGAACCAUGGAUGUUGCAUACCAACUCCUGCAAGUGAUCACCACACCUCUAGCACUACCACUCCUACUGCUAGUCCCCCUCCUGCUGCUGCUCGCCUCCACCUCUCGCCGAAGCCGUCAUGGCAGCAAGCAGCAACUGAAGCGUCCCGUGCUGCCUCCUUCCCCUCCGGCCCUGCCCAUCAUCGGCCACCUGCACCUCGUCGGCGACUGCCCGCAUGUCUCCCUCCGCAGCCUCGCCGCGAAGCAUGACAGCGGCGGUCUCAUGCUCCUCCGCCUCGGCACCGUCCCGAACCUGGUCGUGUCGUCGCCGCGCGCUGCGCAGCUUGUCAUGCGCACGCACGACCACGCCUUCGCCUCGCGGCCGACGUCCAGGAUCUCGGACGCCCUGCUUUACGGGUCGUCGGACAUCGGCUUCUCCCCCUACGGCGAGCACUGGCGCCAGCUCAGGAGGCUCGUCACCACGCACCUCUUCUCCGUCAAGAAGGUGAACUCAUACCGCCUCGCCCGGCAAGACGAGGUAAUUAACUAACUAAUUAUAUAUACUGUCAACGUGAAAUUUAUGCAGCAUACAUGCACUUACCAUGCAUCUAUGAUCUGUUCCUGCGUGCUUAGGUGCGCCUGGUUAUGGAGAAGAUCAGGGAGGCGGUGGCCCGGUGCAAGUCGGUGGACAUCAGCGAGAUGAUGAACACGUUCGCAAACGACAUCGUGUGCCGGGCCGUGUCGGGCAAGUUCUUCAGGGCGGAAGGCCGGAACAAGCUCUUCCGGGAGCUGAUUGAGACGAACACUAGUUUGAUUGAUGGGUUCAACCUGGAAGAGUACUUUCCAGGGCUAGCAAACGUGUUAGGUUCGCUCACCAGCUGGUUUGCGAGUAACAAGGCCGAGAAGACACACAAAAUAUGGGAUGAGUUGCUUGAAACGAUAAUAAGCGAUCACGAGGGACGGGGAAGAAGCUCUGAGCAGGGGCAUGUUGUUGGCGGUGGUGUUGAGCAAGAAGAGACUGACUUCGUCGAUGUGUUACUCUCAGUUCAGAAGGAGUAUGGUAUCACCAGAGACCAUAUCAAGGCCAUCUUGAUGGUGACGUACUUAUUUCAAUAAAUACUAGUCUCUAUAUCAUUAGAGAAAAAUAUAACCUGGUAGCUCUAAUUGUUUCACCGAACCUAAAUAACGUGUCUGUAUAUAUCCAGGACAUGUUUGGUGCGGGCACGGACACGUCAUCAUUAGUUCUAGAACUCGCGAUGGCGGAGCUCAUGCGCAGCCCUCAGCUCAUGACCAAGCUACAAGUUGAGGUGAGGGAAAACACACCCAAAGGACAAGAAAUGGUGGCGCAAGAUGACAUAGCUAGCAUGACAUAUCUAAGAGCUGUGGUGAAGGAGACGCUCAGGCUGCACCCACCAGCGCCGCUGCUUCUCCCUCACAUCUGUAUGGUGGACUGCGAGGUCGAUGGCUACACGAUCCCCUCUGGGACGCGGGUCAUCAUCAACGAAUGGGCUAUUGGUAGGGAUCCGGAGUCCUGGGAGAAAGCGGAGGAGUUCAUGCCAGAGAGGUUCCUUGAAGGUGGCAGUGCUGCGGCUGUCGAUUUCAGGGGCAAUGACUUCCAGUUUGUGCCGUUCGGGGCUGGCCGGAGGAUCUGCCCUGGCCUCAACUUUGGCAUGGCUACUGUUGAGAUCAUGCUGGCAAACCUUGUGUACUGCUUUGACUGGGAGCUGCCUGCUGGCAUGGAGAAGGAGGACAUAGAUCUGACGGAGGUAUUUGGGUUGACUGUCCAUCCCAAAGAGAAGCUCAUCCUGGUUCCAAAACCACGUGGUAGUGUUGGUCAUGCCGCGUAAGUAGAGUGAUCCUAUAAGCCUUGUUUGGAAACACAACAAUAAUCCUCUUCAAUCCAUACCUACUGGGAGGGGUUGAAGGAAAUUUAGUGUUUUCUAGAGUAAUCCACAUGUAUCGAAAGGGAAUGAGUUCAUCCAAACAUGGUUCGUGAGUGUGCAUCUACAGGCUACAGCACAUAUAGACAUCCUUGUGCCCUUUUGGUAUAGUAGCCAUAUGUAUACGAUGCUACUUUACUCGUUGUAAGUACUGUAAGACGAAAAAAGCAUGCACGUUCAUUCACCAUAUAAAUGGUACAUAUUGUUCAUUAAAGUUCUGAUAAAACAAUAUGCAGUAUAAUAUAUUAUAUAUGAAUCCUGAUGUGAUUACACAAUUAGUUGGGUCAAACUUUACGGAAUCUCUAGUGAGCGGUGGCAAUGGGCGAGACGAAAUCGACUAGGGAAGUAUGUAUACGUAGUAGACGAGGCAACAUUGAUUAAGUAGCGCGCGGGAUUGUUUGCCUGAGAGUCUUGGUUUUGUAAACUUUUGUGUUUUCUUUCAUUUUAAUAUAUAAUCAGUAGGGGUGCUCCCCCUCUGUUACAUAAAAAAACUGCCUGCUUCAGGUAGGAAUCUCAGGCGUCCAAUUUCGUCAGCCUGCGGCUGGCGCAAGCAAACAGGCUUAAUCAGCAUUGCAGGCAGCUGCGCAGGGCAGCCAGGUAGUGAUCUCACCUAGGCCGAUGAAAUCGUGCGUCUCGGGGCACUGCCUGUGCCAGGCUUCUUUCUCCUCCUCCCAAUUCCUCCCCCAUCCUAAAUUACUAUUCAUUUUAUCUAGUGUAAAAAAUCAAAAACGAAUAGUAAUUUAGGAUAGAGGGAGUAACUAACAGCCGCUAAAUCUCCAAUUCUCCAUACAUACUAAGAAGAGCAGAGGGUGCGCUAAAUCUCCAAUUCUCCAUACAUACUAAGAAGAGCAGAGGGUGGGUGGGAGGUAGUUGCUGUUGGUCUUAGUCAGUUCUUGUUUGGUAGCAGCAGAUUGAAGUGGAAAUUAGUUCAUUUUAGACUCAAUCCCCUUUAUUCUACUCCAAUCUACUACUACUCAAACAAGGGCUCAAUGAGCCGAGGACCAUUUGGGGUGGAGCAGAGGAGUUGAAGGGCUAACAGCUAUCAGAUAAAAUUCCUUAUUUGCAAUCAGAAUUUAUAUCGCUUCCUUAUUUGCCACGGAAAAGGUUUCCCUUCCUUAUUUGCUAUUGGCUCAAAAUUGCAUUCCCUGUUUGCCAUCAAAUGAGUUAACUUGACGUUAAAAGAUGGUCUUACCCUUAUGCUAUAAGGACACAUUGUUGUAAAAUUUGAUUGGCUGCAUAUGCAUGGGAUCAACUCAUUUUUAAGAAACAUUAGGCUAAUAUGGAAAAAGAAAACAAGUUGCAAUACAAAUUAUACAAUAAUGUGCUCCUAUAUCAUGAGGGUAAAACUAUCUUUUCAUGUCCAACUUAACAUUGUUGAUGGCAUAUAGGGAAUACAAAUUUGACUCGAUGGAAAUAAGGAAGGCAAACUUUUUGAUGGCAAAUGAGGAAACGACAUAAAUUCCGAUGACAAAUAAGGAAUUUUCUCCUAUCAAGGUUACGGAAUCGUUGAAGUGAGGUAUUAGGCAAGGUUUCUAGUGCACACAUUGUAUUCGUCCUGUAAAAACAUAAAUUCUUAAUAUGAUGCUUAUGAUAAGUAAAUUAGUUAUUUUAAGGUAGUAUGUUGCAGGACAACACCAUGCUGGUCAUCUUUGUCCAACGGCGGCUAAGAAACAUGAAGGCAGAAUGAUGCAGUUGAGGUAACUAUAGUAGACAAGCUUUAGCGACUGAAAGAAGAGUCGUGACUUGUGUGGUUUGUUACUUUUGUCUUUGUCAUGUUUUUUUCUAUCAUGAACUUUUGUCUUUGUCAUGUUUUUUUCUAUCAUGAACUUUGUCUUGUUAUUUCAGACGAUGGAGAAUAUAUACAACGAUAUAGACAAUUAGACGAUGGAGAAUAUAUACAACGAUAUAGACAAUUAGUACUAUAAAUCAACUUUUCCUAAUCUUAUGUUGGUUGCAGAACUGACUCGUUUGGCAGGUACGUGUUGAUAGCUAAAUUUGACAGAUAAUUGAAAUGGACCCGAAUUCCCAUUUCUCAGAAUUUAAGCCUACGCACCCCGGUGAUACACCAAGGAAGGCUAUCACAUACAAAUCCCUAUCUCGGAUAGUACAAAUCCAUACUAGCAUAGAAAUAUAGAGCAACAACAGAGUACAGAUAUCAUAAGUAUCGACUACAUCUCUUCGGCACAUGCCGGUACAAGUCCAUCAGGACUGAAUCAAGAAAGGUAAAACAUCUACGCAGCGGAAACAUAAGCUAUGUUGAACUCCAUCUUGAAAGUCAACUCGAGCGAAGGACCAUCCCUGGUCUUCCCAUCCAUCGUCGUCGAAGUCGUAGUCGGGCUCCGACCCUAAAAUGCCACCAUCUACCCGAGAAGUGGGUAAGCCAUGUCAACUCCUAAUAGCAGCAAGCCAAGGAAAUGGGGGAAUUAUACUAUAUGUAUGAGUAAACCUAUAUAUGGCUCUAGAGGUUUAUGCAGCAGCAACAACAAUAAAGGAAGCAGCAAAGCAACACCAUCUUCGAGGUCGACACCUCAAUCAAGGAAGUUGGCACAAAUCAGCAGAUCCUUCACCCAAGAGUCCAACACCCAAACACACUACGCGAUGUGAGAGCUCCCUUCCCUCACAUCUCACAUCUCAACGGCAAAUGCCAGCCUAUUUCAAAAAAAGGGAAGGUAGAAGAAUAAGAAAAGUCCACUCAGAAGUAGAGGUAGUCAACGGUACUGUCCAUAACCAGUGGACACGGACUAUAGCUAUAGCUUUAUUCACUCUACAGAGGUUGUACAACUGUAUUUGCACGGAUGGAGUCGGAAUGGUAGCGAUCCAUCCAAACCCCAUGUAACAGCCGGAGCCCUAGUAGGUGGAUAGCUCUCUCCUGUUUCCUCGAGCUUGGAACCGUCCUCAGCUGCAAGGCAUGCCGUCACCAGUGAGGAUGUCGAAACUGUGAAGCCUACCCAUGUCGGGGUGCAAUUUGGUCACAGCAGGGCAACGCCUCGAACUCCUUACACAAUCCUCCAAUCCGCCUACAGGGUGAGCACUGUCUACCACUAGUCUCAGACCAAACCCUGCCCAUAACGUAAGCGAGCGGUCUAUACGAAAAUAGCUUCUGUGACUGGUGGUAAACUAACUCGGUCCUUAAGCAGCUAAGAGCGAGCACUCUAUUCCACAAGUAUGUGCCAAAGUACCUGCAACGUACAAGUACACCAUCUGCUCCUCAGAAACAAACAAGGUACCCGCCACAGGUAUGGGGUAUAGAGAGAGUCCAGAAUGCUCUCUCUCGGCAAGGCACUCCUUAGUACCAACCACGGCUCACUCCCACCAAAACACAUAAAGGAGUCACACUCACCCAAAACACAUGCGAGAGUGUUCAAGGGAUACCCAUCACCAAAACCAUGGCAUAUGCCCAUCCAUAACUCAAAAGCAUGUAUAUGGAUAUAUGAGCGGUGGUCUAUGUAGGGGUUUGUAGCUAGUCCAUAAAAAUAUGUAAAUAAGAAAAACAAGAUAAACAAUUAUCAACGCAUGGCUAAAACAUUGGCUAUGCAAUCCAUCAUCAUCAAGCAUCAUAAAUAAAGCGCUAGCAACUAAGCAUGCAUAUGAUCUAUAUGUUUGGGAGUGACAUGACACCUUGUCUAUAGUUGUUUGGAUCUUCCUCAGUGCCGUCGGGGUCUUGAGGGUCUUUCCGGUCGUAGCUCGGGUCUGAACAGAAUGAGAUACGGCCUAAAGUAAAUUAAACAGCAUUACAUCUAGGCAAAAACUCUAAGAACGCUAAAUUUAGAAGAUCCAAAUAACACCAAACUAGCUUCAAAUAGCACAGGCUCGAUUUUACGAAUUUAUUGCAACUAGUUUCAUAUUUUUUGGAGUUAAAAUUAAUUAGUUAUGAAUUUUUAAAGAUUAAACAAUUUAUUUAAUCAUUUAAAUAAUUUUGAAAAACAUUUAGUAAAGAUGACACGUGUCAGCACCUAGUUGUGCCAUGUGGUAGCACGAGAGUGCGCCACAUGUCUGCUGAUGUCAGUGUUGACCGGUCAAUGGCCACCAGAACGCGUGCGUGUACAGCGGAGGAAGAAGAAGAACGGGGACGGCUGACGGGUGGGCCCAACGCGUUGGCGAGAGAAAAGGGGUGAGGGGCGUGGCGUUGGUUAGGGUGGGCCAACAGGGCCGGCGACGCGGCCUGCUGUGUUGAAAGCAGUGUGGGUUAGGGUGAGGCGGGCCAAGCCGGUUUCGUAAGCCGGGUCGAAGGCGGGUGAGGGUGAAGCGGGGCAAGCCGGUGGGCUGCGGCUGGCCUGGUAAGUUGGGUGGGUUAGAUACAUUUUGUUUUUAUUUAGAUUUAGGUUUAGAUUUAUAUUUAGUUUGACUUUUGAAUUAUAUUCAAAAUUCAAACACACACUCAAACUUAAGAUCCAAAUAAAAGUGCAAGAAGAUCCAAAUCAAUCCACACAAGUUUUCAAAAGAUUUUUGAUUUAAUUCUUAGGGAUUUAGAUGAGAUGAGAAUGUGACUUUUAUUUUUAAACGAGCACACAAUUCAAACAAAAAGUUUUAAAUUUUUGAAAAUUUCACUCAAAUUAAUAUUACAAAUUUUUGAAAUAUUACAAUCUCCACCCAUGGGAAUCUCGUCCUCAAAAUUAUGCUUCAAGCUCUUCCUCAAAUAGGUGCGGAAACUCCUUCUUUAGAUCAGACUCUUUCUCCCAAGUUGCCUCUCUCUUAGUAUGGUUGCUCCAAAGAACUUUACAGUAAGGAACGGAUGUCCUUGUCGCUUUCUCUGUGUGAGCCAAGCUAUUGACUAGGUGUGCUGCAUACUCCAAAGUGUCUUGUAGGUCUAACGCUUCAGUGUGAACCUCCUCCUCGGGAACUCUCAACACUUCCUCAACUGCGAUACAUGGAACACUGGGUGUAUUCUAGCCAUGCUUUCCAGUAGGGCAACCUUGUAAGCGAGAUCUCCAAUUCGCUUAACCACUUGGUAGGGUCCUACAAAUCUCGGCGCAAGCUUUCCUUUAAUCAGAAACAUCUUGAUUCCAUGGAGCGGUGAGACUUUGAGGUAAACAUGAUCUCCAUCUUCAAAGGACAUGUCUCUCCUCCUCUUGUCUACGUAGCUCUUCUAGCGACUGUGAACAAUCUUUAGGUUCUCUCUAACCUUGCUCACGUUCUCUUCAGCCUCCUUAAUAGUUACUGGCCCAAAGAGGGUCCUUUAUCCAACCUCGGACCACAUCAGUGAUGUUCUGCACUUUCUUCCAUAGAGAGCCUCAAAAGGUGACAUCUGAAGACUAGCUUGCUAUUUGCUGUUGUAGGAAAACUCGUCAAAAGACAAGCUGCUCUCCCAGUCAGUGCCGUAGGUAAGCACACAAGCUCUCAGCAUAUCCUCCAAGAUUUGUUUUACUCUUUUAAUCUGUCCAUCAAUCUAUGGGUGAAACGAUGUGUUGUACUUCAAGGUAGUACCCAUAGCCUUAUGAAAGCUCUUCCAAAACUUGGCAACAAAUUCUGGUCCUCUGUCGGACACAAUACUCUUAGGUUGUGGGACUUUUUUGCAAAACAACCAUGAUGUUGGAAGAAACAACCGCACUAUAAUAUUAAGGUAGAGAUAGAUAUCUAAAUUUGUUAAGUCUAAGUCUAGCUGCCUUCCAAAAUAAGAGGACGUCACAGCCGAUUGGAAAAGCCCACAUAAUUGAAAAACACAUACUAUGUUAUUUUCUCAUUCUUAAUUUUUCUUAGGGUUAGCUAUGAUUAGCUUGUACAUAGGUCAUUUGUUCCAUGUAAAUGAAACAGUUUUUGUUGUUUUGUUGGAAACCUUCCAUUGUCGCUUCGGUAGUAGGAGCCAGAGCGGAACGCUUUCCCAAUCAGAUUGCCCAAGGCGGCAUGGUUCCUGCACGAACCGUAGUGGAUUUUGUGGAGGAGUUCAAGGCCUUCGUUGUGGAGUAUGUACUUCAUCAGAAUGCUGGUAGAUGCAGCCUUCUUGUACAACUCCUUACCUAUAAAAAUGUAGUUGGUGCUGCAUCGUGCGAUCUUUACGUGCUCGGCUUUGUUCUCUGAGGACAUGUUGUCAGUGAUGAAUGCGAUGAAAGGUGCGUGCCAGUCUUCCUCCGCCUCGAUCACUAGGAGAUUGGUGGGCGCUGGGUCAGUCGGAGCUUCGGUGUUCCCGUUAGCUAGGUCCGGGUCCAAUAUCUUGAUAGAGGGUGAUGGGCCCAUAGACCCGAUCUCCCCAAUGGGACCACCUUCCACCUACAGUGCUUGGCCCAACAAGAAGUGCGGUGACGAUGCAUAUCCGGGAUGGCCCAGAUACGCAACGCAAGCUGAGACCUAGAUCCGGCCACCGACUGGAUCCUCUAACCAAGAGGCCUGGUCGGCGCCCCAACCAGAAGGGUCAAGUCGGGGGUGGGACCACAGUCUGACCCUGACCGAGUUCCCACGACCGAGGAAGCGCCGUACCAACCACACCACUCCCACUGACUGGCACGGUCGGAGCUGACUGGGACAAUCGACCGGGGACGCCUGCUCGAUUAGGGCCUAGGGAGUAGGUGGAACGGAUAAGAGGAAGCGCCCAGGUCAACUACUGUACGAGGAAUUGUACCGCAGCAUGCCCUGCGCACACCUUGCACAUUGCCGCCACAACCUACCCGCCACAACAGAGUGGCCUAACGAGAUGAACAGGGACAAAGGAUGGAGGCCAUACCAUACCUGACGAUGUGGGGCUUUGACAAGACUUGGUAGCGCCCGCACACACUCUCUCUCCCUCUCUGACUUGUAAGGCUGUCCCCUUGUACUAUAAAGGGGACGGGUCCUCCCUAUCUGAAGGGGGACUCACUCGCGGGCUUCAUCACUUCCACAUAGUGCAUGUCUGAACCCCCAGUCACUCUCUCCAACUUGGACCAGAGCACGACCAGGUCUCGGACACUCCCUCUCAUCCCUCUCUCGUUUGUACCCCUACUGCAAACUUUGAGUACCUGGGCUUAGGAAUAUAGUCGACCAACCAUCCUCGACUAGAUGUAGGGCUCGUUGCUAGUGUACAUCCUGUGUCAUUAUAUGCUAGGUCACAUCUGAUCUAUCGCACGGUAAAACUACAAUAUUUACUAGUCGGCCAGAUUUUGCACCGAUAGUUGGCGCCAUCCAUGGGAAGGACGUCGUGCGUUCGCGUUUUUGUAGGUCAUCGGAUGGCCCACCUUCCUGCUACUUUCGGCAUGAUGAGCUGAAGUGACACGAUUCGCUUUGGCUCACUAGAGUUUCCCACACCUACACUCGCUGGGAUGUGGGUUGCGCCCGUCUUCGCGCCAUCCUAGACCUUCCGGUUUGAAAGUCCGAACUUUGUCGCCGAUCAGCUCAGCGUACUCCACCUCCAUGAGGAGGCAGCCACCCUGGCAUCCUAGGAGGAGGAGCUCCCUCCAUCGAUCGUGAGCCGCUCGACAAUCUCGGCAUUGAGAUGCUCGCGCUCCGCAUCGAGUUCGCGUUGGACUCGAACCCCAUGGUGAGUGACAUGGACACUGUCAUGUACUCACUGAUCAACAUGUUCCGCCAGCUCUCCAAAGGGACCCCGCUGUCUCCGCCAUGCUGGCCACGUGGCUGGUUGCCCUAUGGUCUCACAUCCUCUGUGGAUGCGUAUGCACGGGUGCUCUGGAGGGUCAUGACAUCGCCCCCCUCACCCAUGCAAGUUCAUGGGAAUGGUGGAUUACAUUCCCACCUUCUUCCAUGAGCUCUACAACGAGGAGAUAGAGAGUGACGCUCUAGCAUCGGUGACAUCAUGGCAUCCAGUGAUCGUCUAUCCCGGGACUGCACCAUGGCGGACAUCCCGGGACAACCAUUGGAGGUGGUGGAGUCUUAGAGGGCUCACACCCCACCGGAUGACCACGCGGAGGCCCAAGCGUAGGCGUAGGCGCACAGCGACAAACCGCGUCAACAGCGGUAGGCCCAGCAGCCACCCGUGCCGGCGCGUCCAGCGGCGCGCUCUGAGCUACACGCGUGCAACCCAGUGAGCAGCGCUCGAGGCCGCCCCCGCCAGGUCCAACGCAACAUCCUAGCUAGGGGGGACAACGCCCCAUAGUUUGCUCAGGCUGGCUAGAACAUCACCGCAGCAGCUAUGCUUCUGCGCAGCCUCCUUGAGCCUGUCGACCCGCAGGAGCAGGCAAUCCACUAGAACCUCCGAGCGCUGGUAGAGACCGCCGCCAUCCAGUAGGUAGAAAGCUCCGCAUCACGACAACAGCUCACGGCCUCUUGCCCGACCGGGGCAUUAGGGCCGCACCAGCUGAACCGCUCUAUCCGGUCUCCCCUCCAGCCGCAUCGUGUAGGGUAGAGUGCCGUAGCUGCGUGAUAGCUCGACCCCGCACCGGCUCCACAUCAUCAGCACGUGUGUGACCGGCUCGGACUGAACCAUGAUGCACGUAGCAUCAUCCACGCGCGACGCCUGGCUCAGCACAACGGCGGACCUCAAGAAGGUCUUCAUAGGGAACUUCCAGGUGACCUACGUCUACCCUGGGAACUCCUGGGACUUCAAGAGUUGCAAACAGGAGCCCAAACAGUCCCUGCGGGUUUACAUCCGUAGGUUCUCGAGGCAAUGCAACUCCCUCCCUAAUGUCAUCAACGCAGACAUCGUUAGUGUAUCCCUCUCCGGGAUGACUUGCAAAUCCUUGCUCCACAAGCUCAGCUGCAUCAAGCCCCAAGCCACCCACGACCUGGUUGACAUCACCAUGAACCACGCCUUCGGCGAUGAGGCGGUUGGGACACUCUUCAGCAGCGGUCGGGAUGAGGGCAAGGCCAAGCGUGAAGUUUAGGAUGAAGGCCCCCCACAUAGAGAGGCAAGAAGAACAAGAAGGACCGUACACGGUGGUCGAGGUGAACCGUCCAAGCACCUACCGACUCAAGCACGAUGACAGCAACAUUCUCACCAGCACAUGGAACAUUGAGUAGUUACAUCAUUUCUUUCCCUAACUCAUUUCAUUAACAGUCAUUUUCCAUUCAACACUUGCUCCUACAGCACCCCAGCCCGAGCACUCUCGGCCUGGGUUGCUCGAGGGCUCCACGGGAGUGUGGCACCACCCUCUCUUUACUUUUGCAAACUCAUGCACUUCGCUCAAAUGAAAGGGUGCGCCCAAACGAAAGGGCAUCCCAUCCUCUAAACUACCCUAAGUAACUUACACUCUAGCUUGCGACUGAUAAAACCCCACCACGACUAUGGUUACAAGCAGUUGAGCCUCAUGGGCCACGCUCGGGUUCUUAAGGUUGCAGCCUACGGUCAACGGGCAGGUUUGAAAGGAUAAAGAUGGGAAUAGGUGGGACAAGCUUCCCAUCAUGAUCACAAAAGAACUUAAAUUUUUUUGCUCGGUGGCUCUCAGUCCCUCGCGAAAUUCAUUAUGAUACAAAAACUAACUAAUUCUAUGAAUUCUACUACUAUCCCCUGGUCGGGUCGGAUGGUGGUGCGGCUAGCAAAGAUGAAGGUGCCUCAGUCACGGUCGGGAUGAUGCUCGGCUCAGUUACGAUUGGGGCGACACUCGGCUCCAACCCAGUCUCCGUCAUUUCAACAGGCUGGAUGAUGCGUCCCUAGCCCACACCUACAGCCUCCAUCGAGCAGCGAGCCUCCAUCACCCACUGCACGGUGGUAUGCUCGGCGACCACCUGCACGUGCACCACCAAGCUUUCCCCAGUGCCUGGAUCUUGUUCGAGUUCAAUCGAUCGGCGUACCCUCCGCAGAUGGUCGUGAAGUUCAGGGUGGGGUGGUGGGUCACCACUGACAUCAGCACCCUCGACACCCCGUAGAACACGCCUUUAGAGUUGAGCACCCAAACCUCAUCCGGGAUCUCAGGCAUGCUGGUGCUCGAGCCCGACCCGAGCACCUCAGCAACCACCACCCGCGCCACUCAGGUCAGUCAGACGACUCAGGCAUCUGAUGGGAGACAAGUAAGAAAUAGUGGAGUGUUGCAUAUAGGACAUGCCGUCCCCGUCAUGAAUGACGGAUCCGGAUUCCACUCGGGUAUGCCUGCUAAGGGUGCCCUGAGCUUGUCGCUCGAACCAUCAAAGGUAAACUACAUCAGCUUAACCCCUCUGGUUGCAGAAACCGUGGAUGGGGUCAUGCCUAGAAAUCUGACCAAGGUAAUAUUACUGACCCCCCAUUUACUUUCUCAGCGUAUGAGCACCCAUUCAUUCAUCCAUAUCAUGCAUGCAUGCAAUCAUUCAUGCAUUCAUCCCAUACAUACAAUUAUUGCAUUACAAUUGCUUUGCGUCGCAUCAAAAAGCAAUAGCCACUCGUUCAAAAUGAGCCGCGACUGACCGGUGUUCGAAGGCCAGUCCACGAAGGGCUCGAGACUGCCUCGCGUCAAACAGAGCUAGGGGAGAAAACACAAAUGAGCCCUAGCGGCCUUCGCCCGAUCCUCUCAGAAGUGGAUGGGGUCAUCUCGACCUUCUCGUUUGAUCCUGACGCCCACAGAAUCUCCAUCGAGGGGAGGCUAGCAGGCUACCCGAGUCGGUCUUUGGAACGGCUUGGGCAUCUGCUGGGAGGUAGGUUAAGGAGUAGUGGAGUGCCACAUGAGGGCUAUACUGACCAUGUUAUGAACAACAGACCCGGAUUCCACUCGAACAUGCCCAUUAGCGGGCUCACCGAGUGCGUCACUUGAGCCAUCGACGCAAGUAAUGUUAGCUCAACCCCUCCGGUUGUGGAAACCGCAGAUAGGGUGAUGCAUGAAAAACGUGACCGACCGACCGAGCUCAAUGGAGCUUAGGGGCUCGGGCCGCCAGAUCCCAACUCUAGGACAUGACCGACGACAUAGGUCGCGGUUGGAACACACAUAGGCAAGUGCCCCGACUCGCAAUAGGGACUACCUCAUACCAACCGAUGGGGACACAAGAGUACAUGGCUCCAGAAAAGAGUACCUAAGUGCUCAACCUGCAACCGACUCCCCACUCAGCCGCAGGCUCAGGGGCUAGACCCACCGGGUCCACUCGCGCGAACCCGGUGGAAGACGAACUACCAACAAGUCCCCUUCUCGGGAACUAGGAACCUAUGCCUACUCAGCGCACCUCCGUGGCCCACGCCAGACCUCCUCAGGGGCUGGGCGCCUGAAUCGACCUGGUGCGCCUCUGUGGCCUCUGCCAGUCAUCCCCUCGAGGGUUGGGCGCCUGUACCUGCUCGGGGGCUAGAUGCACGAUCCUACUCCACUACCCUACGUGACGCGGUAGACAAAGGGGAGAAAGCCAAGAGUCCCAACAACUAUCUGCCUCCAUGGCGCAAUGGGAACAUGAAACAUAUAACGAUGAAAGCCUUCAUUAAGCUAAAAAGAGCAGCAACCUGCCGAUCAAACGCAACAGCCCCUUCACGGCUUCAAAAAAGCACCUUCCCCCUGUAGUGCUUGGCCCAACAAGGGGUACAACGAUGACGCGUAUCCGAGCCGGCCCAGAUACGCAAUGCAGGCCGAGGUCAAGAUCCUCUGACUAGGAGGCCUGGUCAGCACCAUGACCAGAAGGGUCUAGUUGGGGGUGGGACCAUAGUCUGACCCCAACCGAGUUCCCUCAGCUGGGGAAGCGACGUACCAACCACCCCCUCUGACCGGCAUGGCCGGGGCUGACUGGGAUAAUCGACUGGAGACGCUCGCUCGGUGAGGGCCCUGGGAGCAGGUGGAAUGAAAAAGAGGAAUCGCCCAGGUCAACUAUCAUAUGAGAAACCAUACCACACCACGCCCUGCACACACCCCCACACUGUGCUGCCACAACCUACCCGCCACAACGGAGUGGCCAGACGAGAUGAACAGGGACCAAGGAAUAUAGUCGACCGACUGACCCCAACUAGACGUAGGGCUCAUUGCCCGAACUAGUAUACAUCCUAUGUCAUUGUGUGCUAUGCCAUAUCUGAUCUAACGUACGGCAAAACUACAAUAUUUACUAGACGAACACGCUGACUGGGACCUGGGCGCAUUUUGAGCUGAGCUUGGAUAGGAUGUCAACGACGACAUUCUGUUCCCAAGGGACAUGAUGGAACUUGAGACCAUCGAAGUAAGACCUGUGUUUGUGCACCUCGGUGCAGUGGGCGUCCAUGGUUUCCUUGGUGCACUCCCAAGUCUUGUUGACCUGCUUGAUGACAACCUUGGAGUUGCCAAAUGUGAGGAUGCGCUUAAUGCCGAGAGAAGCGGCGAUGUGGAGCCCGUGUAUGAGGGGUUUGUACUCAGUGCUGUUGUUGGUAGCCUUGUAGUGGAUUUGGAGGAUGUACUUGAGCUGCUCACCUUUCGAGGAUAUGAACGGAACCCCGCGCCCGCUCCUUCGAGGUUGAGUGCGCUGUCGAAUUACAUCAUCCAGUGUUCCAGCCUCUCCAAGGAGGGAGGCUCUUGGAUCUUAGUCCAUUCAGUAAUGAAGUCGGUCAAGAUCUGGGACUUGAUCGCAUGACAUGGGCAAAAGACGAUGUUGAAUGCACCAAGCUCCACAGACCAUUUGACGACUCGGUCGUGGACAUCCUUGUUGUGCUGGAUUUCAUCGAUUGGGUAGAAGGAAACCACUUGGAUCUUGUGCACUUGGAAGCAAUGACACAGCUUACAAGAGGUCAUCAGGAUUGCGUAGAGCAUAUUCUGGACCUGUGUGUAGCGGACCUUGGAGUCGCUCAAGACCUUGCUAACAUAAUAUACCAGCCUUUGUACCAUGUGGGCGUGGCUAGGUUCCUCAUGUUCUACAACUAGCACCAUGCUCACAACGUGUGCAAUUGCGGAUAUGUAUAGCUGCAGCAUUUCUUAGUCGGCCGGAGCCGUCAUGACGGGAGGGGUGGAGAGGAAUGUUUUGAGUUCAUCGAGGGCCUUGUGGGCCUCGCCAUCCCACUAAAACUUGUCUGCCUUCUUGAGUAGUUUGAGUAAGGGAAGUCCCUUUUUGCCGAGCUUGCUAAUGAAGCGGCUACGGGCUGCUAUCAUGCCUAUAAGCUUCAUGACGUCUCUCUUGCUGGCUAGCUGCACCAUGUUUCUGAUGGCAUCCACCUUGACAGGUUUAGCGUUGAUGCCAUGUUGGCUGACCAUGAAGCCCAGCAGCUUUCCAUAUGGGAUGCCGAAGAUGCAUUUGCUUGGGUUGAGGUUCCAGCGAUAAGCCCGGAGGCUGUUGAAGGUUUGGGCAUGGUCGGCGAUGAAGUUUUCUAUGUCUUUGGUGUUGACAACUAUGACGUCGAUGUAGGCCUCUAUGUUUUUUUCUGAGUUGUUUUGUGAGGCAACCUAGGAUUGCCUUUUGGUAGGUGGCGCUGGCAUUUUUUAACCCGAAGGUCAUGGUGUUGUAGCAGUAGACGCCGUAGGGCGUUAUGAACACAGUCCUAUCUUGGUCGGUAGGGUUGAAGGCAAUCUGGUGAUAGCUUGAGUAGCAAUCAAGGAAGCCCAGCAGGGUGCAGCUUGCAGUAGAGUCCACGACUUGGUUGAUGCGAGGAAGAGGGAAGGGGUCUUUAGGGCAGUGCCUGUUGAGAUCAAUGUAGUCAAUGCACAUUCUCCAUUCACCAGUUUUCUUCUUUAUAAGGACUAGAUUUGCUAAUAAGUCGGGGUACCUACAUUCAUGGAUGAAACUGGCAGCUAAGAGCUCUUUUUAUUUCUAAACUAAUAGCCUCCUUGUGAUCUUGAGUGAAACAGUGAAGCUUCUGCUAGACUGGCCUUGUUGUCUUGCUCAACUCCAAGGAGUGCUCACCAGCUCCCAUGGGACACCGGGCGUAUCAGAUGGUUUCCACGUGAAUAUGUCCGAGUUGUCUUGGAGGAAACUGGUGAUCGUGUCUUCCUAUUUGAAGGUGAGGCUGGACCCGAAGAGGGCCAUCUUGGAGGGGUCUUCCAGGUCAUGCUUGAUCUUCCUCACUUGUGGUUCGAGCUGCAGUGUCGUGGGUCUUGGGUCCGCCUCUAGGAUCAUCAGUUGACUCUGGUCCACCUUCUUGGACUCGGUGAGCAACAUGGUUGUGUUGGCCGAGUAUUCCAAGGUCUCAACGAGCUACACGGCUUUCGUGUCACACUUGUAGGAUGUUUCAACAUCACCGAAGAUGGAGAGGACAUUGUUUGGAGCUGGCAUCUUGAGGAUGAGGUUGGUAUGGUUUGGGAAAACCAUGAACCUCGCCAGCAUUGGUCUACCAAAGAUGGCAUGGUAGGACGUCUUGAAGUUGGCAACGUUGAAGGUGAGGUGCUCGGUGCGGUAGUUGUCUGGGGUGCUGAACGUGACCAGCAGGAUGACUCUCCUGAUAGGAUAGGAUCCUUUGCCAGGUACUAUGCCGUAUAAUGGGUCUUCAUAGGGAAGAAGCCACUCGAAGUUGAAGGCCAUGCGCUUCAGGUUCUCGGUGAAUAUAAUGUUGAGGCUGUUGCCACCAUCGAUCAACACCUCGGAGAGGAAGACUCUGUCUAUAGUGGGGCACAUCACUAGCAGGUAAGACCCGGGGUCCAGGAGGUGCAACCAGUGUUCCUCCCUUAAGAAGGUUAUUGGCAUCUCCGACCAUUGCAGAUACUGGACUGGUAUGAUAGAGACGAAGUGCACUUCCUACCUUUGAAAUUGUGCUUGUGCUUGUGUUUGCUGUGGAAAGUUUUGGGGCCACCGAUGUUGAUGUUCACCUCCCACUCGGUGUGCUGGAACUCACCGUUGUUGUUGCCAGCAUCCUAGUUGGCAUUGGGGUUGCGUUGUUCAUGGUGCUCUUCUUUGCAUUGGUCGUCACAGUCAUCGCGGUGGCGAUUGUAUGGGCAGUUGCCUUCCUUGUGGUAGUCGUUCCGGUGAGGCUUCUUGUAUUCCACUAGGGCACCGAUCUCUUUCUUAAGGACCGUGCAGUCCUAAAGAUUGUGGCAUGCAUCCUCGUGGAAGGGGCUCGGGGUGUUCAACGUAUCAUCAAACUUCUCCUAGAGGAAAGUUGUUUGCCUCACAGGGUCGGCUUCGGCGGCAAGGACCUUAGAGGCCUUCUUUUGGGUUAGGAGGGCUCCGACCAAGGCUGGUGCUAGUGGUCUUGAUGGGUCGGUGGUUCGUUGUCAUCGUUGUGGUGGUUCUUUCCAUCCUAGAAUUGGACGUGCUCAGCCUCAUCCGUGUCGGUGUGAAGGUUGAUGAUCUGCAUCAUGUGUUCGACUAUCUUGGGAGCGGUCUAGAACAUGGUGAGGAACAUCAAAUGGUUCUUCAGGUUGGUGUGGAAGUAUCAGAUGGCAUCACGAUGUUCAACGCUGGCCAGCCUGUUGCAGUUGUCGAUAAAACAAUUUACGUACUCGUGGAGAGUUUCGUUCUUCCGCUAGCGAACUUGGCCGAGGUUUCCUGUGUUUCCGGAUCGGGUGUAAGUAGCCUGGUAGUUCUGGGUGAAGGCUAUGGAGAGCUAGCCCCAUGUGUUGAUGCAGCCUCAUGGGACGUUUUCAAACCAUAGGAGAGGUGCACUUCCCAUCACCAUCGGGAAGUAGGUGGCCAUCUGGUCAUAGGUGCUGUUUGUGGCCUUGACCACAGUGCAGUAUGUUUUCAGCUAGAUCAUCGGGUCGAAGAGAGCAUCGUACUUCUCGUUGAUGGCUGCUUGAAAGUGGAUGGCCACUGGAUAGCCCUGAGGCGGGGGGUGAACGCGGCAAACCCGUCGAUGUCCAUGUCAUCGUCUUCCAUGAGGCGGUAUUGUACCAUUGGGGCCUAGGGUGUACGCCGUUGUAAUGCUCGGGUGGAUUGUAGGCAUCGCUACGAGCACCGUAGUGAUGGUCGUAAUCAUCACGGCGGCGUAGUUCCUCCUCCCAGCGGUUGCAGGCCUCCAGCUCCAUGUCACAGUUUGGCUGGUUGUUGACCCUUGGAGCGCUGAAGUCGUGGUCAUACUGGGCACAUCGGUGGAGCUCCGCUUCAUCCCACUCCUGGUGACUGUUGUUGAGUUCACCACGGAGGCCGCAGCGGUCGUGGAGAUGGUCGCGGAGAUCACGGUCAAGUUGCCGACUAGGCCAGCCAUGGCGUUCGCUGUCUCCUCGUCCGUCACAAUGAUGGUUGUCGUGGUGGUGGUUAUCUAGUCAGCGAUCGUCAUCGUCGGGGUGGUUGUCAUUGCUUUGGGAUUGGUCCACCUCCUCCUCUUGAAUGGGUCCCAGCCAGCCUCCCCUACGGAAGCUGUGAUCAGCUUAGGUACGAUCAGAUCUACUCUAGGUAGAUCGGCUUCGGGAGUGCCGGGUAUAUGUAGAUCUGGAGUGUGAUGACCACCUUCAUGAUCAUUCUAGGGCCUGGGCCCUUUCCUCGAUCUGGGCGUUGGUGACACGGAUGCACGCCCAAAAUCCACUGUAGUUGCUCCAAGUCUAGAAGAUUUUCCAAGUCGGCAAAGCAGCCCCCAAGUUGGCCUGGGCUGUGGUGAAGACUUCAUGAUCGUCCUGCAGAUUAUGGGCGUGUAAGGGAUGCUUGCAUCGACCUCCAGCGUUGUCCUGGCCACCAUUGACGAUGCCAUUGGGUGCCGGUGGGAUGGGUGGUACGCCGAGCAUUGCAGGGGUGGCGGACAGUUGACAAACGUGCUCAGCUCAUUCCUAUUGGCAACGCCUGCCGCGGUCCUUGUUCCUCUCAUUGCGCCCUUCCUCCUAGGAGGAAGUUUCACCAUUGUGAGGAGGUUCGCUAGCGGAGACAGUGAAGACUUCCUGAUCUCGUGGUGUAAAGCUUUCAUCAUCACCCUUGUCAUAUGGGUUUGGGGUUAGGGUGAAGCGAGGGACCUGGAACUUGCCGCAGUAUAGCAACUGGGUGGGUUCGGGUGGGUCGUCAGAUGAGAUCUGGAAAGACUGCACGAGUUUUUUUGGAAAACACGGCAGCUGAGUUCUUGAUGCCAAAAGGGGCGCGGGGAGAGCCCUACACUGACCUUCCAGGGCGCGAAGAGGUUGAUGCAAUUAGCAAUGGCAUUGUUGAUGCGAUUGAGGCCUGCAAUUAGAUUAGAGGGUAGGUGCAGGUGGGCGAGUCACCACGAGGAUGUGUGGGACCCACUCUAAGAGAGAGAUUGCCGAACUUCUGGGCAAGCAGUGUGAUGAUCCUUGGGUGAAGAAGUUGCUCAGUCAAAGUACAUCCGGCGGAUGCUGAGCUGGCGGUAGACGUCGAGUCGGUGAAGAAGGCGGUGGUGUCGAAGUCCAUCGGCAUGCUCCUAAAAUGGAGCUGGAUCGAAUUGGCGAGGAAGAGCUUCAUGCUUUUGGGGAAGAUGACGCUGGGGUGGGAUUCCAUUGAGCUCGCUAGGGAGGAUCUCACGAUCACCCCUACCUUGCGUGCCAAGUGUCAGAUUUAGUGACGGGUAGUCCACCAGGGGGUUACCCAGGUGGUAGAUUUAUGGACGGGGGAGAUUGUAAGACCAAGAACUUGAAUAGUAACAUAGCGGCGCAAGGUUUAGAUAGGUUCGGGCAUCCGAAGAGUAAUACCCUACGUCCUAUGUUCUGGUGGAUUGUAUUGCUGAUCGCAAGUGUGAAGGGUUAACGUGAGGUGGGAUGAGUUGAGCUGAGUUGCGUUACCCUCGGGGGGCUCCCCUAGCCGCUUUAUAUUGGCUGACAACCUAGCGUUGCAAUCGGAUAGGAUCUAAUCCUUGUUGGUUGUUACAUGGAAAGUAAUAUGAGUCAGUUUAGAACAAGUAUCGUGUGAUAUCCGAGCAGAAUUUGUUCGCCUAGCCUCCGAACUUGUGCUCAGUGUAUCUUCAUGCCUUGGCCCGCACAACAUGGUUGGGCAGGCCUACUUGUCAGGGCCGCCGACAAAUAUCCUGAUCGUUAGGGAUCCGUGGGUACCCUUAUCGCUGAGGUUGCGAUCGGUGACGCCGUCGACGAGGACCGCGGGGAACUCAAUGAUCUCCUGCGAGUAGAUGCACGCGCCCUUCUUGCACGUCGCCUCAAAGUCAACGAUGACGAACUGGUCAAACUCCUAGAUCUGAAGAAGUGGCAGCCACUCGCUCUGCUCCAUGCUGGCCAGUAGGCACGAGGUGUCGGAUCGGAGGUGAGUAUCCUCUGCAGCAGCUAGCGAGCGUGUGCAGUGGAUGGCUCGAGACGACGAGUAGAGAAGGUAGGUAUAGGACAAUGAUGGGGAGUUUGUCAUGGAGCUAAGUGCCGGGGAGCGACCGAAGCUUCGUUGAUGACGAAACCCAUGACGACAUGCUGGUGCAGCACUGCUAGAAAACUAAGCAUUAGUCUCAUUGGUAGGCUUCAUAGAUCUCAAAAAUCCAUCCGGGAUAAAAAUUUUGAGAUGAAGUUCUUUAGUCCGAGGUCAUUCUCGGGACUAAAAAACCCAUUUAGUCGCGGUGGAUAAAACCAACCAGGACUAAAGGGCGGCCACACUAGGCGUAGCAUGGGUCCCUUUAGUCCCGGUUGGUUUUACCAACCAGGAAUAAAGUGGAUACGUGCAUGCACCUGCAUGCGUGCCUGCAUGGCACAUGCACGUACCCCUUUAGUACUUAAGAUUUUUAUUUUAAAAUUCUUUUCCAUAUUAAUUUUAUAUGCAAGUCAUAUUAGUAUUGGAUGCAAGUCGUAUAUAUAUUUCAUGGUUGUAGCAUAUAUAUAUAUAUAUAUAUAUAUAUAUAUAUAUAUGUAUGUAUGUAUGUAUGUAUGUAUGUAUGUAUGUAUGUAUGUAUGUAUGUAUGUAUGUAUGUAUGUAUGUAUGUAUGUAUGUAUGUAUGUAUGUAUGUAUGUAUGUAUGUAUGUAUGUAUGUAUGUAUGUAUGUAUGUAUGUAUGUAUGUAUGUAUGUAUGUAUGUAUGUAUGUAUGUAUGUAUACAAUUCUUAGUAUAUUAUACAAAUCAAACUAGUAUUUAUACAAUUACUAUAUAUACAAUAAUUUGUCCACUUCAUUCCUAGGAUCCUCCCGUCGUGGUGUUGCUUGGUGCGUCUGGUGAACGUCCAUCGUAAUGAAAUUCUCCCUCUGGAUUUAUCACCUCAUCCACCAGCAAUUCUAUGAGACCUUCAUUAAUUGCCAAAAUUCUAUCCUUCUACAAGAGUCCUUGUUGAAUUUUAUACAUCUGGAAUUUAGAAAUAUGUGAAUCUUACACGAAUAAUUAAAUAUAAGGAGCUAGAAAAUAAUUAAUUGUUAAUAGUUUUAUUUUACUUACAUUUGUAUCAUGCAAGGACAGCACCUUGGGUGCCACAAAAUUGUGCAUGUGCUCACAGACAUAGUAUCCAUAUAGAUUAUUACCUUGUUCCUAUCUCAAGCACUUUAGUGGAAAACAACAAGUUAUGAAGUAAUCGUGUUAUAGAAUGUACAAAAUGUACCGGGUAGUCAAAUUUGAACAAAAGUUUUUCUUUGAAUGGACCACGGUGUUUCUUAAGGAAUAUUUUCCAUGCGCUUCAGAUUAAAAUAAUGAAAGACACAGUGUUAGGUGAAAAUUUAUGAAACAAACUUUUGCAUAGAGAUAAAGGUCUAGAAUUAUUACGAGUUUAGCAUGUCUUGAAUGUCCUAGUACUCGUUCGGUGGUUUCUUCAACGAAUCUAACACAAUGACGUGGCUUCUACCAAUCAUAAUUAUUAUGAGGAUCUAGUGGAAAUUGCAUACGUAAAUGUUCAUAUUAGAGCUAACUAACAUUAAGUAGGUAAGAAAAAAUAAAACAAAAAUAGAUGGUACGAUCACUUACUCAAAGUACUAUGGCAGUAGUACGUAACUCUUGCAAUGUUGUUUGUCCAAUAAAUUGUGUACCGCCUCCAAUGUUUUCUUUGUGUGAUCCCGUAUCUACUUUUGGUUAACGAGCGAUGGAUCCAUGAAGCGAACAUUGAAGUAUGAUUCUUUGCGGCACCACUGAAUUAGCAUCCUACAUAAAAUGGAAGACGAAGUUAGUAGGCGACGCACAUACAAAAAAUAAUGAUAUGAGCUAAAAUCUACAUAUAGAUAAACUGAUAUUUAUAGGACCCAGACGCUGAUGAGAGAGACGUCAAGGGCAUCUUGAUGGUGCACUUCAUAUAUAUCCUUGAAUUUCAUCCAUAGGACUUUCUUACUGUCACCGAAAAAAUCUAUCGGUUUAACCCAAAGACCAAACAUGAGCCUCUUGUCGGCAGACUGUUUCAUGUACCAUUCAUGGAAUUCGUACAUCUUUGUGGAUAGCUUCUGUACCAACUCAGGCCUUACUAGAGGCUUCCCUACCCCAAAGGUCCAUUUAGGUACAACUGGCUCUUGAGCUGGCAGAUCAACUUGCCCUAGAACUUCAACACGAGACAUACAUGUUUCUUGCAUAAAUCCAACGACAUGUAUUUGUUAUUCUAAGGGCAUUGUUGCUAUAGUUUGUGCGUCAUUAUCUUGUAGAUCCCUGAGCUGGGGGGCAUCACGACUUGAAGAUGACGCUCCUCGCCUUUUUUCUUCUCAUCAGCCUUGACUAACGCCCGGUCAUAGUUUGAUAGUAGAGUCUUCUUGGUUUGUUUUGACAUAGCAAUAAAAAAUUUUAACUUUGUUGGAUCUAUUUGCUUUGGCUCCCUCUUCUUUUAUUUUCUUUAUUCAGUGUAGUUCAAGAAGAACUCCUUGCAUUCUGCUUUGGAUGCCUCCCGCAAUUCCUCUGGAGUCAUGUCGGCCGUUAGUUUCUUAGUAGGUCCAGGCUUCUUUGUUUUCUUCUUUUGCUGCCUUGGCUUGGAAGGCGGUGGUCAUGACUUCUUCAGAGGUGCUGCAGGUUCCUUGCUCGAUUUGGGUCUUAGUCCCGGCGACGGUGAUCGGGGAGGGGCGUUGUUGUCGUCAUCGCUCGCACCACCAGGAUUCGAUGGAGAUGGAGAUAGUGAUCGAGCAGGAUGUGACAGCCCCAAUGGUGACGACGGUCUCGGAGCCAGAUGUGCUGGAGAUGACGUUCUUGAGCUUUGAGGAGAUGGUUGCUAUGGGGGAUCUAUGGGGAGCAGUGAUGCCUCCAUGGCGGGGAUGAUGAUGUAGCAAUUGCACCAUAGAAUGAUCCCAUGAAGCGCAUCUCCUAGUGUCCUUUCCCCAUCACCUCUCGGGAGGUCGAGCUCUAUGCUUUCAUAUUCACUAUCAACAAUCUGCUCUAGGCCGAUGCUAGCAUAGCCAGGUGGAAUCUCCAUGCCAUGGCUUUUCUGCCCUGACAGGAUUGGUAAGGCACUCCUGUAUGCCACCUGUACAUACAGCAGAAAUAAAGAUGUUAUUAAAGUCCUGAGGCGUGGAUUGAUUGAGAAGAUGACAUAAAUUAUGUAUAUCUAUACCUUAAUCGUGAUGUUGUUGAAUAGUCUAUGCAGCUCACAUGAGGUGUGUUGCGUGAUGCCAUCCACAUGAUACCAUUGGUCGUCCACGGGUAAUCUUGCCAUCUGCUCAUCGGGGACCGUUGUGGAAGCACAGCUACUUCGGCGUUGAGAAGGGUUGAUGAUGUUUGGAUCCGGUAGUGCUCCAGAUUUGCUAGGGCCACUCGACGAUUUAUUUCUGAUUUAUUUCCUCCUACAUUCUUACUUCUUGUGAAGGCACUUUGGGUUCUAACAUGCGCCACCAGCUAUCCUCUUGCUGUUCCUUUCUUCGCUUGUGGCUUCUAUACGAGUUGAUGUCCCUUCGGAAAGCAUAGUUCCACAGAACGACCCCGUACCCUCGGCAACGUCCUGGGUGCUUGGGAUUCCCUAUGGUUGCUUGGUCGCCAUGGAGAGGAGGCUGGUGGAAUGGAGUGGCUCGGGCUGGAGGAGGAAGAAGAGCUCUCGGUCUGGUGAUUUUAUAGGGGAGGAGAUUUUGUCCCAGUUGGAAAUUCCAACUGGAACAAAAUACAACCCCUUUUAUCCCAGUUGGUGGUUUUGUCCCGGUUGGAGUUUCCAACCGGCACAAAAGGUGGGUGGCGUCGGUGCGAUUUUUCUGACCGUUACAAUCAGCACUAAAGAGGGGGCUUUAGUCCCAGUUGGUAUUGACAACGGGGACUAUUGCUCCCCCCUCCUGUGGUGGCCUUCGGUGGUACGCCACUUUAAUCACGGGUCCAAUGUUAGUCGGGACAAAAGGGGUAGAUGGAAGCUCAGUUCUCUACUAGUGCUGGCAAGCAAAAUAUUGCUGCUUUUAAUUUGAGGUUUGAGCAAAAGCCUCCUCCCACGUUAAGAAAAGCUUUAAUCAGACAGAUUACAGGUAAAUAUAUAUACAACGAUUACGUCGAAGUCACGAAGCGCGGCAGCAGCCAGCAGAAAGCAUGGGGGGCACGACGCACGGUAUCAUCAGAUGAACACGAUUUGCUUAGAGAAACUUUCAACUCCUCACGUUCAGAUUCACACGCCAACACUUUUGUUUCUUGAGACGAAUUUAUAAUCAACACUUAAUUAAACACUUUUUUCGAGGGCACACUUAAUUAAACACUUAACUAAGUAGAUCAUCAUCUAUGCUCACUUAUGUGUCCACUCGUCCAAUCACAUUGACAACGAACCACUACUACAGAAAUGGUCUCUAGCACCGGGUCAAAACACAUUUGCAAGGGUGGGUGACCCGCCCCUGCUUUUCGCAGCUAAAAAUGGCAAUUAGCAGGGGCGGGUGGGCAUCGGCCCCUACAAAUCAAAUAAAAAAUUUUAAAAAGGAUUUGACGGUCGCCGGCAACCCGUCGAGCUCUGCCGCACCGCAGCCACCCUGCUGCGCAGCCACCUGUUCCCUAGCUGCCGCUCCUCGGAGUCGUGCUGCUCCCGGCCCCCACGUGCCUCCGGAUUGAGGUCGACGCACCCCGGCCACCGCUCCUCCGGAUCCAGGCUAGCGUGCCCCAGCCGCCGCGCCCCAGAUGAUGCGCCUCCAGGCCUCCCGUGAUGAUCUAGGUUGGUUGCUAGUAUCGUGCGUGCCGGCUUUCGACCGGUUACUCUUUGCCUCCCCGCGCAUGCCUUCGGGCCACCAGGUGAGGUGCUCGCGCGGCGCCUCGGACAGCCAAGCUGCCGGAGCCGCGCCCCCAGCCUUCUCGCCGAUGCGGGGCACGCCCUCGCCGCUGCUACCACCUCUCCGCCAUAGCCUCACGUGCGCCAUGGAGGCCUGGAGGGGAGUGGCUGGGGAGAAGAGAGAAGGGGAAAAGAUAAGUGUGAGAAAAAGGGAAGAGAUAAGGUUGAGUUGGUUCAUUCAACAUUUUAAAUAAAACUAGUUCAAACUAGUUCAUCCUAAAAAAUAUGAAAAUGUUAAAAAUAGCAUAUUCAAAAUGUGAAAAAUAUUGACUUAUCAAUAUUUUUUCGAAUCAAGUUCAACAUUUUAAAUGAACACAACUUAAAAUAUGUGAAAAUCUUGUUCUCGCAUACUCAAAAUGUUGAGUUAGUUCAUCCAAAAUGUUGAUAAUCAACAUUUUUUCGAAUCAAGUUCAACAUUUUAAAUAAACUAGUUCAACAUUUUUUGAACUAAGUUCAACAUUUUAAUAAACUAGUUGAAAUAGCAUACUAAAAAUCGUUGAAGUAGCAUACUUAAAAUGUCAAGAAAAUUCAUCCAAAAUGUUGACUUAUUAACACUUUUUCGAACCUAGUUCAUCAUUUUAAAUAAACUAGUUCAAUUUUUUACGUGAAAAAUGUUGAAUGGCACUCAAAAUGUUGAAGUAGCAUUCAAAAUGUUGAGUUAGUUCAUUUAAAAUGUGAAAAUGUUAAAAUAGCAUAUUCAAAAUCUUGAGCUAGUUCAUCCAAAAUGCUGACUUAUCAACAUUUUUUCGAAUCAAGUUCAACAUUUCAAAUGAACUCAACAUAAAAAAUAUGAAAAUGUUGAAAUCGCAUACUCAAAAUAUUGAGUUAGUUCAUCCAACAUGUUGACUUAUCAUUAGUUUUUCGAAUCAAGUUCAACAUUUUAAAUAAACUAGUUCAAUAUAAAGUGAAAAUGCUGAAAUCAUAUACUAAAAAUGUUGAGUUAGUUCAUCCAGAAUAUUGACUUAUCAACAUCUUUUGAUCAAGUUCAACAUUUUAAAUAAACUAGUUCGAUAUAAAAAAUGUGAAAAUGUUGAAAUAGCAUAUUUAAAAUGUUGAGUUCAUCCAAAAUAUUAACUUUUAAAAAUUAAUAAAAUAUAUUCAUAUUGGAUCUUGUAGAUUAAUUCUCAAAAACAUAAUGAUUUCAACGGUUUUGAAAAAUAGUUCAUGGUGUGAGAGAAAAACAUGUUUGAAGUUUGAAAUCGAAAAAGAAUCUUCCACCAGCAGGGCCAACCAUCAAGUAAGUCGUGUGUACUAGCCUCCCACAAAAACUGCUAUCUCUUUUUUAGCCUGGUGCAUGAGAGUCCUGUGUUAUCCGUUGUGGAGGGAAAAGUGGACGUAUCCAAUGAUUUUGAAGGGCUGCAUGAAUCCCAAAGAUUGGAAGGUGAAUACAAAAAUCUUCAGGAAGAUUUACAGGAUUCGUGUAGUUGACCUCCCUUGGCAUUCAGUGUCAGCACUCUCCUAGACUCAGUGCUGCUGUUCUCUCUCAUUUUUGUGCCAUGCAUCAUCAGAAUGUAUGCAGUCCCCCUCCCCCUUUGGUAGCCUUUGGUUUUUAUUUUUCCACAAGCACAUCAGUAUACAAGGCGCAUAUCCUACUCCCUUUGCUUUGAUUGCAUUACCCAAUCCCUUAUUCGCCACUGCCACUGACACGGAUGGGUAUUAUGUGUCACUGAGACAUUGAUGCAGAUAAGGGACGGUAAAAUGUUGCAAUAAUAAAAAUGGGGUUGCCCCCAUAAUAUCGGAAGUUCGGAACAAUAAGAUCUUGGGUCUUUGGCGAGAACAUUAAACUGUUCCAUGUACCUAUUCUGGAAACAGGUAAAAGACCUUGUGAAACUGGCUUCCGUCAAGUUGCUAUCAACAUGAUCAAUGUCCAUAACUUAAUCCUGUCAACUCAUCAAAUGACAAGGAUGAAUUGUGGAUUCUUGGGAACCAUGGACCUUUAAAAACACUGACCUACAAUGAAUAUAUUUUCCAGAGAAAGCUUUAGAUAAAUCAGGAUGAGAACAGAGACAUGGGAUUAUUCAUUAUUAAGAUACUUAACUCACCUUCACAAAUCCACCAUUUCUAUAAAUGACUGAGAAGAACUCUAUACAUCUUCAAUGCAAAGUCGGUACCAGCAUGCUGUUUAUUGUGAUAAUGGAUAGCUAUACAGUGAAAAGCAUAUGUGGUAAUGUGAUAGAAUAUCAUCGUGGGACCUUACAUAUAUUCGCCCAAUCUUCCCAAUCUUGGCAUGAUGAGUUCAUGCAAUUGCCCAAUCUUGGCAUGAAGAGUUCAUAGCAUGAUGAGAGCGGAUAAGGCCCGAGCAGCAACAAGCCCACACCAUAAGUAGACAAAAUCACCUAGCAGAGAGAUCAUUGGCUUGUUUGCAGUGUAAUAGCCGUCACAAAUUUCAGGAACCAUUUUCUGCAAAGCAUAGACCACUAACAGGCCAACAUCAGACACCGCAGGUGCCUGGAUGAUCUUGCUGAAUUUAAACUUGACCAGCAGAUGGAGAUGCCAUCCAAUUAUCUUCAUCGCGCCGCCAAGAAAAAAAAGCAAGCUAUUCUAGAAGCCCAGUGAUCAGCAGAGAUCCAUGUUUGUGUUUUCACCAGGAGAUGGAAUACUAAUUUAAACUGUAAAAGAAAUAAGAAAAUGGAUUUCCAAUCAAAUGCCCAGCAACCAAAGGCUUCAGGAAUUUCCUCACCAAGCAGGUGCCAUCAUGCUACUCAGUCGGUUUAAGCCAUGCAUGGUCUAGUCAUAACCGCUACUGGGGCUGAUAAACUCAUUUACCUAUUUUAAGAGAUAUCUUCCAGAAGAAUAUGCAAGAAAACAAAUUAGCACCCAGAGGCGAGGCUUACUUUCAGGUUCCUGCCUAUCCUGCUGAACUGAGCAAAGGCAUAUUUGGAAUGCAAAAACAACGCACAAGUACACACCCAUUACACAUUAAACUGAAUUGAUUUGAUAUCUCUUGAGAAUUACAGCAUCCAUAAAGUUUCAUUUCGUGAAACAACAAAUGGCCAUUUUUCAGUUCAGAACAAACACGAGUUAUAGAACAAUAGGCAAGCGAUUUAGCACCAGUUUGGCCAAAUAAAUUUUACAUAAAAUUAGUUUCAUGAUGAAAAUGCUAAUUUUCGUAAUAUGGCAGAAAAAUGGGGUGAUGUUUAAUUGUACUAUCCAGUUGUGCCCUUGUCAAAUAAACUCAUGUUAAGUGUUAACUUGCUAGAUGAACUGUCACUCGUAGUACCUGUUACCUGCCCCCAGACUAUAUAAAGGCGGUAAGGACCCCUAAAAAAGGGAAGCCAUAUUCAAUACGCUAUACACUGAGAAUACAACCCCGAGUACAGAAUGUAGGGUAUUACACCAAUCUGGUGGUCUGAACCAGGUAAAGGCUAGCUCUAGGUGCGGCGAUCCCCUCCACACAAUCUACCACCUUGGUCUACCUUGUGGUGGACUGCCGGACUAUUCCCCCGAUGAUGUGGAAGUGGAGUGUAUGUGAUCUUGAUCAUGAAAGUAUGAAGAAUACUCCAUAAGGGUCACAACAAUAUGGCAAAGUUCAACACGAUGGCAAGCAGCAUAUUUGUAUGGGAUUUUCAAUAUGAACAUCAUAUGGAUUUGGUAGGACGGAGGCAUAUCAUUGAGGAGCUAGCUAGGUCAUUAUUUUUCAAGAUAAAUUCCCUAAGUACUUUGGAUAGGAAAGAGUAAGGUGCAUUUUAUAAUGCCAUAUCUCAAACAUCAACAACCUAGGUAGCAUGCUUUCCUAAAGAUAUAGGUUCACAAGCAAACAUGUGCAAGCAAGGAAUAUAGAACAUGUAUGCCAACCAUAAGGAGCAUGUUUUCAACCAAGGUUCAUUUUAAUUUAGAGUUCAAUUUUUAAUGAUCAGAGAUGAGAUUCAUUUAAACUCAUGAACCAGGGACUAGAGAGGUAGAGUGCACAUACCAUAGCUCUUUGAAGAAGAUGGGGACCGAGACGGACUAGUGGUGGUUCGGCCAAACCACAGGGCCGGCCAACUCCUUCAGGUGCCCUCACCUUGUCCCUUGUCAUGUUGGUGCAGUCGAUGUUGUGCAACACCUUUGUGGGAGAUCUUGAGUGUGUAUGUCGAUGAUGAGCUAGAGAGAUCUCCCUCACACUUGUGCUUGUACAUGGUGCUUUAUUCAAAAAAAAUGGAGGAAACAAAAGGGGACUCUGGUGGUUCGAGAACCAGGGAGUCUUACUUUAUUUGAACUCAAAUAUUUUUGAGAUUUUUUUAUUUUAUUUUCACCAUGAGACCUAACUCAAACAAGGCUGAAUUCAAAUUGCAUCAUUAUAAGCAAAGGAGGGUAUAUUUACGGCGGACCCUUGAACGGUGAUAUAUACCUCCUUUAUAUGUUGUGCAACAUGAAUCCGAUGCCGCGGUCUAUCUUCCCAUUUGAAUCAAGCUUAACGACUUACCCGUUUGGAUUUGAAGACUUUCGUGUAGGGUUAGUCCACACAUACAACCAAGAUCUAUGAAAGUAUCAACUCUAAGGUUGAUCAAUCAAACUUGACAUCAUGUCUUGUUUGAUUGAAGAAGACAGUUUAACCUAAGCACCAUGCUUAAUUUAAAAAGUUCUAUAAAUGUACGUCGACAUACAUUCAAACCAGAGCAUACGGGCACAGAUAAAGGAAGCAUAAGAGCAUGAUCAAGCUAUAUUCUAGGGAAGAUAAACAUGAAUAUAUGAACUUUGGGCUACCUCCCGGAAGGGCUUUGUUUAAAGUCAAAAGCAGGACAUACCUGGGGUAAGAUGCAAGAACCAACACCAUCUCCAAACCAAGAUAAGAUUUGGCACGAGAGGAACUUUACUCAGCAUACUCACAUGCCUCCGCCACACUUGGAGUUUGGAUUGCUAAGCAACACAACUCAAGUGUGUGAAGUUCAAGCUUCCUUUCAUAAUCAUUCCCUCACCAAGACAUACCAAGAGGUUGUAGUUGGUGUAGCUCCCAUGUUCUUAGGUGUCACCUGUCCAUCAUUCCUUUUAAUCUCCACCUGAAAUGGUUAGCGACCAAAACUACCCAAAGGAAAAUUUAUCCUAAGACAUGCUCUUGCUUUUAUUCGAAAGGGAAAAUCUAUGAUAAUCCGGGAUAUCUCCCGGCAGUGAUUUGUUUAUGGUCACAAGCUCAACCAUGGGAACUUCCUCUUGUAGUUGUCAUUGGAGAUGCGUUCCCCUCUCACCACAAUUGUUGAUGUGUCAUUGAAGCUUUAGUUGCAAGGUUAGCGCCACAUUGAUCCACAAAUUUUGCAAUGUUUAUGAUAAACAUAUGCAUCUAUAACCAACCUUCCAAACAUUUUGCAAGAGAGGAGCUUAAGGUGGUUGGAGUCCUCAUGCGUGCACGUGGCACAAAGCAUGACAGACUCUGGAGAGGCAUUAAAUGAGCAUGGUUCUUGCGGUAUUUCAAGAAUGAAGCUCCCAUGCUCAUCUAUGGAAUACUUUCCUUUGGACUCCAGAGUCGGCGCCUCAUAAAAUUCCAUGGCCCAUGUGUUCUCCAUUUCAAGAGAUUCAUCGUGAGAGAUCAAUGUUGAUUCUCAAUCAUGGUCAAAAACAACAUGAUAUGGGCUAGCAGGAAGAGGUCCAAACUCGAUCGAGGGUGAUUGUGAUCAUCCGUCUCAACAAAGGUGAAGUGUAUCUUCUGAGUCGUACUCUUCAGGAGCGGUAGAUUCAUUGAUCUAAAGGAGAAUGGGCUUGGUCGAUACAAACGAAGAUGCACGCAUCACUUCUCGAGCAGGUUUUGCUUGGGAAGAGGCUUCGCCAUUGGAUUUUCUAAGCAAGAGGUAGCGGUGGAAGAAGCAAUUUCCCUAAGUUUCUUGUCUAGGCUCCCUUGAUAUCCAUCGAGAAGUUUUUCCAAUGGGUAGCCUAGGAGAAGAUGAAAAAUGAUGAUGUCAAAGAUGUGGAAGUCUAAGCAUACCUCAGUUUUGUCUAUAAUGAUCGGCACGUCCUCCGAGAUCCCCCAACAUUCAAAGAAGAGUCCUGAAGGACAUCUGAAGUAUUUGUCGAUCAGGGUUGAGGCUUAUUACCCAUAAGAGUGUCCAUGAGGUACUCGGAUAUGAUACAAGCCUCGGUAGCAGGGUUAUGAAGGGCUUCUAUGGUAGUUCCCCUCAUAGAAUAAGGGAUGGUCAUGGAAGGUGAGCUAAUAUGAAUUGCUUCGGAAGUGUGCCUUAACUCCUUCAACCAAUCCACUAUGGUUGCAUGGUGGAAAACUUCAUCGAGAGCCUUGUAAGGGCAUAAUGACACUGUAGGCUUCUUGUGCCUAAGAUGAUUUUAGGUACUUCUAAUGUUCUUAGAAGAUCAUCCUCGAAUGGGGAAGAGAACUCCGAAGGUUGAAUAUCAUCUUCCUUCGGUAUUCGCGGUUCGGGAGAGGGCUCAACAGACAAAUCAUGGUAUGUGGAAGGUGAAUGCUUAGAUUUGGCUAUUGAGAGACUCUCAUGGCUCAACUUGGAUUCCUCUCGGCGGGGUUCCUAUUGGUCGAUAGGGAAGGAAGGGUUUUCUAAGAGGCAAUCUAGGAUUUCUCUUCCUUCCGUCGGAUCUUUGUGUGCAAACGAACCUCCGGCGGUGAUGUCGAGGUCUAUGGUAGAUUUCUUGUCUAAACAUGAGUAAAAGAUAUUCAAUGAUACAUCGUCGAGUAUAGACAAGCCUAGGCUAGAGGCUAAAAGGUGCAAGAAAUCUAGCCCAUGCUGCACCUAUGGAUUCCUUCUCUGAUUGCUCGAAGCUGAGGAUGUCAAUCGGAAGGGAGUCUAUGCGUUCUAUAAGAGAGAAUGAGUAACAAAAGUCAACUCGAAGUUCUUCCCAAUCGCUGCUCAUACACCCUACCAUACGGGUGUGCCAUUGCUCCAUCCUCUCUGUGAGAGAGAAAGGAAACAACUUCCACCUUAAGGUUUUGUGGCGGAUUCACUUCGGAUUAGCUUGAUUAGACAGGGUUAAGCCACCUAAUACGCGACACCUGUGCUUAAGUCAAGCUAACACGAAAUGCCGUCGGAUUUCAUCCGAUUUAACCACUUAGACAGGAUCGAGUUUAGCAACUCACACGAAGGUGAGUGGUUCCAGAGAAUGCAACGAGUCCACCGAGUUAACAAAUUUACCCAUUUAGUUCAGCCAUAAAAUCCAACAUCAGAGUUUGUACACGGUUCAAAGGAAAACAACAGAAGGUAAACACUAGCGGAAGACUUCGUCGGGUAGCGGAGAUCGGGCGGCGCGACUGUGGCUGAAGGGACGGAAAAGACGGGCGACAUCGGGCUCUGGGGCCGGGAUCUGGCGGCGUGAUGAUGGGCGCGGGAGGCGAGGUUCUGCAGAAAGGGGUGCAGAGGGGCUUCCGCUGCCAUUGGGGAAGGGAGCGCGAGAACCCACUUGGUCGCUUGCCAGAGACAAAACUGAGCGGCAGGCGUUGGAGAAGACGAGCCACGUGGCAGGGAGACUCUGAAGCGGGCAUGCAACUCGAGUGCGGCUGUCGCGGAAGAUCUGGGAAAAAGAUCUUGCGGGUCCACCGGUGGAUAGAACGGACGGUUGAGGAUGCUUAGCAGGAUCCGACGGUGGACUGAGCUCGCCGGGGUCGGGAGAGAAAUGAAGCGGAGAGGGGUCGGGUCUCCGGGGUCGGAACCAGGCGGAAAGCUGAGCACUCGGCGCGGUCAAGCAAGACAGAUGACUAAGGUCAAGGGCUCCGAUUAAGAUUAACGCGGGAGAUUUAGGGGUCGGUCGUUACAGGUUUCCUAUGUCAUGCCUAUGAUUACCAAGCAUGAACACAGUUCAUUGAACUCUUCUAAAGGAUCGAAGGGAUCUUCAUUAAUUGCUCCAAAAAAGGGUUGAUUCCGAACCAUGGCUAUAAAGCAAGGGUGGAGUUCAUAGCUAGAUGAAGAAGUUGAUGGUGGCUCAUAGAACUCGCCCUUUGGGUUAGUGAGGCUUUGAUAGGAAGGCUUCUCCAUGGGUAGCGGGGUUAAAGGUAGAAGGAAAGAAAAGCAAAACAUACAAGGAUGACUAGGUGCGAAGAAAGAUACAACAACCAUUCCCCGGCAACAGCGCUAGAAAGCUUGUUGGUAUAAUUAACGAAUGCAAAUAAACCCGCAAGUGCAUGGAUACCGUUGUAGCUUUCACCUCAAAGUAUUCCAAGGGUAUCGAAUCCAAGGGAACGUGUGUGCACUAACUUCUAUUUUAGUCACUCCAAGGACACACCAAGAUAGGUGGUGAAGGGUAGAGAGGAUUCCUAAGGUAGCACUAUAGAUAAGUUAAAGGUCGAUCUCUUAGAUCAAGAUACUCACUUCAGGUACAGGCUUACCCUGAAUGAGUCAGGCACCUCCACCCAACAGUUGCACCAUAUAUCCGAACAUGGAGGAUUAGAAAGGACCAAUAGGGCUGUCACCACCUACGGCCUACCUCUACGACCCAUGGGUAUACGGCCAACAAAGGAUGACCCUUAGCCCAGACACCACGUCUACGCUACUUAUUACUACUGCAGUCUAACUACGUCUGUGCACCCAUAGCAGACUACAACACUGUAUAAAUACAGAGCAACAAACCUGUGAGUAAGAGAACUGAUCUCACUUAUAUAUAAGUACUACUAGUGUAUACCGUAUCAAGGUCUCACAGCACACAUGAGAGCAUACAAGCCUAUACUAUGAUAAUAAGGGUAUAUAACUAGCAUAUAAGCCAAGCAUAUAAACAUUGCAAGGAUAAUAUACUACUCAUUCAUAUAAGAACCAAGUAUAACACUAUAGGAAGAAAUCAUGAAUACGAACUUACUUUACUCAAAGGAAGCUAGCAUCUGUAUGGGUACAAGCUAGGAGGAUAGUGCUGACACACCGACAUUCCUCCCAAACUACCCAUUAGUCUCUCCCUAUUCUAAGCACAAGCUACGCAAGGCUUUGUGUUUGGAGUGGAGCUCUAAUUCUCUCUUGGAUGGUGUUUCUCCAUGUGGUGGUGUGUCCUGAAAUGAGCCCCCCUCUACUAUUUAUAGAGUGGAAGUGCCUUGGGAGAGUGGAGAUCCUCCAAGCAUCUCAAGGGAAUCUUGAGGGAAUAUUCUUCACCAACUCUUCUCCUUGUGCCACCUAGUAGGAUCCAAGGCUUUGAGGAGGUAACUCCCAGGAUAACGGCGAUAACCACCUUUAGGAAGUCACCAGGAGUCGACACGUGGAAGCUGAGAUUGAUGGGUGCUAGGGCCAGUUCACCUGAACCCUGGGCACCGCCUCUCAUGCCACCUUUCAUUUGGGACGCUGCCUGGUGGGCCCUCAAGUCGGUGUAGGGUGCACACACCAAAUUAAGGUGGUUUACCUCCUGAUGUAGGCUCAUGAAUCCGUGUGCUCUUCCCUGAUUGGUUGAAGUUGCAUUUCUUUGCCUCUUGGGUGUAUUUCCCUCUCCUUUCUAAGGAUAAAUUACCUACUUACAAAUAUUCACUAGCACUUGUGAAAAUGGUUAGUAAUAAACCCCUACCACUAGGUUGAUGUUCAUCUUUUUGGUAUUUAUGCAGGAGCUGACGGCCUAGAAUUGGCACUUAAUGGCCAUCAACAGGGAUGUGAAAGCUACUCCUAAAAAACCCCAAGAGGCAGAGGUUCCCAAGACGAGGCGAGCCUGGAUAGCUUGUCGGCAUCAACAUUGUCCUUCCUAGGGAUGUGCCAGAGCUCCAUCCCAUUGAAGUGCUGCUCCAUCCUCCAGACCUCAGCAAAGUACGAGGCCAUCUGGGGUCCGCGCAUUGAUACUCCUUGGAGAACUGAUUGACCACCAGCUGGGAGUCCCCCUUCACAAGUAGUUGCUGAAUCCCCAAGCCGGCAGCUGCCCGGAGCUCGGUGACCAGGUCCUCCUACUCCACCAUGUUGUUGGUAGCUCGGAAGUCGAGCUGUAUCGAAUAGCGAAGGAUCUCUCCCGUAGGCGAGGUAAGGACCACGGUAGCCCCCGCGUCGUGUAGGGUGAGCGAUCCAUCAAAGUUCAUGGUCCAAUACUCCAGCGUCCAUGGCUUCCCAUCUCCCGCCUCAAUGGAUCCCGGGACGGUCUCCUUCUCUAGGUAAGGUAUGGGGGUCUACUCAGCGACAAAGUUUGCCAGGGCCUGGCUCUUGAUUACAUGGUGAGGAGCGAACUGGAGCCCAAGCUCAGCCAGAUUGAUGGACCAUUUCAUGGUUCGCCUAGUGCCUUAUCGAUUCCUGAGGACCUAGGCGAGGGGGUAUGACGUCACCACCAUUAUCGGGUGUGCUUGAAUGUAGUGUCUCAGCUUCCGGGACACCAUCAGAAUGGCGUAAAACAUUUUCUAUGUUUUGGGCUACCGCUCCUUAGCAUCCCAAGGUACCUCACUAACAAAGUACACCGGGCGUUGUACCUUCCUGGUUUGCCCGGUGAUGGUGCGGUUGGUGUCAGAUUGAUAAGCUCAGUAGUCCACCAAGGGAUUACCCAAGUGGUUGAUUUGUAGGUGAGGGUGAUUGCGAAACCAAGAACUCGAAGGUGAUCAUGAGAACACAAAGGGGACAUUAGGUUUUUAGGCAGGUUCGGACCUCCUUAGAGUAAUACCCUACGUCCUAAAUGCGUGGAUUGUAUUGCUUAGUAUGAGAUGAGUUUUCCUCAGGGGGUGCCCUUGGCCGCCUUAUAUAGGCUGAUGACCAAGGAUUACAAGUCGGUUUGAAUCUAAUCUACUCGGUAUUUACAUGGAAAGCAAUCUGAGUUGGACUACAAAACGCAUCCCAUGAUGUCUAGGUAGAUUUGGACAGUCUUGUUGUCUUGACGUGUACUUCAAGUAACUUCAUGUCCUUGACCCGCACGCUUUGGUCGAGCGAGCCCACCUGUCAGGUCCGGCUAGUAUCCUGGUCGGUAGGGACCCAUGGGGUACCCAUAUCCCUCAAUCCCCCGAGCAAUGUGUAGGCGAACUGGAACUUGAGGUUAUCACAGUGAAGCUUGAAAUUAGGUUGGCUGAAGCUAUGAUGGCGUCAUGGUGAUGGAGAGGCUGCGCAGUGCUCAAAAGAAGAAAAUCCGAGCGAGCGCAGAGCUAACGCGUAGAGCAAAGAUGAGUGCCGAGUUGAUGGACGCUGACAUUCAGCAGGUCAAAGCGACGGAUGCGGAGGGCAUCGCAAGACGCACUCCCUAGGAGUAGCCCCCGAGCAUUGAAGUGAUUAGAAUAAUCAGUCCAAUGGUCAAGAAAAAGGAAGUUAUCUCUUGACGUAGAUCCCAGUACCCGAGCACAAAAGAUAGGCACGGCCACGGAGGCUUGCCGACCAAAGAUGUGUGCCCAAAUCUCUGGAGAUAAGGACUGAAGCAAUGAUAGGUAGCUAACAAAAAAUCCAUGUUCAUGGGAGUGCUACUCUGUCAGAGCAGCUGGUUCGGGAGUACUAUCCUCUAGUACUUGAAGAUAAGGCCGGUCAUCACAUGAAUACUGUGGAGUCAUAGUGGUAUGGUAGGGCUUUGUCGUGCACCCUCAUGGGUUUACUGUAGCAUCUUGGUUGCUAGCCGGCGGCCCGGCCAUAAAUAGACCAUCGUUCACCUUGGAGGGUCACGGCUCGAGUUAUAGUGCUUGUAGGUUUGAAGUUUGCAAUUUUUGAUAGGAGUAGCAUCCACUCAGAAGCCUAAUGCCAGAAGUAUUCUUGUGACAAACACCCGGAUGCUCCUUUCCUUCGCAGUCCCUGCUGUGAAGUCGGGAAGUAACGAUUCUAGAAGAAUCCUCAUGAGGAAGGUGCACCAUGAACUCCGCGCUUUGUCCAGGACACAACGUAGGGAAGUGCAGCUUUCUUAUAUUGAGCUUUUUCCUUUUUCUGCAUUGUAGCUUCUUAUCCUGGGAUAUCGUCUAUCUUGGAGCUGUUCACAGUCUUCUGUAAUAUGUGAUGCUGAGAAUUUGAUUUUAGCUAAAUGAAAAUAUGCUUUCACAUCUUCUUCUGGGGACUUUAUCUGGCCGAAGAGGCGUGCUUUCUUGAAAUUGGACUGCUGAUCCCCGGUGUUGUGAACUGACUAUGCUGCGGAGGCUAGCCGAGUAGAAAUAGAUGCCUAGCCUCUGAGGAUAAGGACUGGCAGAGCCACGGAGGUGCGCCGAGUAGAAUCGAGUGCCUAGCCCCUAAGAGUGAGGACUAGCGAAGCCGUGGAGGCAUGCCAAGUAGAAUUAGACGCCUAGCCCUCGAGGGUGAGGACUGACGGAGCCGCAGAGGUGCGCCGUGUAGAUUUAGGCACCCAGCCCUUGGGGGUGAGGACUGGCAGAGCUGCGGAGGCACGCCAAGUAGAAUUAGGCACCCAGCCCCCGAGAGUGAAGACUGGCCAAGCCGCGGAGGCACACCGAGUAGAAUUAGGCACCUAGCCCCCAAGGGUGAGGAUUUGCAAAGCCGCAGAGGUGCGCCGAGUAGAAUUAGGUGUGUGGCCCAAGGACGGGGUGUGACAAAGCCACCGAGGCAUGCCAUUAAAAAUGCAACAAAGAUCUCGCAGAUUCCGUGACACGCUGUGGCGAAACCGCCCAAAUUAACUUGGCUAACAUGCACUUAAGUUGCCUAACACGCGAUCAUGCACUUUAGAAAAGCCAACUAGGUCGUCCGUUAGAUUUCAUCCGCUAAAACACACAUUUUUAGGAUCAAGAAGCAUUGCUGACACGAAGGUGAGUGGUUACAGAAGUUACAACAUUCCCAUCACAUUAACGUAGUUCAACAUUUUAUUACAUUAGAGUUUUCAAAAUUCAGACAGAGUUUGAAAGGUUGUAACAACAAAGAAGUAAAAUAUGCGGAAGCUAAUCUUUGAUACACGAUAUCAUGACGAAGCCGAUCAUGACAUCAAUAACCCCUAUCCUUGCCAUCCGAGGAGGGAUCCCACUCGACCGUCCAACCCAGAGGGAGCUGGAUAGGCCAAGUGAUGCUAGCAGCCAAACUAUCGACAUCACUUGAAAAGUUAUGCCACAAGUAAGGCUGAGCACCUAAUACUCAGCAAGACUGACCCAACAGUGGUUGCUAAACCACCAACUUCUAGACAUGCAGGCUCUUUGGCUGUGGGUUUGUUUUUGCCAAAAGCGACUAAUAUUGAUCCUUACUUUCAAUAUUUUAUCUCAGAUUCUACAUUCAUUAACCAAUCUAAAUUAGCAACUUAUACUAAAAAACAUAGUUUUCAAACAAUUAAUGACAAGCAUCAAGUUUAACAUCUCCAUCAUGUUCCAUCUUUACUCAGUGCAGCACAACGAGCAAGUAGUCCCAAACUAUGAGAGGCAGACAAUUCGAAUCGAGUUUAUUAACCAUGAGAGGCCAACCUAAUCCCAUGACAUCCGCGCACCACGAAGGGUCCCUUCACUUGUUAGCCAUCCCUAUCACUUCCCUGGGUACAAGGCCCCACAGUCCCGGUCUCUACUGUACUGUGACUUCACUUGUCACCACAUGAUGCACUAGGGGAAAACUAAAUUUCCAGAGAUAGUGGAACGAAACGCUCACGUCCUGGUUUAAUCAGGUACUAGGCUUCCCCAUCCCAUAAUAGGUAUCAGAUUAGUACUUUCAAACACUUGAUCCCGAACACUAUCACUUUUCAACCUUAGUCCAUUUUAAGUAGAUAGAUGGGGCAAACCACCGAGUACCGAACAAUAAAGACCGGCCCCGUCCAUCGUCGUUAUGGUUAUAACAUAAGUAAAGCAAUCAAAUCCUAUAGCUCGCGAGUGACAGGCAAUCACUUGACUUUUACCGAGUUCUAUUUAAGCAUUGCAUCUACUCGACUUUAGCAACUAGUGUUCAGAUCAAGGUACUAUGUUUCAUGCAUCUAUAGUUUCAAUCAACUCCUAGAAACGUAAAUGCAUAAUCAUAAGCAUCAACAUAUUGCAAUAGUUUAACACAGGGGAUCAUGCACCGGGGCUUGCCUUUAGUUUCAGAGAAAGUUAGUUGGUCUUUGGGGUCUUGAUCUGGCUCGGGUUCAGCUUCCACGUGUUGUAGCUCUGAGGCGGGUUCCUCUUCCGGCGUGGGGUGGAGCUCAUAGGUUCCAUCGGCGAUAUUAACUUCUACACGAUAUGCAUAUGCAGGUAGUUAAAUUUUCCAUGCUAUCACAUGCAGGAUGCAAGAAAGGAAUUAUUGUUGAAGUGUAAAUUGCAUUUGGUCCACAUUCAUCUAAACAAGGUUCUAGACUUUCAUUAUUUUCAUGAAGUAAGGUGUGGUGUGGUAUAAAACUUGGGGUUGACUUUGAUGGUGAUUGUUUACACAUUUAAGGUUUUAUAAUUUUGACUUCACAAAGGAAAGUGGGGUCACUCUAGGGUUGUUCAAGGUUCAUUUGGAAAGUUAUCCUAUUUUUGAGUGUUCUUCUGUACCUCUUCCAUAAAUUACCAUUUUACCCCUACUAUGACUUAACGUUUUCUUUUAUUCAUUUAAACUAGUUCGUCUUCCAAAUGUGUUUCCAUAUUCAAACAGCAACAUAUGACACUGAGAAUUUAGCAGUAACUCAAUCAUGUCAUCACUGAGUUACUGUAAAAAUUUAGGACUAUUGGACUAGUACAAAUAUAAGUAAAAUUGUUUCAUUGCCCAAAGGUAGCAUGUACUUAACCAUUUUUAUCUCAAAAUCUACAGUGAUUACAAGGGUGAAACUUUAGUAGUGGGUUGAAAGUGUGUGACAGAGACUUUGGUGAUUUUUCAUGAUUUUUAGUGAAGGACAUCUAUUUUCCACAUAUAUCCCCUAUUUAUCUAUCCAUAAAAAGGAAGGUGUGUCUCAUUAAGUGUCAUCAAGGGUUUCAUAUUUUUUUUCUAAUAUCUAUACUUCAAAACUGAACUACUCCAAGUGGAUUCACAUUUUUCUCUGCUCUAGAUUAAUCCCUAGGCAAAAAGAUAAAUUUAACCAUAGAUCUCACAGAUAGAAGUUAAACUGUGAUUUAAAGUUCCAACUAGGCUGCAAAGCAUAUUCCUAAGGUUCUUCUUACUGCAACAAACAUCUCAGAGGUGGUUUUGUUAUUUUUACAUUUGUCUGUGAUUUACUAUGAUUUUAAUAGCCUAAACACGAAAUAAAAUUAUCGGGCAUUAUUUCUAAGAGUAACAAGUGCAAAGUUUAUUUUUCUAUGUGACUACACAUCACACUGAGUUCCACAAAGUUGAUUUCGUAUUUUUCUGAUUUUUUUGGAUUUUUCUGUGCAUUUCCAAAGUUCAUCCAAUAUUCUGAGAAUUUAUUUCAAAUAUACCGGGGUAGUUUUUCAGUUAGACCCUUAGAAGUUUUAAAGUUUCAUAGAUAAGCCCUUAAGUUUUGCAGUCAAGUCCUACAAAAACUAAAAGUUCACAACCAAGCCCAUAUGGCACGUGCGGUAGCAGGCGCUACUCGAUCCGGCGACUCAGGGGCUAAUCCCAGCAAACAAGCAGCGGGGGAAGCACGGCAGCUCACCAGGGAGGGCUCGAAGGAGUUUGGGCAGCUGUGGUGGCUUGUCGACAUCGAACGCCGCUGGGGAAGAAAGUGCGGUGGCGGUAGUGGUGCUCGAGUGUUCCGACGCCGGUGAGAGUCUUGGCGGGCAACGAGCGGCAGUGGAACCUGCGCAAUGGUGUGGCGGAGCUAGAGCAAGUGGCAACGAGCGGUGGUGCAGCACGAAGAGGUGAGCUUUGCGAUGAGCGGGUGGCAGAGCAGAGCUUCGCUGGGCGCUUGUGCGUUCGAGGGUGGGGCAGAGCGUUUGGCGGUGGAAGGUCACCUUUUAUAGCGAUUGGGCGAUGCUGCGGGGCUGCGUGGAGGCAUGGGCGGGCUCAGCAUGGCAGCCGGGCAUUGGGGACUGGCUGGCGGCCAGCUGAUUGGCUGCGGACGCCAUUGGUGGAGCGUACGGAGUUGCGGGGCAAGGAAGCUCUAGGCAUUGGGUGGCCAAGAUAUGGGCAUGAAGAAUCCGCCUUGUCGGGUGAGGCUACUAGCGGAGGCGGCUUGCGAGUUGUCACUCUCAGGGCCGUGGUUGGGAGCAGAGCCAGCCGGUGCACGGCCAUGGCAUGGCGGAGAGAGAUGGGUGGGGCUCGGCGCAACAUUGGGUGAAGGAGAUGCUCAGGCAGGGGGAGGAUAGGGUCACGAGGUCAUUGGGCAAGGCGGCGCGUCGACUUGUCUCGUCAUCGCGCAGAUAGGCCAUGGCGGGCUCGCCGGUGGGGGACGUCCACGCGGUGGCGGCGAGCUGUGCAGGCAUGCGCCGUGCGCGCCCUGGCAUGGGGGUGACGUGAGAUAGGGUGAAGGGUUGGGGUUUAAGCGAGAUUUAAACCAAAAUUUUGAACUACACUUCAAAAUUUCCCUUUCUAAGAUCUGUUGUCCCAAAGCCAAAGUUCAAACUUUACAUAAGGUUCCAGCUCAAAAUCAAAACAGAUUUGAGUUUAAAAAGGCCCAAAGUUUGGCAGAACACUGAAAUUUAAGACUUAGCACCAGUUUCAGGUUUGGGCCGAGUUGACCAUUUUGAUCGAAUUUGACCUCAAUUUUGAAGGGUUUUUGUGCAGAUUUUGGCCAAACUCUAUUAAGUGAAGUUGUAAAGGAUCUAAAUCACUUAAACUUGUAUAAAGGGUUUGUCUUGAGUUCUGAUACAAAUUUGUGAGAAACAGGGCUGCCAAGUUAAGGUUUUUCACUGAUUUCAACACUUGGAGUUUUUGAAGUGAGUUUCAAUUGCUACUAAUUUUUAUUCUAGUUUUUGAACCUCUUCCACUCCAAACUAGCAAAAGUGCUACUAAGGAAAGUUAUUAGAAAUGUAAAACUCUACAACUUUUGGUUUGACAAAAUUUUAAGUUCCUAUAUAAAAUUUGAAGUUUUGAAUUAAACCCCAAUUUGAGCUUUUAAGGGAAAAUUUGACCUUUCACUUGCUAGAUGUUGGCGCUAGAAAUCGGUCAACCGAAUCCCCAGCAUCUGACACACGACCUGGGAGAAUCUGCUUAACUCCUGUUCGGGUGAUUGCCCUGGUGCGGUUCGCGCGGCGUGCCAGCCAAUCUGACCUGUUGAUUGGCAAGGAAGAAUGCGUGUCAGAUCCAAAAGUCACGAUCGGCUAAAUUUCCGAUCUUGAGGGAGCUUAUCAGCGAAUCGACUGAUUUGCUGUAAUAAAGAAAUCGGCUAUGAAGCAGCCGACUAUCAGGCAGCGUGAACGACGACUAAUUCAAGUAAUCGGUACAACGCUACAGUAGCAACACUAGGAACAGAUCUAAUCGGCUAUGCGUAGAAUAAGUAAAUUAUACAGCAAAGUAUGAGAAAAGCCGAAAUUGCCGAUUCCUAGCUGGAUAACUGGUGAUAAAACUAGAAAAAAUAGGUAAGACCUAUAAUUCUAGUAAAUAUCGAUAACUAGUGAAUAAAUCUAAAUGAAACAACAGCGAUGCGCCCGAAGUUAAAGCUUAGAAUUUACCCGGUAAAUGGAACUUACAAGAUCGGCCGGAGGUCAAGUUGAUGCGGCCCUGCCAACCCGUACGAACUCGUGAAAAAGAAGAAAGUAUUUGGCAAAGUCGCCUGCUUGAACGUAAGUACGAGGAAAUAGUAAUUGGUUGUAUUGAGUAGUUGAUGAUUAUAGAUCUUCAAAGGUGGCUAUUUAUAGCCCCGUACAGACGACUCCUUAUCUGACUAGAACUCUAUCCCUAAUUCAAAUAGAAAACGAAUAUUUACAAGCACAACUUGUACUAGGUUGGUUAUUAUACGCUUCAUGGGCUGAUUUUCUCCUCAUCCUUCUGAUCCUUUCCAAGCCCACACCGGCCCAAUUAUUCUAACCUCCUAAUCGGCCGAUUCCUCAUCGGCAAAGGGUAACCGAUCGGGAACCAGGCGUGUCUGAUCCAAACCCUAAGGGUUAAGCGAGGCAGAAUUCCUAAAGAUCCAUCAGCCGAUCCUGUACUGUAGCAUCGGCCGAUCCUGGACUGUAGCACCAACCAACCGAUCUCUAACUGUAGCGCCAUUCAGCCGAUUUCCAAGUGUCACCCCUAUAUUCUACUGUACCUUCCCAUUUCUUCUUCUCCUGAUGCCGAUUUUACUUGUGACGAAAUCUGGCGUCAACACAUGCCCCCCAGUUUCGGAGUAAAACAUAGUCUUUUACUUCGAAAUUCUUUUCAACUUCCCCUCCGAAACAACCGCAAUGAAAACAUCCAUCCGUUUCGCGGUCUUCAACCUGAUGAUUGCAAUCUUUUCGAAACGGGCACCCACGACAACCACUACUCCCGAAAAAGUCGAAACGCCGGCGCGGUUAGAAUUCCAUUUUUACCCUUCAUCAGGCACCCUUUAAAUAUCAGUACACCCCGCACCUCCUUUUCGAGCUCACGUCCUUCUUCCUCAGUGCGCGGGCCUUCUUCUUCCCCCAGCACUUUCCCUUAGCUCCAAAGCUUCCUAGCGCCAUCUUCCUGUCGCUUUUCCUUCUCCCCUCCAAUGGCGGCACCUUCAGGCAACUCUCCCGCGCGCGAUGCUCCAGAAAUGGUGCCUCCGGCGGAAAUAGCGACAAUGGUGGCUCCAUCAUCGAAAGAAGGAGCUUCAUCCAAGAUCCCAAUGGCGAUCCCAAUGGUGGCCUCAUCCUCCGCAGCUGCACCGGUGGUCACGCCGACUACAAGGAACUUCAUCCCAGAGGUCAUUACCGAAUCCUUCCUCUAUCGGCAAUACAUUUACCUUAGAUCUAUUUCUUACUUUCGCACCCCCUUUCCUUUUUUAGGCGGUUAGACAUCGUAUCACUAUCCAUCUAACGGGAAAUCCCGGCCUUAUCUGUCUCGGACCCAUGGGGAACCCAGAUCCAAUCGAGCUCAUCAAUUUGGAAACCCAUAGAAUCCCCUUCAAACAAUCCACCAUGGACCUGGAUCACUGGUUGGGCACCUUUAGGUCUUGGCCGAAUGAAACCCCUGGUUGGAGGGAGUGGUACCAACGGAUAGCCGAACCGAAGAGGGUCCAAUGGGACGAGCUCAAAAUCGGCCAAUGCAUCAACCUAUCUUUGUCCCAGAUGGAGCGAAAUGAACCAUUGGUGAUAGCAGCCUCUUACUUUUGGUCUGAUGCCCUCAACGCAUUCUUGUUUGGACAUGGACCUAUGACCCCCACACUGGCCGAUGUGGUUCUGCUGACCAGCCUAGACAUCUCCUCCCCAGACACACCUUUCCGCCUCUUAGCCGCAACAUCGCAUCGGCUGGACACGAGAGGAAUCGGCGGGUGGAAAGGAUUUAUCAGAUGCAACAAAAGGACCGGGUCUGUUGAGAACAGGGAGCAUACGGCCUUCUUAAUGAUGUGGUUGGAAAAACAUUUCUUUUGCGGAAGAGCAGCCGGCCCAUCAACCAACACCCAGGCUUUAGCUGAAGCACUAUCGGUAGGAACCCCUGUUCCUCUUGGAAAACACUUGCUAGGGGUGGCCUACCACAUGCUCCACCAAAUCGGCAUCAAACUUUCCAAGGGGGAGCCGAUUGGAAAUCCAGGCGGACCUUGGUGGUUCAUCAACUUGUGGCUGAACCUGUAUAUGAGCAAGAUCUCUCAGCAGAGGGUAAAACACGUGACGUUCCCCAACAUUGAAUCGGCAGAAGAUCCCACUGCUCGACGCCGAUGCACAUCUUUUGGUGAAGCGGCGUCGGCCUUCCCGGGUUGCCUGUACUCUGCUACAAAAGUGGCCGAGUACUUUCGAUGCUUUUAUAACAGCUUUAAUGAAGAUGCAACCGUCUGGUUUCCUUAUCGGCGAGAUGACCCAAUCUUCGAACUCCCCACUUGCUUCGACUCGACCACUGGCCGAUUCGACGAGGACCUCACCGAUGAGUUAAUCAAACCGGGAAUCCUGCCAGCCAACUUCUUUUCAGGGAAAGAUGCUCCUACAUAUGAGUUCUACAAUCCCUCUGCUGCAGCACGUCAACUCGGCAUGGGUCAACUGCCGAUUCAAGUGUAUUUUGCUGGCCGAGCCAAGUUCAAAGAUGGGCUCACAACAGGUCUGGACUACAAUCGGCUGCAAGACCGGAUCCCAGACUCCACCACUAUUGACUUGAACAACUGGAUAGUAGCUCCCUUCGCUGUCCAGCCAUUCAAGCUUUGGUGGGCCGAAUGGAAACAAUUCCUAUUCUGCAACUCCGCAUCGGCAUACUGCAAUCUCCUGGAUCCAACCAACAUCGACCCAAACGCCGAGGUAUUUUUCCUUAGCCGAUUUUUAUUCUUUUAUGAACGCAGCUGAACACUAACGUUUUUGCAGUCCGAGAACCGUGUCCCCCCAACACAUAGCUGGAGUGGUCGGCUAAUAGAAGAUCAUCAUCCAUACACCACUUUUCCUCUUAUUGGCUAUGAUGCCCCGUCCGUGGACGUGAUUGCCGGCCGAUCGAAGCAAGCACAGAAGAAAGUCACCAAGAAGACCAGUCACCGAGUCCGGGCCCGUAUAGAAUUGGCGGAUCCCCCUACGCUCGUAUCGGCAGAGACUUUGGCCGCAUCACCUCUUCCAGCUGCCAGAGACAUCGACACUCAAGUUGUUGCGCAAGCUGGGGCGGCCGCUGUGUCACUACUGUUAGAGGCCGUGCAGGUAAACUUAUGUUUAACCCUUCCGAUUGUUGUUUCGAUAUUAAUCCUUCUUAUCUUAGACUGCACAGAUUACCCCUAUGGACACACAACAAUCGGCAGCAACCCAAUCGGCCAUCGACGCGCCCCCGCUUCCAUCCAUUGAGGUAUAACACUAUUUCACCGAUUCCCCUAGUAUUUGAAUAAUAUGCUUAUUCAACCUUCUGACACAGGUCAUCGGCACGCCAAGAGCCCCUCAACCACAGGUCCCCUCUCGGGAAGCUGGUUCCAAGCACAGCGCCAAUCAUCGUGGAGUCUUCUUCCUCUGAUGAACCCAUGGCACCAGCCCCUGAACCGAGGAUGACGGCUUCCCAAAUGCAGCUUGAGGAAAUCCGAUUCAAAGAGGUAAGAAAUCUUUCAACUUUAUUUAGCUGAUUUGCUAUCACCAUCAGCCGAUUUAUUUUAUUAUUUCCAAGAACAGGACACCCCUGACAACAGCCUCUUCUAUUUUGCGGUCGCCCUCUCUGACGAUGAAGAAGUCGCCUCCCGCCAGGUCACCUUGAGCUCCAUCCCCGACGAUGUCCGAGCCAAGCUUACCAGCAUCCGAUCCCUUUUUCAAGAAGACAUCGGCCGAUUGGUAGAAGAUGCCUCGCCGAUUCGGCAGCUCUUUGGUGACGUCAGCGGACGAGUACCAGAAGAAGCGGAGGAAGCCUUGGCGCCAGCCGCAUACAUUGAGUCGAUGAGGAUCCCGGUCUUCAGAGCCCUUCAUCACAUGGCUGAUCGCGCCAAGUUAGCCAAGACUCGUGAAGAAGAGGAUGCGUACAAACGCCAGGCCCAAGAGGUGCACCAACGUAUUCAUUUUCUGGAGGACUCCCGCCCAGGGAUCAUCGGCGAGAUAGACCGCCUCAAACGCCGAAGGGCAGAGCUCGCCAAGGAGAUGGAACAGGUGACCAAAGCAAUAAACGCCGAAGAGAAAAGGCUCCAAGAACUCCCUUCCGUCAUCACUGAUCUAAAAUAGGAGAGGCAGCAUUUGGCCCAUGAAGCCCUAAAACUCCACCGCAGUGCAUCAGAAGUCCCCGGAUCGGCGGAUGAUGACCAACGGGUUUUGGACUCUGCCAAUCAGAUCCGGCGUCGAGCGAUUGCGGCUAUCGAUGCCCUCCUGGGUAAUCUGUAAAAGUACUGACUAUUUUUGUACGAACCUUUAAUGACUGCUUUGACCGUCCUUCGUGAUGCCUCUUUUAUUCAUUGCCUUUCUCACUUCCGACGGGACGCACCUUUACCAAAUACCUACGCCUCUUUUUCUUAUAAAUGCUGGCCUAGACCCUCCUUCCGAGAGUACCAGUUUGGCUCGGCUUUGUUUUCUCAACCUGCUCUCGUCGGCGCGACCUUCAGUUAUGUCUUCCUCAUCUUCCUCUUCCUCUGUCAACCAGGUGAAAAUCUGGCCUCGAUCCUUCUUCUCUAUUUAACUCUUUUGAAGGGGAUUACCUUUUUAAUCGUUCUUUUCUUUAGCCACGGCGUCUUAGCCCCGAACUUGAACGCGCCAUCGAGCUCAUGCACUCUGAUGAACCGUUGUCGUCAGAGGACAAGGAUUUAAUCAGGGCUCAUCGUGACGAACUUCAAGAACAUGUCCUUGCUGACAUCCGUCGGAUUUGGGACUUUCUGGACGGCAACGCCUGCCGGCGACCUCAAGCCGACAGAAGUCAUCCGCUUCCUCCGCGAGUCACCCUUGAAGAUGCGGCAGCAGGAACAUCGCGCCCGGCCAUGGACCAGAGCCACCCUCUCCCCCGUCAAGUCGAAGCGGAGGCUUCGAUGAAAGAGAUAGAAGAAGAGUACAUCCGUCUUAUGAUAGAGUUAGGUCGGGCUGAGAGAGAGCGUAAGAAAAAGAAUGGUUAAUUAUUAUUUUUUGUUCUAAGGGCGACUUGUACCUUGUCGGCCGUGUAACCCACCGUCCAUACCGAAUGAAUACAUUGGCCGAUUUGGACGAUUACGUGUUUUUUCUAGAUGAACCGUUUUGUAUCGGCUGUUUGUAUUGUGGUCAAUCCUUUAUGCUCCGACCCAUAUACUAGGGUAGUAUCUUUUCAAGUAUCUUCCAUUCAGAGCCCUAGUAAACUCUUCUCCCUCGAUUGUUUCCAAAAUAUAAGCAUUUCCUGGAGCACAUCUACCGAUUUUAUACGGCCCUUCCCAUGUAGGGGACCACUUUCCGAAUUUAGGAUCUUUCAACCCAAUCGGCAACACUAACUUCCAAACCAGGUCCCCAGGGGAGAAUUGUUUGACUUUGACCUUCUUAUCGUACCACCUAGCUACUUUCUUCUUGUUUUCCUCAAUGCUUAUCAAAGCUCUCAACCGCUAGCCGGCCAAGUCAUCAAGUUCCCUUUUCAUGAGUGACGAGUAGUCGUCGGCCGUUAACUGGUCCUGGAGCGAAAUGCGCCUCGACCCUACCCUUGAUUCCCACGGUAGUACUGCAUCGUGACCGUACACCAACUGAUAAGGGGAUAACUUGGUGGCCCCAUGGCAAGCCAUCCUGUAUGCCCAUAGGGCUUCAGUUAGACAUAGAUGCCAUUUUUUCGGCUGCUCCUCUAUCUUUCUUUUGAUUAACUUAAUUAUCCCUUUGUUGGAGGAUUCGGCCUGGCCGUUAGCUUGGGCAUAAUAUGGAGAGGAGUUUAACAAUUUGAUUCCCAUAUCGGCUGUGAAUUCCUCGAAUUCCCCUGAUGUGAACAUUGUUCCCUGAUCAGUUGUAAUAGUCUGGGGGAUACCGAAUCGGUAGACGAUAUGGUCCCUUACGAAGUCGGCCAUGGUAGCCGAUGUCACGGCCCUUAACGGAAUUGCUUCCACCCAUUUGGUAAAGUAAUCGGUAGCCACCAGAAUAAAUUUGUGCCCUUUGCUCGACGGAGGGUAAAUUUGGCCGGUAAGGUCUAUUCCCCAUCCUCUGAACGGCCAAGGCUUGAUAAUGGGGUUCAUGGCCGAUGCGGGCGCACGUUGGACAUUCCCGAAUUUCUGACAAUCCUGGCAUCCCUUAUAAUAUUUGAAGCAAUCUUCGAGGAUGGUCGGCCAGUAAUACCCAUUAUUCCUGAUCAUCCAUUUCAUCUUAUGGGCCGAUUGAUGGGCUCCACACACCCCUUCAUGGAUUCCUCCUAUCAGAGUCUUAGCCUCCUCUGUUCCCAGACAUUUGAGCAGAACGCCGUCAAUCGUUCAGUAGAAUAAGUCGUCCUCAAGCAGUACGUAUUUAGUAGCAUGGAAACGCACUCGUCGAUCCACUUUCUUAGACGGAUCUUUCAAGUAGUCGGCAAUUUCUUUUCGCCAGUCAUCGGCCGCAAGUUCCAGAGCCAUAGCACCUAGAAUUGGCCGAUAUCCAGAUGCGUGCUGGGCGAGUUUGUUGGCAUCCUCGUUGUGGUCCCUUGGGAUGUGCUCGAUUACUGCCGAUUUGAAUUCCUUCAAGAGCUGCAGACAAUCCUCGUAAUAAAUUCUCAAUACAUCGUCUUUGCAUUCGGACUUCCCUGUUAAUUGAUCCACAAUAAGCAUGGAAUCCCCGAAGACUUCAACAGAAUCGGCCUUGACUUCUCUUAGUAGUUGUAAACCCUUCAAUACAGCCCAGUACUCUGCUUGAUUGUUAGUGGCGGUGGCUUCUAUCGGCAGAGAAAAAUCAUAACUUGCCCCCCGAGGCGAUAUGAGGACGAUGCCGAUUCCUGAUCCGACCCCACAUGACGAUCCAUCAAAGUAUAAAGUCCAAGGCACCGGUUCUAUGAAGGUAGUCUCUGGUCCGCAGUGUUGGGCUACGAAAUCGGCCAUGACCUGACCCUUGACGGCUUUCGCCGAUUCAUACCGCAGGUCAAACUCUGACAAAGCUAAGAUCCAUUUGCCGAUUCGUCCUUUCAAGACCGGCAGUGACAACAUGUAUUUUACUACAUCAUCUUUGCAUAUGACCACGCAUUCCGCCAACAGUAAAUAGUGCCUGAGUUUGGUGCAUGAGAAGUAAAGACACAGGCACAACCGCUCUACUGGAGGAUAUCUCGUUUCAGCGUCCAGAAGUCUUCUACUGACAUAAUAAAUUACUCGUUCUUUUCCUUCGAAUUCCUGGACUAGAGCCGACCCAAUAGCCUUUUCAUCGGCUGAUAAGUAUAAUUUAAAUGGCUUACCAGUUUGAGGAGGAACCAAUACCGGUGGCGAGACCAAGUACUGCUUGAUAUCUUCCAGUGCCUUGUGUUGCUCCUCCCCCCAUAUGAACUCCUGGUUAGGCUUCAACUUUAAUAGUGGUGUGAAAGCCUAGAUCUGCCCGGAUAAAUUAGAUAUGAAUCUUCUGAUGAAAUUCACCUUGCCGAUUUGAGACUGCAAUUCAGUUUUAUUCUGCGGGGCCACGACUUUGUUGAUAGCCGCUAUGGUCUUCUGAUUGACUUCUAUUCCCCGCUCGUGCACCAUGAAUCCUAAGAAUUGUCCAGCGGACACGCUGAAGGCACAUUUAUUUGGGUUCAUCUUUAGCCCAUGUUUCUUAGUGCAUUCCAGCACUCUUCGCAAAUCGGCCAGAUGCUCUUCGUGUCCUUUGGACUUGACUAUGACGUCGUCGAUGUAGAUUUCUACCAGAAUGCCAAUGAGUUUGUGAAAUAUGUAGUUCAUGGCUCUCUGAUACGUGGCACCGGCAUUUUUCAAGCCAAAAGUCAUCACCACCCAUUCGAAUAAACCAAGGUGACCCAGGCAUCUGAAGGCCGUUUUGGGUAUGUCCUCUUCGGCCAUAAGUAUUUGAUUGUACCCAGCGUUUCCGUCCAUGAAGCUAAUAAUCUUGUGUCCCGCGGCAGCGUCUAUCAGCACAUCGGCCGUUGGCAUGGGGUACCCGUCCAUCGGUGUGGCCUGAUUAAGGUUCCUGAAAUCAACGCACACGUGUAGCUUUCCGUUCUUCUUGUACACUGGUACAAUGUUGGAGAUCCACUCGGCAUAACGGCAUUGCCGAAUAAAUUUGGCUUCGAUUAGCCGAGUUAUUUCGGCUUUUAUGUCUGGUAGAAUUUUAGGAUUGCACCGCUGUGCCGGCUGUUGAUACAGCCGAUACCCUGGUUUUAUGGGUAGCCGAUGUUCAACGAUAGAUCGAUCUAAUCCAGGCAUCUCAUGAUACUCCCAAGCAAAACAAUCCUUAAAUUCCCUUAACAAAUUUGUCAGUUUACAUUUGUAUUCCGAGUCUAAAUUUGCACUAAUAUAAGUCGGCCUUGAUUUGGUGCCAUCGCAUAAGUCUACCAUCUCUAAUGAAUCGGCCGACGUGAACCCAUGCCCUAGCUUCCCAUCUUCUCGGGCGAACUGAUCCAUUUAAUCUGAGUCUUCGGAGCCGACUGCUCGGAUCGGCUGUAGGCCAAAAUCGGACAUCUUCAGGAAGUCGGUAUCCCAUACUCUACCAGAUAUGCAUUUGACGGUUUCGCAGCUCCACUGCUGCGUGUCGGCUGCCGCGAUGCUGUAUGCGGAAUCGGCGUUGACCACCUCGAUGUUGUCGCCAACCCAUUGUACAAGACAUUGAUGCAUUGUCGAUGGGAUGCAGCAAUUUGCGUGUAUCCAGUCUCGGCUGAGUAGCAUGUUGUAGGAUCCCUUGCCAUUAAUAAUAAGAAGGUAGUGGGAAGGGUCUUACUGCCGAUAGUGAGGUUGACGCAGAGGGCGCCGCGAGCGGGAGACAUGUUGCCCUCGAAGUCUUUGAGCAUCAUGUCUGUCUUGGUCAAGUCAUCAUCGCUUUUCCCAAGCUUCCAGAGCACGGCAUAUGGCAUGAUGUUGACUGCAGCUCCUCCGUUUACCAUUAAUCUGGUGAGGGGGCGGCCGUUGACAUGCCCUUUAAGGAACAAUGCUUUCAGGUGUUGCCGUUUGUCAUCCUCAGGCUUCUCGAACAUGGCUAUCAUUGGCUCCAAAGCCAAUUGUGCCAUCUGUUCUUCUAUCGCCGACACAUCCUGUCGGUCGGCAGGAGUCAUAAAUUCCAUUGGCAGUAUGAAAACCAUACCGAUGUCGGCUGCCGAUUCAUCGCCCGCCGAUUCGUCGCCUCCUCUAUCGUUUCUUUUGGGGUGCCAUACCUGAGACCUGCCUUCCCUCUUGUCCGUCGUGCUCUGUUAUUCUUCCUCCUGCUGUUCCCACUGGCGGAGACGUUGAAUCCUUCAUUUUUGAGAUUUGGUCAAUCCGUUGGGACACCACCUGAGGUUUACUGGUUUGGUUCUUGGCCUGGCGCGUUCCCAUUCCGGCUUACGUCCUAAAGGGUUUUUGUCUGUCACCCGAGCAUCGGCCAUCUCUUCGAGCUGACUGUGAACGUUGGCCCUGUUUUCUGGCUGGUCAUGUCGAUCAAACCUGCCCCCCGACCUAUCAUGGCGUCUGUCUUCCAACUGGUCAUAUCGGUCACUUCUGCCCCCCAGCCGAUCACGUACGGGAGGACGCCGGUCGUCUUGGUCGCGCCGGUUCCUGCUGAUCGGUUUUGGUCUCCCAUCUCUGGAGCGAGACCUGUUGAAUGGCCGAUUGUUACGAUACGGGCCGUUGCAUUCAGGGCAAUUAUCGGCCGAAGGUAGCCUGAGGUUGCUCUCCCAACAGUGGAUGAAGAACGGGCACCUCCAGUGAUCUUCGUGUCGCCGCAUUGCUUCUUCCCGGGAUCUUGAGCGUUCAUGCUGCCACUGAUAUUUUUGGAGCAGGAAUUGGGAAGUAAUGAAUGGCUCACCCGAUUCACCGUCGUCGUCCUCGAUCCACCGCUUCCCCUUGACAUCUUCAGGUGUAGCUUGAUUUCUGGGGUCUACGGCGCCACUCUUUUUAGCCAAUUCGGAUGUCAGUACCUUCAUUUGGAGCGAAUUCCUCCCUGUGUCAACCAUGUUGGUGGGGAAGGGGUGCUGGUCGAUCUUCAUCGGCUUGGCCGAUUUUGUUGGUACUUCAAACUUAAGUCUGCCCUGCUCAAUGGCCGACUGUAUCUGCUGCCGGAAGAUUUUGCACUCAUUAGUGUCAUGGGAUGUAGCGUUGUGCCAUUUGCAAUAUUUCAUCUUCUUCAAUUGUUCGGCAGAAGGUAUUGUAUGAUAUGGCGAGAGCUUGAUUUGUCCUUCCUGGAGGAGAAGGUCGAAGAUUUUAUCGGCCUUCGUCGUGUCAAAGCUGAAUGUUUCUGGUUCUUUCUUGCCGAACGGGCAUGAUAUUGGCUUCUUUCCCUUGACCCACUCCACAAGACUGACCUCAGCAUCUUCUUCGGCUUCAACCUCUUCCAGGAACGCAACCUUCUUCUGGAAGUUCCUCCGUGGAUCGAAAGAACGUACCUCCUGUCCAGACAAUCGGUGGACGAUUUGGCUUAAGCUCUCAAACUCCUAUGAGGCGUACUUUUCUUUGAUGUGGGGCAGGAGACCUUGAAAGGCUAUAUCAGCCAGUUGUGCGUCGUUUAGAGCCAAAGAGUAGCAUUUGUUCCUGAUUUUCCGAAACCUCUGUACAUAUGAGGAUAUCGGCUCGUCGCUUCUCUACUUGAGGCUGGUCAAAUCGGACAGCUUCAUCUUAUGCACCCCAGCGUAGAAGUAUUUAUGAAACUGUCUUUCCAAAUCGGCCCAUGUAAAAUCGAGUUCGGCGGUAAUGUCGUGAACCACUGGAAGGCUGACCCAGACAGAGAUGACGAGAAUAGCCACACCUGUAGAGCGUCUUGCGCUGCUGCCUCUCCACAUUGGAUGAUGAACCUGUUAACGUGUUCCACAGUUGAAGUGUCAUCCAUCCCCGAGAACUUGGUGAAGUCAGGAACUUUAUACCGAUGGGGAAACAGCAGUAGGUCGUACGUAGACGGGUAUGGUGUCCUAUAAGUGUAAGUCUGUACCUUCGGCUUCAAGCCGAAUUGUUCCUGAAUCACUUCUGCUAUACGUGCCGACCAGUCCGGCUGUUGCUGGUAAACUAUUGGCUGAGGGACUGGCACGUGCUGGUAUAUCGGAGGUGGAAAGGCCUGAUGCUAGGUGAAAGUAGGCGGCAUCAGAGUGAAAGUCGGCUGUGUAUUCAGGGUCGGCUGUUUGAAUGAGCCACUCGUCUCAUCGCAUAGUACGAGCUUUGCUGCUUUGCUCAUCUCUGGUGCGACAGGCUGGUACGGCGGCAUAGUGGCUGCUUGGAAAGAUGCCUAGAAUUGGGGACUUCCCUGACCGGCCGAUUGAUCCUGAACGGCCGUAGCUGAUGGUGCCCCCAAGGCGCUGGAUUAACUGGAGAGAACGGCGCGGAGGACAGCUGAACGGGGUGUGGCUGGAGGUGUUGUGUGCCAUUAUACCCCAAAGGAAUUGAUGAUGAGGAAGCGCCUGAACCCCCAAUAGGAAAUUGAAUCGGCUGAGAAGCCGAAUUUAGAUAGCCCUUGUUUGGUGGAAUCGGCGGAGCAUAUGCCGGUCCCUUAUACCCCUAAUGUACCCCACUAGCCAAGGAGCUGAUGACGGCAUUGUACACCGUAUUUGCAAGCACCAGGGAUUGAUCAAUGAAGGCGUGAUAAACAGACUGUUGGACCAUCUCGGCCAUCUUGUCCGAGUCCUCGGUGAUUGUGAUCUGGCGGGGAGUUAGAAACGGAGACUUUUUUAUAGUCUCCCCGCUUCUGGUGCGACUGAAGGACUGUAGGCAAACCUUCCGGUAUUGUGCCGUCUGUUUUUCUAGUUCUUCCUUCUGGUCGUCCCUGAGAUCCACCUCUGUCACUUCGAUGACAUUAUCUUCGAAGACUUCAGCUGCUUUCGACAUGGGGGCAUUUGUGUUUGUCCCACCGGGCGUGCCAAAAGUGUGUUGGCGCUAGAAAUCGGUCAACCGAAUCCCCAGCGUCUGACACACGACCCGGGAGAAUCUCCUUAACUCCUGUUCGGGUGAUUGCCCUGGUGCAGUUCGCGUGGCGUGCCAGCCAAUCUGACCUGUUGAUUGGCAAGGAAGAAUAGGUGUCAGAUCCAAAAGUCACGAUCAGCUAAAUUUCCGAUCUUGAGAGAGCUUAUCAGCGAAUCGGCCGAUUUGCCGUAAUAAAGAAAUCGGCUAUGAAGCAGCCGACUAUCAGGCAGCGUGAACGACGACUAAUUGAAGUAAUCAGUACAACGCUACAGUAGCAACACUAGGAAUAGAUCUAAUCGGCUGUGCGUAGAAUAAGUAAAUUAUACAGCAAAGUAUGAGAAAAAGCCAAAAUUUCCGAUUCCUAGCUGGAUAACUGGUGAUAAAACUAGAAAAAACAGGUAAGACCUAUAAUUCUAGUAAAUAUCGAUAACUAGUGAAUAAAUCUAAACGAAACAACAGCGAUGCGCCCGAAGUUAAAGCUUAGAAUUUACCCGGUAAACGGAACUUACAAGAUCGGCCGGAGGUCAAGUUGAUGCAGCCCUGCCAACCUGUACGAACUCGUGAAAAAGAAGAAAGUAUUUGGCGAAGUCGCCUGCUUGAAAGUUAGUACGAGGAAAUAGUAAUUGGUUGUAUUGAGUAGUUGAUGAUUACAAAUCUUCAAAGGUGGCUAUUUAUAGCCCCGUACAGACGACUCCUUAUCUGACUAGAACUCUAUCCCUAAUUCAAAUAGAAAACGAAUAUUUACAAGCACGACUUGUACUAGGUUGGUUAUUAUACGCUUCAUGGGCUGAUUUCCUCCUCAUCCUUCUGAUCCUUUCCAAGCCCACACCGACCCAAUUAUUCUAACCUCCCAAUCGGUCGAUUCCUCAUCGGCAAAGGGUAACCGAUCGGGAACCAGGCGUGUCCGAUCCAAACCCCAAGGGUUAAGCGAGGCAGAAUUCCUAAAGAUCCAUUAGCCGAUCCUGUACUGUAGCAUCGGCCGAUCCUGGACUGUAGCACCAACCAACCGAUCUCUAACUGUAGCACCAUUCGGCCGAUUUCCAACUGUCACCCCUGUAUUCUACUGUACCUUCCCAUUUCUUCUUCUCCUGACGCCGAUUUUACUUGUGACAAAAUCUGGCGUCAACACUAGAGUAGUGUCUAAGGCUCGUAUUCCAGCUUAACCAAGUUUAGAUUAAUUAUCCCAACUCUUGUCAUAGUAGAUGACACAAGUGCGUAGCAUAUCUUCUAAUAUUUGAUUGACCCUCUCAGUUUGUCCAUCUGUUUGAGGGUGAUACGUUGAGCUACGAAUCAGCUUAGUGCCAAGUGAAGACUGUAAUUGUUCCCAAAAGCGUGCUACAAACUGAAUACCUUGAUCCGAGAUGAUCGUUUUUGGCACACUAUGUAGGCAAACAAUCCGGUGAAGAUACAGGUCCACAAACUUCUUUGUGGUGUAAGUGGUGUGUAGAGGAAGGAAAUGUGUUGUCUUGGUGAGUUUGUCCACUAUAACCCAUAUGGAACCAUGCUUGCGAGAGGUAUUAGGCAAUCCGACUAUGAAGUCCAUGCUUAUAUCCUCUCACUUCCAUGAGAGAAUAGGAAGCGGUUGUAGAGUGCCAGCUACCUUCAAGUGGCCUGCCUUGACUCAUUGACAUGUGUCGCAUUCCGAGACAUAGAGUGCAAUAUUUGGUUUCAUCCCACUCCACCAUAAAUUUUGCCGGAGGUCAUGGUACAUUUGUUACUACUGGAUGAAUUGUCUGCUUCUUGAGAUUGGUAGCAUUUGGUACAACCAAUCUACCAUGGUACCAUACAACUCCUUGCCAAUCUUGGCGGAAAUGCUUAUAGCCUUCGUCUUUUUAUGCAUGUUUCUUCUUGAUGAGCUUUAUUUCUUUAUCUGCUAACUGUGCCAUGACUAUCUGAUCAUGUAGGGUAGGUUCAACAGAGAUAUGGUUUAAUGCACCCGGAGGAACAAUCUCCAAAUUGAGUUUCCUCAUCUCAUAGCAUAACGUCUCGGUGAAAUUGGUUGCCGACAAGCAAUUGCAAUGAGCCUUGUGGCUGAGAGCAUCCGCAACUAUAUUCGCUUUGCUAGGAUGAUAGUGCACUUCCAGAUCAUAGUCCUUGAUCAAUUCCAACCAUCUUCUUUAAUGCAUGUUCAAAUCAGUUUGAGUGAAGAUAUAUUUGAGGCUUUUAUGAUUCGUAUAGAUAUUACAAUGAGUCCCCAUAAGAUAGUGUCUCCAUAUCUUCAAGGCAUGUAUAAUUGCUGCUAACUCAAGGUCAUGUGUAGGAUAAUUCAGCUCAUGUGGCUGUAAUGCUCGUGAGGUGUAGGCAAUGACUCGGUUAUCUUGCAUAAGAACACAUCCAAGUCUAGUGCCGGAGGCAUCACAAUAAACGUCGAACGACUUAAUUGUGUCCGGCUGAGCAAAAACUGGUGCGGAAGUCAAUAAUCUCCUCAACGUGUUGAAAGCUUCUUCACAUUUGUCGCUCCACAUAAAUUUGACUCCCUUCCUCAACAAUUCAGUCAUAAGCUUAGCUAUCUUUGAAAAAUCCAAAAUAAAUCACCGAUAAUAGCCUGCUAGACCGAGAAAGCUUCGAAUUUGAUGAACUAAAGUGGGUGGCUUCCAGUCCAUCACUUCUAGCACCUUACUAGGGUCAACUGCUAUACCGUCGCUGGAUAUAGUAUGUCCCAAAAAUAUAACACUAUCCAACCAAAAUUCACACUUGGAGAAUUUGACAUAUAGCUGAUGAUCCCUCAAGCGUUGAAGAACGAUACGAAGGUGCUCUGCAUGUUCUUCUUCAUUCUUCGAGUACACCAGGAUAUCGUGAUGAAUUUGUCAACUCGGGCAUGAACACCGAACUCAUGAGAUACAUGAAAUAAGCAAGUGCAUUAGUGAGCCCAAAUGACAUAACCAGGUACUCGUAGAGUCCAUACCGUGUCGAGAAGGCAGUCUUUGGAAUAUCACAUGGUCGGAUCUUGAUCUGAUGAUAGCCAGAGCGAAGAUCAAUCUUGGAGAAUACUCUGGCUCCAGCUAACUGAUUGAACAAAACAUUAAUGUGGGGCAACGAAUACUUAUUCUUUAUUGUUACCACAUUGAGAGGUCGGUAGUUGUUGGGGGGAAAUAUUAACGACCUCCUAAUGCCUCUUAAAAUAGCAGUCACGAAGGCCCUGGCCCAACUGCGGUAAUUACGAUUACUGCCGACCCGGUAGAGGCAGAGAACAUCCCACUCUGUCCCGCCCGACCCAGGGCCCCAGGGUCAGACAAUCCCGACCCCUCGAUGGCGGGACUCCGCCUCGCCCGACCGCGGUCCUAGGGUCGGGAGCGCCCGACCCCUCGCUGCAAGGCUCCGCUUCGCCCGACCCCGGGCGUAGGAUGUCGGGCUCAUCCCGACCCCUCGAUGGUGGAACUCCGCCUUGCCCCACCGUGGUCCCAGGGUCGGGGGCGCCCGACCCCUCGCCGCAAGGCUCCGCUUCGCCCGACCCCGGGCGUAGGAUGUCGGGCUCAUCCCGACCCCUCGAUGGCGGAACUCUGCCUCGCCCGACCGCGGUCCCAGGGUUGGGGACGCCUGACCCCCUCGCCGCAAGGCUCCACUUCGCCCAACCCCGGGCGUAAGAAGUCGGGCUCAUCCCGGCCCACGAGACAAGAGUCCACCUCGGGCGCAGAUCUCGUGGGUCCCCUUGUCGAUCUCGCCAUAAAUGCGUCGCAGGACUAUUAGGAAGAAGGAUGACCGCGCUCCUCAUGCAACCUGCUCCAAGUUCCCAUGCACGGCUGCACUGUACAAGCUACAGUACCUGCGGCCUGCUUUCAUUCGCCGCAAGGCACUCAUGACCUGCGCCGCCCGGAACAGAGGGAAGACUCGCCUGUUCUCAUGCCCCGCGCGCCCGGCAGCAGGGAUGUGACGUUCGCUCUCCGCAAGCCAUCAGCAGGGCGGCGGCAUCCACCGUCCCUCCCAAUGGACACCAGAGUCACGACGAAACGCCCUCAUCAUGACCCGGCGGCUACAUUCACCGAGGAGGCCAUCCACAGGGCGCAACGACAGUUGGCGCGCCGCCAUCCUCCUCCAGCAUGCGCAUCGGCAGAUGUCGAAGGCCGGCGAGGACGCCGGGAACCUGGGAACUUGGUUCCUCCCUUCGUGUUGUACUUUUUACCCGGCUAUGUUUAACUCUUUACUGUUCUCCACACCCGGUCUCACCUGUAACCCGGCGAUCUCCUUAUGAUAUAAAAGGAGCAUCGGGGGCCUGAGAUGGGGGGGCUUCUUCUCCCACAAGCCACAGCACAUUACUACUCUCCCUGAGAGCAAUAGCACGAAAGAGACUUGGGACCAGUUCCCUCUCUCGCCCAUCUGUAACCCCUACUACAGAAACCCACAUGGGCAAUACGAGCAUCCUCGAUACUGGAUGUAGGGCUUCCCUUGCCCGAACCAGUCUAAACCCGUGUCUCCCACGCCACCAUCUGAAGCCUUACGCGCAUAAAAGAAAUUUACUAGUCUAAGUCUUGAUCCGCAAAUCUUGACAACGACAGUUGGCGCGCCAGGUAGGGGACCCUAGCACGUACGUCUCCGGCUUCAGAUGGCCAACCACGACGCCGAUUCCAACGACGAGAGUCACCACCCCUCGCACGAGUGCUCCAUGGCCGACGUGCGCUCUGAUGGAUCCAAUGACAAUGGCGCCGAAGGGAAGCAGCACGCUCCCCCACCGCGCGCCGCAGCUACAGCCGAGGCCCUUGUCAGGGUCUCGGUGCCCCACCAGGAGGACGAGCACCGCUGCAACAAGGGCGGGGCGCGUCAUCAAGCUCGCGAUGUCCAGCGGCGCAUCUGCAGGGAUGAGGGUCAUCCCCAACUCUUCGCACACGCCAGCCAGAAUGUCGUCACCGCGGCAGCCCUACUCCGAUGACUCCCCGAUCCGGCAACGCCCGAGGAGCGACGGGUCCGCCAGGAGGUACUCGACUUGCUCGAGUGUGCAGUAGUCCAGUAGGCAGAAAGCUCCGCGUCCCGGCGCCGCACACACGGCGCCAGCAGGGUCACACCCUCUGCGCCUAUCAAGAGGCGUGGAGGAUCCGUCCAUCAACCUUCCUCCCAUGGGGGAAACCGGGCCUCACCCAUUCGACGGACUCCAACACUCGCGGGCGAUGGGGCUUCAUCCGUCCCCCGCCGCGUCGGCCCCAUCCACGAUGCCCGUGACGCCUUGGACACGCGGAGGCGCUCCCGUGUGGACAGGGAGGAUAGAGCCAACCGUGGCUACCACGUACACCAUGGUGGACUCCACGACGGUGGAGAAAAUCGGAGCUCGAGCCCCAACCCAGCGGGGCCCAGGGCCUUCUCCGCACGCAUCCUGAACGUGUUGUUCCCAACGCGCUUCAGAUAGCCCACCCAUGUGGCCAAAUACUCUGGGGAGACGAACCCCGGGCCUUGGCUCAGCGACUACCGGCUUGCCUGUCAGGCCAGUGGAGCGGAUGACGACCUGCUCAUCAUUCGCAACCUCCCACUGUUCUUGGCCGACUCGGCGCAAGCCUGGCUAGAACACGUCCCGUCAGGUCGGAUCCGUAACUGGAGUGACUUGAGAGAGAUCUUUGUAGGGAACUUCCAGGGCACAUACAAGCACCACGGGAACUUUUGGGACCUCUGGAGCUGCCGCCAGAAGUCGGGGGAGACUCUCCGAGGGUACAUUCGACGCUUCUCCGGGAAGUGCACCGAGCUCUCCAACAUCACCGACGCCAAUGUCAUCAGCGCCUUCCUGGCAGGGACCUCGUGUAGAUCUCUAGUCCACGAGCUGGGGCGUAUAGGCCCAUAGACCACCAAGGAGCUCCUCGACAUCGCCACCGACUUUGCCUCGGGCGAAGAGGCCAUCGGGGCGAUAUUCGAUAGCUCCAAGGGCAAGGCAAAGAGGGAGGAGGUUGCCGAUGAAGGCACCUUCACUCACCAGAAGAAGAAAAAGGCCGCGGCGGAACCCCGAAGGCUGUGGAAGAGCUCAAGCACAACGACGGAGGAGGACGAUGACGAUGAAGAUAAGGAUGAUGAUGAAGAAAGCUCUUCCGCUCUAUGAGGAGUGCGCGACAAACGAAGUACGAGUCAACCACAUCUAUUGUGCGACAGGUACAUCCCAUCACCUCCAUCUUUCUCCGAAAACCGUACGCACGAUCUCUUUUUAACUGCAGAGACCACCGUGCCUCCUGCUCCACGAGCUCGGCGUUUUCUGUCACUUCCACUCCCGGAGGUCAUGCGCACAACUUCCUCUGUAAACGAACCAGGACCCGCUCCAGGUAAAAAGAGGGAUACAGAGCUGAAAACGCUCUUACGGCCCAUUACGGUCCAGGGGUUCGAAGGCUGGCCCUCCAGAGGGUUCGACAGCUGCCCCAGGACAUCCCCCGAGCGAGGGGUGAGAAGGGACGGGUCCGCUAGCGGCCAACACCCAGGCGAGCGAAAGCCAAGGGUGUCCUGACCUCACGUUCGAGUCCUGACCGGCAUCAAAGUUCAUGGUUUUUCCACGAGGAAAGGCAACGAGCCCCCGGAUCUGACCGAACGGACCCGGGAACUAUAUGAACUGGCUGGCUGGAAACUGGAGUACGCCACCAGCUUGGGCCAAGCCGGACUCCCCCCGAACGGGGACCGGGACUCCACUCGAACCUACCUGUUCGCAAGUCAACGAGCCCCACGGUUCGUCCAACGAGGAUAGCGUGGCAUGGCUCAACGCCUCCGUCCUAGCGAACGGAUGCUAGAGGGGCAACGAUCAAAAGUCGACCUGGCCUCCCGACCGGUCUCCUGCAACGCGCGGGGGCUUGGGGUCACGAUUCGCAGGCUCCCUGGCCAUGCCGGACCAACAACACUCCCUCUUCCUAAUCAACCGCAGCUUGUAGGGCAAGCAGAGAUCCCCGACGAGCGAUGAAAAAAGCCUCUGGAGGAGCAUCUUUGCUCCACCACAGGCUCGAGGGCUACUGUUGGGGGGAAAUAUUAACGACCGCCUAAUGCCCGCUUAAAACAGUAGUCACGAAGGCCCUGGCCCAACUGCGGUAAUUACGAUUACCGCCGACCCGGUAGAGGCAGAGAAGAUCCCACUCCGUCCCGCCUGACCUAGGGCCCCGGGGUCGGACAAUCCUGACCCCUCGAUGGCGAGACUCCGCCUCGCCCGACCGCGGUCCUAGGGUCAGGAGCGCCCGACCUCUCGCCGCAAGGCUCCGCUUCGCCCAACCCCGGACGUAGGAUGUCGGGCUCAUCCCGACCCCUCGAUGGUGGAACUCUGCCUCGCCCGACCGCGGUCCCAGGGUCGGGGUGUUGGGAUACGAGGUAGGCUACACUAGCGCAAAUCAAAAUUUCUACCGCGUAUAACCAGGAAGAACUGCCGUAUAAGGAUCACGGGAUUACCACUCGACGCACUACUGGUGCGGAAGAUGUAGAUAUGCGUCGAUGCAGUGAAGACGAUCACGUAGUCGUACGUAGUCGAUCAACGUCACGUCCAGCAGCUCCUCCACGUGCAGCAAGAUCGCCUCCGGUGCCGCGGCUCGUCGUCGGCUCGUCGUGGCUCGUCGGCGGCUCGUCGAUGGCUCGUCUAAGUGCUGCAGGCGCAACACCUCCAAGGUAUCCACACGUGCAGGGAGGAAGCAUCGCAAGCCGGACUGCUAGAUCCGCGAGUUGCAACAAGCGAGGGCGUGGGAGGCGCGGCAGGUGUGUUUCGCCAAAAAGUGUAAACCCUAGGGCGCCCCCACCCCUCUAUUUAUAGAGGUUCCUGAUGGGCCUCUGGAUCCGAGGCCCAUUAGUACUCCUAGACCUAAUCCAACUCGGAUCAGAUCCGAAUUGGGCUUCCAGCCCCUUAAGUGUGUGACCCUAUGGGUUCGGAUACGUAUAGACAUGGCCCGAGUACUCCUACUCGGCCCAAUAAUCGGUAGCGGCCUCUAGCAAGACGUGCCAACUCCUAUACGCACACGAAGAUCAUAUCAGACGAACCAUCACAACAUAAUAUACAUGCUAUUCCCUUUGCCUCACGAUAUUUGGUCUAGCUUCAAGCCGACCGCUCUUUCUCGAUCCUGUGAUUCCGAAUCCCUUUGUAGGUUAACUCUUAACCGUACGUAGCAUGGCCAUGCAUUUUUGGAUCCGAUCACUCGAGGGGCUCAGAGAUAUCACUCUCAAUCAGAGAGGGGCAAAUCCCAUCUUGACUGACCAUGUCUCAUAGCAUGCUUCUCGACAAACCCGAAAGCUACCUUUAUAACUACCCUGUUACGGCGUAGCGUUUGAUAGCCCCUAAGUAGGUCGAUCCACAUCUAGAAUACAUGCGACAGUCUCAGGUCUAAGGACAAAGCGUAUAUGUUGUUUAAAGAGAGAACUACUUCUCGUGUUGGGUCAGUCCUAGCACAUGUCUCCACAUGUGUCCACAUUAUUAGUUCAACAUCUCCAUGUCCAUGACUUGUGAAACAUAGUCAUCAACUAAUACAUGUGCUAGUCUAAUAUUCAUGUGUGUCCUCACAUGAACUCCGACUAGGGACAACUUUAGAAUAACCAUACAAGUAAAGAGUUUCACAUACAAUUCACAUAAUUGCAAAUCAAUUCAAGUAGCCUUCAAUGGAUAUUCAAUGAACACAACAUACAAAUCAUGGAUACAAAUGGAAUAUCAUCAUCUCUAUGAUUGCCUCUAGGGCAUACCUCCAACAGUCUCCCACUUGCACUAGAGUCAAUCUAGAAGGUACCUAAUACCCAUAGCUCUUACAUGCGCAUCAUGCUUAGCCUGCGGGAGUGGUUUUGUCAAUGGAUCAGAAAUGUUCAGAUCCGUGUGUAUUUUGUAUGAUCUUGAUCUCACCCCGGUUAACGAAGUCUCGAAUGAGAUGAAAUCGCUGCAUUACGUGUUUGUUCUUCUGGUGGUUCCUUGGCUCCUUUGCUUGCGCAAUUGCCCCAUUGUUAUCACAGUAGAGAUUCAAUGGGCUGGACGCAUUCGGGAACGCACCAAGCUCAAUGAGGAAAUUCCUUAUCCAAACAACUUCCUUCGCGGCUUCCGAAGCCGCGAUGUACUCGGCUUCUGUCGUAGAAUCGACCACCGUCUCCUGCUUGGAACUCUUCCAACUAACAGCACCACCAUUCAGCGUGAACACAAAUCCUGAUUGUGACUUUGAAUAAUCUCUGUCGGUUUGGAAACUAGCAUCGGUGUAACCUGUUACAACGAGCUCCUCCUCACCUCCAUAGACGAGGAACAUAUCUUUAGUCCUUCUCAAGUACUUAAGAAUGUUUUUCACCGCUGUCCAGUGACUCUCACCUGGAUCAGAUUGGUGUCUGCUUGUCAUACUUAGCGCAUAUGAAACAUCUGGGCGAGUACUUAUCAUUGCAUACAUGAUAGAUCCAAUAGCCGAGGCAUAUGACACUCUACUCAUGCGAUCCCGCUCAUCAGCAGUCGAAGGACACUGAGUCUUGCUGAGAUGUAUGCUAUGUGACAUAGGCAAGAACCCUUUCUUUGCCUCUUCCAUGCUGAACCGCUUCAACACUUUGUCAAUGUAAGUAUCUUGGAUUAAACCUAUAAGCCUUCUCGAUCUAUCUCUAUAGAUCUUAAUGCCCAGAAUAUAUGCCGCUUCCCCUAAGUCCUUCAUCGAAAAACUAUUUUUCAGUGAAGUCUUUACGGACUCAAGCAUAGGAAUGUUAUUUCCAAUCAGUAAUAUGUCAUCCACAUAUAAGAUUAGAAAUACUACAGAGCUCCCACUAACCUUCUUGUAAACACAAGACUCUUCUUCGUUCUUGGUGAAGUCAAACCCUUUGACCACUUCAUCAAAAUGAAUGUUCCAACUCCUAGAUGCUUGCUUCAAUCCAUAAAUGGAUCUCUGAAGCUUGCAUAUCUUUCCAGCAUUUUUCGGAUCGACAAAACCCUCGGGCUGUAUCAUAUACACGUCCUCAGCUAGGUUUCCAUUCAGGAAAGCUGUCUUGACAUCCAUCUGCCAUAUCUCAUAAUCGAAAUAUGCAGCUAUAGCUAGAAUAAUCCGAAUGGACUUAAGCAUCACUACGGGCGAGAAGGUCUCGUCGUAGUCAACUCCUUGAACUUGUCGAAAACCUUUUGCGACAAGUUGUGCUUUAUAGAUGUGAAAAUUUCCAUCCAUGUCCUUUUUCUUCUUAUAGAUCCACUUGCACUCUAUGGCUUUAACACCAUCAGGCGGGUCAACCAAGUUCCAAACUUGAUUGUCUCCCAUGGACUCUAUUUCGGAUUGCAUGGCACUCUACCAUUUUUCGGAGUCUGGGUCCAUCAUUGCUUCUGCAUAUGUCGUAGGCUCAUCAUUAUCCAUCAAUAAUAUUUCUCGCAUUUCGCGGAGCCUUGCUGACCUUCGUGGUUGUGGCGGUGCUUCUCUUGCCAUGGGUAUCUCAACUUGUUCUGCUAUGUUAGCAUCACUCAUUGAUUCUUGCUCGAUUGGCUCAUCUUGAACUUCUUCAAGAUGCACUGUCUUUCCACUCUUUUCUCCUUUGAGAAACUCUUUCUCUAGGAAAACCCCGUUCCGAGCGACAAACACUUUGCCUUCUGAUCGGUUGUAGAAAUAAUAUCCCAAAGUUUCCUUUGGAUAUCCCACGAAAAUGCACUUAUCCGACUUGGGUGUGAUGUUGUCCGACUGAAGUCACUUGACAAACACUUCACAUCCCCAAAUCUUUAGAAAAGACAAACUAGGAACCUUUCCAGUCCAUAUCUCAUAUGGUGUCUUAACUAUGGAUUUAGAUGGUACCCUAUUAAGUGUGAAAGCUGCUGUUUCUAGAGCGUAUCCCCAAAAUGACAACGGUAGGUCCGACUGGCUAAUCAUUGAUCGAACCAUGUCUAACAAAGUUCGAUUAUGUCGCUCGGACACACCGUUUCUCUGAGGUGUUCCAGGCGUAAGUUGUGGAACAAUUCCGCAACUCUUUAGAUGAUUGCUAAACUCGUGGCUCAAAUACUCGCCUCCACGAUCAGAUCGUAAGGCCUUAAUUUUCUUGCCACGCUGAUUUUCAACUUCAUUCUGAAAUUCCUUGAACUAUUCAAAGGUUUCAGACUGGUGCCUCAUCAAGUAGACAUAGCCAUAUCUACUAAAAUCAUCAGUGAAAGUUAUGAAGUAUUGGAAUCCUCCUCUAGCCGUCGUGCUCAUUGGUCCGCAUACAUCACUAUGUACGAGUUCCAACAAGUCUACUGCUCUCUCAGGAAAUCCUGUGAAAGGCGUCUUGGUCAUCUUGCCUAGCAAGCAAGCCUCACAUGUCUCGUAUGAUUCAAAAUCAAACAAAGUUAGAAGUCCAUCAGAAUGGAGCUUCUUCAUGCGCUUUUCACUUAUAUGACCCAAAUGACAAUGCCACAAGUAGGUAGGACUCAAAUCAUUAGGCCGAGGCCUUUUAGCACUUACAUUAUAGACAGGUGAACCAUCAAGAUUUAAAACAAAUAAUCCAUUCACAAUGGGUGCAAAAGCCAUAAACAUAUUAUUCUUAGAGAUCACACAACCAUUGUUUUCACUCGCAAAUGACUAACCAUCCUUCAUCAAACAUGAAGGAGACAAAAUGUUUCGACUUAAACUAGGAACAAAAUAACAAUUAUUCAACUCCAUAAUAAAUCCUGACGGGAGGUGGAGUUGCAUCGUCCCGACGGUCAACGCAGCAACUCUUGCAUUAUUGCCCACGCGGAAAUCAACUUCUCCUCUUUCCACACUUCUACUUCUUAUCAUUCCCUGCAUCGAAUUGCAAAUAUGAGCAACCGAUCCGGUAUCAAAUACCCAAGAAUUAAUAAUUGUAUCAGCGAGAAAUAUGUUGUCUAUAACAUUAACAACAAGCGUACCUAAGGUAGAAGUACUCUUACUUCCGCCAUUCUUCAACGAAGCUAGGUACUGCUUGCAGUUUCUCUUCCAGUGACCAAGUUCAUGACAGUAAAAGCACUCUUUAUCUGGAGCAGGUCCAGCUUUAGCCUUGGGCGCUGGGUUUGGCUUGGACACUCCAGCCUUACCCUUCUUCUUCCAAGAAUUGCCCUUCUUCGUGAAGGUAGGCUUGUUCUGUAUAGCCAUCACAUGGCUGGUACUAGCGCUUUUCUUAAUGUCUACCUCUGCUGUCUUAAGCAUACCACACAGUUCAUUCAGACCCUUCUCCGUCCCAUGCAUAUGGUAGUUCGAGAUGAAGUUCCCAUAGCUAGGCGGAAGAGAUGAAAGAAUGAAGUCAGUGGCCAACUCUUUGCCCAUUGGGAAGCCCAGCUUCUCCAAUCGCUGAGUGUAACCAACCAUCUUGAUUACAUGUGGUCCUACUGCUGCGCCUUCUGCUAACUUGCACUCCAGAAAGGCUUUGGACACAUUGAACCUUUCGGUCCUAGCCUGUGUCUGGAACAUGUCCUUGAGUGCCACGAUCAUAUCGUGUGCCUCAUGAUUUGUUUCGAACUGCAUCUGCAGCUCGGGUUCCAUGCAAGCAAGCAUAAGGCAGCUUACCUCAAGAUUAGCAUCAAAUGCCUUCUUGUAAGCAGCCUUAACAGCAGCAGAUGCAUCAUCAGCAGGUACUGGUGGUAGUGGGGUGUCUAGAACAUCUUCCUUUUUCUCAGCCCUGAGAACAAUUCUCAGGUUACGGAUCCAAUCCGAGUAGUUUGUUCCAUUCAAUUUGUCCUUCUCAAGGACCGAACGCAAAGCAAACGAUGCGGUGGUGUUGCUAGGUGCCAUUUAAUCUACAACAAAAGUAAUGCAAAAUACACUAAGACAAACGUAUCCAUGAUAGAGCAAAUUACAUUAAACUAUUUUAACAGAAUCUACUCCCACUAAAAUCAAUAUCCCUCUAUUGAAACUUAGUGAUUCAGGAUCCACAACUAACAAGUCUACUAGUGAGCUUUAGCAUCACCGCUAGCAAACGAGGUAGAUCGGUAAGCAACUUUUGCUAAUCAUAUCACAUAUGACUCCUGUUGUUGGGUGACAUCUCUAUGUCUCGGCGGCCAACCUUUAUACCCCAAGGUCCUUAACCGUUAAGAUAACCUUGUUAAGCAAACCAACCCUUAUGCGUGUAAGUGUCCGACACAAACCCGUCUAGUCAAGGAAAACUAGUGGCACCCUAAUUUCAUAGAUCCACCACUAAUUGUACAAGACAUGGGACGGUGCAAGUUUUAGUUGGGAGGGCAUACUAACUUAAAAUUUGCGAGGGAUCGUUCUACUUCUAAAAUCACAGCAUGCAGAAAGUAAAACAUAAACAGAAUAGCAUUCACACAGCUUGUGACACAAUAUGGCCCGUUUUCAUAUGGUGAUCUCCAUCUCCAUAGAACCUGUUCACCAUGGUGAUCUCCAUCUCCAUGUUCCAUGUGCGCCAUCCUCCUGGUGAUGAGUCCUCCAAGAACUAGAGCAUGCUAUUACGCCUAAUAGCUAGUAAAGAAUCUAGUAAUGAAGAUUACAUAGUUGCUUGGAUCAUCACAGAUUGGUACGCAGACCAUUAAAUACAAUAAAGUGACAGCACAUAUGGCUCCUGCCGUGUUGCCGUACGCGCGACACUUCAGGUCACGAAUGAGUUACACACAUGCAUCACAUACACAAGGGGGCCAUACUGAUCACAAGAUACAAACAUACAUCCUGCAAAAUAGAGUUAGGCGUCCUAACGUUCCAAACUUCGGAGGCCCAAAACUCCAUCUCCCAAGCCGAAUUUGGGAAAUCUAAUUUCGCCGAAAACGGCAUAGCGGUUGAAUUUCAUGUGUAACUUUUUCUGUAGAUCAAUUUUCAUAUAAAAAUCACCCCGAUCCGAGAUCGUACCGAAAAGUUACGGCUGAUUUACCGAAGCAUACGCAUACGGCAAAAUCCCGACCCCGGCAGUAGAUCCCAUCUACUAUUGCACAUCUAAUGCACCUGGCGUGUGACCCUGGAUCUCGAUUCGACCAAUCAUAUUGAUCUUCGCUCACUGCAACUGGAUUUGCGUGUAUCACUUAACUCCGAUGGCGGAAACCGACCGGUAGGAGUAUGUCGUUACACUACCAUUGCAGCAAGGGCACGAGACCAGGACAUAGAUCAAACAGAAAACUCGCAUAUCUCCAUAUGCACACAUCCCGAAUCCAAAACUAAGCAGCUACGGCUCUUGAUACCACUGUUGGGAUACGAGGUAGGCUACACUAGCGCAAAUCAAAAUUUCUACCGCGUAUAACCAGGAAGAACUGCCGUAUAAGGAUCACAGGAUUACCACUCGACGCACUACUGGUGCGGAAGAUGUAGAUAUGCGUCGAUGCAGUGAAGACGAUCACGUAGUCGUACGUAGUCGAUCAACGUCACGUCCAGCAGCUCCUCCACGUGCAGCAAGAUUGCCUCCGGUGCCGCGGCUCGUUGUCGGCUCGUCGUGGCUCGUCGGCGGCUCGUCGAUGGCUCGCCUAAGUGCUGCAGGCACAACACCUCCAAGGUAUCCACACGUGCAGGGAGGAAGCAUCGCAAGCCGGACUGCUAGAUCCGCGAGUUGCAACAGGCGAGGGCGUGGGAGGUGCGGCAGGUGUGUUUCGCCAAAAAGUGUAAACCCUAGGGCGCCCCCACCCCUCUAUUUAUAGAGGUUCCUGAUGGGCCUCUGGAUCCGAGGCCCAUUAGUACUCCUAGACCUAAUCCAACUCGGAUCAGAUCCGAAUUGGGCUUCCAGCCCCUUAAGUGUGUGACCCUAUGGGUUCGGAUACGUAUAGACAUGGCUCGAGUACUCCUACUCGGCCCAAUAAUCGGUAGCGGCCUCUAGCAAGACGUGCCAACUCCUAUACGCACACGAAGAUCAUAUCAGACGAACCAUCACAACAUAAUAUACAUGCUAUUCCCUUUGCCUCACGAUAUUUGGUCUAGCUUCAAGCCGACCGCUCUUUCUCGAUCCUGUGAUUCGGAAUCCCUUUGUAGGUUAACUCUUAACCGUACGUAGCAUGGCCAUGCAUUUUCGGAUCCGAUCACUCGAGGGGCUCAGAGAUAUCACUCUCAAUCAGAGAGGGGCAAAUCCCAUCUUGACUGACCAUGUCUCAUAGCAUGCUUCUUGACAAACCCGAAAGCUACCUUUAUAACUACCCUUUUACGGCGUAGCGUUUGAUAGCCCCUAAGUAGGUCGAUCCACAUCUAGAAUACAUGCGACAGUCUCAGGUCUAAGGACAAAGCGUAUAUGUUGUUUAAAGAGAGAACUACUUCUCGUGUUGGGUCAGUCCUAGCACAUGUCUCCACAUGUGUCCACAUUAUUAGUUCAACAUCUCCAUGUCCAUGACUUGUGAAACAUAGUCAUCAACUAAUACAUGUGCUAGUCUAAUAUUCAUGUGUGUCCUCACAUGAACUCCGACUAGGGACAACUUUAGAAUAACCAUACAAGUAAAGAGUUUCACAUACAAUUCACAUAAUUGCAAAUCAAUUCAUGUAGCCUUCAAUGGAUAUUCAAUGAACACAACAUACAAAUCAUGGAUACAAAUGGAAUAUCAUCAUCUCUAUGAUUGCCUCUAGGGCAUACCUCCAACACGGGGGCGCCCGACCCCUCGCCGCAAGGCUCCGCUUCACCCGACCCCGGGCGUAGGAUGUCAGGCUCAUCCCGACCCCUCGAUGGCGGAACUCCGCCUCGCCCGACCGCGGUCCCAGGGUCGGGGGCGCCCGACCCCUUGCCGCAAGGCUCCGCUUCGCCCGACCCCGGGCGUAAGAAGUUGGGCUCAUCCCGGCCCACGAGACAAGAGUCCACCUCUGGCGCAGAUCUUGUGGGUCCCCCUGUCGAUCUCGCCAUAAAUGCAUCGCAGGACUGCCAGGAAGAAGGAUGACCGCGCUCCUCACGCAACCUGCUGCAAGUUCCCAUGCACAGCCGCACUGUACAAGCUACAGUACCUGCGGCCUGCUUUCAUUCGCCGCAAGGCACUCAUGACCUGCACCGCCCGAAACAGAGGGAAGACUCACCUAUUCUCGUGCCCCGCGCGCCCGGCAGCAGGGAUGUGACGUUCGCUCUCCGCGAGCCAUCAGCAGGGCGGCGGCAUCCACCGUCCCUCCCAACGGACACCAGAGUCACGAUGAAACGCCCUCAUCAUGACCCGGCGGCUACAUUCACCGAGGAGGCCAUCCAAAGGGUGCAACGACAGUUGGCGCGCCACCAUCCUCCUCCAGCAUGCGCGUCGGCAGAUGUUGAAGGCCGGCGAGGAUGCCGGGAACCUGGGAACUUGGUAACUCCCUUCGUGUUGUACUUUUUACCCGGCUAUGUUUAACUCUUUACUGUUCUCCACACCCGGUCUCACCUGUAACUCGGCGAUCUCCUUACGAUAUAAAAGGAGCAUCGGGGGCCUGAGAUGGGGGGGCUUCUUCUCCCACAAGCCACAGCACAUUACUACUCUCCCUGAGAGCACAAGCACGAAAGAGACUUGGGACCAGUUCCCUCUCUCGCCCAUCUGUAACCCCUACUACAGAACCCCGCGUGGGCAAUACGAGCAUCCUCGAUACUGGACGUAGGGCUUCCCUUGCCCGAACCAGUCUAAACCCGCGUCUCCCACACCACCAUCUGAAGCCUUACGCGCAUAAAAGAAAUUUACUAGUCUAAGUCUUGAUCCGCAAAUCUUGACAACGACAGUUGGCGCGCCAGGUAGGGGACCCUAGCGCGUACGUCUCCGGCUUCAGAUGGCCAACCACAACGCCGAUUCCAACGAUGAGAGUCACCACCCCUCGCACGAGUGCUCCAUGGCUGACGUGCGCUCCGAGGGAUCCAAUGACAACGGCGCCGAAGGGAAGCAGCACGCUCCCCCACCACGCGCCGCAGCUACGGCCGAGGCCCUUGUCAGGGUAUCAGUGCCCCACCAGGAGGAUGAGCACCGCUGCAACGAGGGCGAGGCGCGUCAUCGAGCUCGCAAUGUCCAGCGGCGCAUCUGCGGGGAUGAGGGUCAUCCCCAACUCUUCGCACACGCCAGCCAGAAUGUCGUCGCCGCGGCAGCCCUACUCCGACGACUCCCCGAUCCGGCAACGCCCGAGGAGCGACGGGUCCGCCAGAAGGUACUCGACUUGCUCGAGUGUGCAGUUGUCCAGCAGGCAGAAAGCUCCGCGUCCCGGCACCGCACACACGGCGCCAGCAGGGUCACACCCUCUGCGCCUAUCAAGAGGCGUGGAGGAUCCGUCCAUCAACCUUCCUCCCAUGGGGCAAACCGGGCCUCACCCAUUCGACGGACUCCAACACGCGUGGGUGAUGGGGCUUCAUCCGUCUCCCACCGCGUCGGCCCCAUCCGCGAUGCCCGUGACGCCUUGGACACGCGGAGGCACUCCCGUGUGGACAGGGAGGAUAGAGCCGACCGUGGCUACCACGUACACCAUGGUGGACUCCAAGACGGUGGAGAAAAUCGGAGCUCGAGUCCCAAGCCAGCGGGGCCCAGGGCCUUCUCCGCACGCAUCCUGAACGUGUCAUUCCCAGCGCGCUUCAGACAGCCCACCCAUGUGGCCAAAUACUCUGGGGAGACGAACCCCGGGCCUUGGCUCAGUGACUACCGGCUUGCCUAUCAGGCCAGGGGAGCGGAUGAUGACCUGCUCAUCAUUCGCAACCUCCCACUGUUCUUGGCCGACUCGGCGCGAGCCUGGCUAGAACACGUCCCGUCAGGUCGGAUCCGUAACUGGAGUGACCUGAGAGAGAUCUUUGUAGGGAACUUCCCGGGCACAUACAAGCACCACGGUAACUCUUGGGACCUCUGGAGCUGCCACCAGAAGUCGGGGGAGACUCUCCGAAGGUACAUUCGACACUUCUCCGGGAAGUGCACCGAGCUCUCCAACAUCGCCGAUGCCUAUGUCAUCAGCGCCUUCCUGGCAGGGACCUCCUGUAGAUCUCUAGUCCACGAGCUGGGCCGUAUAGGCCCACGGACCACCAAGGAGCUCCUCGACAUCGCCACCGACUUUGCCUCGGGCGAAGAGGCCGUCGGGGCGAUAUUCGAUAGCUCCAAGGGCAAGGCAAAGAGGGAGGAGGAUGCCGAUGAAGGCACCUUUACUCACCAAAAGAAGAAAAAGGCCGCGGCGGAACCCCGAAGGCUGUGGAAGGGCUCAAGCACAACGACGGAGGAGGACGAUGACGAUGAAGAUAAGGAUGAUGAUGAAGAAAGCUCUUUCGCUCUAUGAGGAAUGCGCGGCAAACGAAGUACGAGUCGACCGCAUCUAUUGUGACGCCAGGUACAUCCCGUCACCUCCAUCUUUCUCCGGAAACCGUACGCACGAUCUCUUUUUAACUGCAGAGACCACCGUGCCUCCUGCUGCACGAGCUCGGCGUUUUCUAUUGCUUCCACUCCCGGAGGUCAUGCGCACAACUUCCUCUGCAAACGAACCAGGACCCGCUCCAGGUGAAAAGAGGGAUACAGAGCUGAAAACGCUCUUACGGCCCAUUACGGUCCAGGGGUUCGAAGGCUAGCCCUCCAGAGGGUUCGACAGCUGCCCCAGGACAUCCCCCGAGCGAGGGGUGAGAAGGGACGGGUCCGCUAGCGGCCAACACCCAGGCGAGCGAAAGCCAAGGGUGUCCUAACCUCACGUUUGAGUCCUGACCGGCAUCAAAGUUCAUGGUUUUUCCACGAGGAAGGUCAACGAGCCCCCGGAUCCGACCGAACGGACUCGGGAACUAUAUGAACUGGCUGGCUGGAAACUGGAGUACGCCACCAGCUUGGGCCGAGCCGGACCCCCCCGAACGGGGACUGGGACUCCACUCGAACCUACCCGCUCGCAGCUCAACGAGCACCACGGUUCGUCCAGCGAGGAUAGCGUGGCAUGGCUCAACCCCUCCGUCCUAGCGAACGGACGCUAGAGGGGCAACGAUCAAAAGUCGACCUGGCCUCUCGACCGGUCUCCUGCAACGCGCGGGGGCUCGGGGGCUAGCAUCGCAACCAACGACCACACGUGUGGUCGCGAUUCGCAGGCUCCCUGGCCAAGCUGGACCAACAACACUCCCUCUUCCUAAUCAACCGCAGCUUGCAGGGCAAGCAGAGAUCCCCGACGAGCGAUGAAAAAAGCCUCUGGUGGAGCAUCUUUGCUCCACCACAGGCUCGAGGGCUACUGUUGGGGGGAAAUAUUAACGACCUCCUAAUGCCGCUUAAAACAGCAGUCACGAAGGCCCUGGCCCAACUGCGGUAAUUACGAUUACCGCCGACCUGGUAGAGGCAGAGAACAACCCACUCCAUCCCACCCGACCUAGGGCCCCAGGGUCGGACAAUCCUGACCCCUCAAUGGCGGGACUCCGCCUCGCCCGACCGCGGUCCUUGGGUCGGGAGCGCCCGACCCCUCGCCGCAAGGCUCCACUUCGCCCGACCCCGGGCAUAGGACGUCGGGCUCAUCCCGACCCCUCGAUGGUGGAACUCCGCCUCGCCCGACCGCGGUCCUAGGGUCGGGGGCGCCCGACCCCUCGCCACAAGGCUCCGCUUCGCCCGACCCCGGGCGUAGGAUGUCGGGCUCAUCCCGACCCCUCGAUGGCGGAACUCCGCCUCGCCCGACCGCGGUCCCAGGGUCGGGGGCGCCCGACCCCUCGCCGCAAGGCUCCGCUUCGCCCGACCCCGGGUGUAAGAAGUUGGGCUCAUCCCGGCCCACGAGACAAAAGUCCACCUCGGGCGCAGAUCUCCUGGGUCCCCUUGUCAAUCUCGCCAUAAAUGCGUCGCAGGACUGUCAGGAAGAAGGAUGACCGCGCUCCUCACGCAACCUGCUACAAGUUCCCAUGCACGGCCGCACUGUACAAGCUAUAGUACCUGCGGCCUGCUUUCAUUCGCCGCAAGGCACUCAUGACCUGCGCUGCCCGGAAUAGAGGGAAGACUCGCUUGUUCUCGUGCCCCGCGCGCCCGGCAGCAGGGAUGUGACGUCCGCUCUCCGCGAGCCAUCAGCAGGGCGGUGGCAUCCACCGUCCCUCCCAACGGACACCAGAGUCACGACGAAACGCCCUCAUCAUGACCCAGUGGCUACAUUCACCGAGGAGGCCAUCCACAGGGCGCAACGACAGUUGGCGCGCCGCCAUCCUCCUCCAGCAUGCGCGUCGGCAGAUGUCGAAGGCCGGCGAGGACGCCGGGAACCUGGGAACUUGGUUUCUCCCUUCGUGUUGUACUUUUUACCCGGCUAUGUUUAACUCUUUACUGUUCUCCACACCCGGUCUCACCUGUAACCCGGCGAUCUCCUUACGAUAUAAAAGGAGCAUCGGGGGCCUGAGAUGGGGGGGGCUUCUUCUCCCACAAGCCACAACACAUUACUACUCUCCCUGAGAGCACAAGCACGAAAGAGACUUGGGACCAGUUCCCUCUCUCGCCCAUCUGUAACCCCUACUACAGAACCCCGCGUGGGCAAUACGAGCAUCCUCGAUACUGGACAUAGGGCUUCCCUUGCCCGAACCAGUCUAAACCCGUGUCUCCCACGCCACCAUCUGAAGCCUUACGCGCAUAUAAGAAAUUUACUAGUCUAAGUCUUGAUCCGCAAAUCUUGACAACGACAGUAGUCCACACACAUGCGCAGACUCUUGUCCUUAUUUUUCACAAACAAAGCUGGAUAGCCCCAAGGUGAUGUACUUGGGUGAAUAAAACCCUUUUCCAACAACUCAUGUAGUUGGGUUUUCAAUUCUACCAGCUCUGUGGGUGGCAUUCGAUAUGGCCUCUUUGAGAUUGGUGUUGUGCCAGGUUGCAAUUCAAUGGCAAUCUUGAUAUCUCUAUUUGGUGGCAUGCCUGGCAAGUCAUCCGAAAACACAUCGAGAUACUCGCAGACAACCAGGAUAUCCUUUAGUCGAGUCUCAACUGCUGGAUAGGCUCAGGAAUUUACGCACUCUCGGUGGGGUCAGUGUAUGGUAGAGCUACUGUGGAGGGGUGAAUUUAUGUGGAUAGCUCGGGUAGAGAUAUCUAGUGUCACUCAGUGCUGAGUCAUCCAAUCCAUACCCAAGAUAAUAUCUAUCCCCUCUAGACCAAGGAUAAUAAGGUUUUCCUUAAAGAGGGUGUUACCUAAUUUGAUAGGUACCAAUAGAUUUAUCUGGUCUGAGGCUAUCUUCCCUCCCAGGGUAGAGAUCAUAUAUGACCCUUGAGCGUGACGGAAACUUUACCCACAUCUAGCACAUAUUUUACUCCCAAUGAAACUAUGGGAUGCUCCCGAAUCAAACAAAAUCAACAUGGAUUGGUUAUGAAUAGAGAAUGUACCCGUCAUGACCAAUGUGCCUUAUGAGAGCUCUGCCAGGUUGGUGAAGUUCAGCCUGCCAUGUCGAACCUGUACCUUAGGCUUCUUUCCCUUGUUGCCCAUUGCAUUACUCUAGCCAAGCCAUUGAUUCUUGUUGCGGGGGCAGUCCUUGGAAAAGUGUCCCAUAUUCCCGCAGGUAAAAUGGAGGUUUCCAUUGGCAGGGCGCGGUGACGGUGGAAGGGUAGGCUGUGGCCCCUACAGCUGGAAUCCGGGGAAACGGGGUGCUGCCUACGGUGAAGGUCGAGCAACCCAUCUCCUAGGCUGCGCUGGCCUACGAGGUGCUCAAGUGGGAACCACUCUGAACUUCCAAGCAGGUGUGCUAGGUGACAGCAUUGAAGCCUUCCGCUUCAUGUUGGCCUUGAGGGCCUUCAUGCAAUCCUCCUGGGAGAUUGCUCAGCUCACCAGCCCAUUGAAAGAAUCCACUUUGAUGAGAUUCAGCCUUUCCUUGAGCUCAAGACUCAAGCCUCUACGGAAUCGGUCCCUCUUCUUUUCAUCGGAAUCCGCGUGAUAGCCUGCUGUUGAUGCCGUUUUUUGACACAUGUCAAAAGUUGGCGUAAAAGGGAAGCAGAGAUGCUGAUGCGUGAUAGAGGAGCAACGGCUAGUAAAAUUGGCCGAUGGAGUUACAGUAGUUCAGCCGAUGGGAUCACAGAGAUUCAGUCGAUGGGAGGCAAUGGGGUGUAACCGAUGCAAGCAGGAGGGUUCCAGCCGAUUGGAGGUGUUGGAGUUUCGACCGAUAAGAGGCAAAAGAGUCUUGAUUGGCGAGGAGGUUGCAAGAUGGUAGAUAUAGGGUUGGCUAAUAGAGGUGAAGUUUGUUUCCGACUCUUGUACGAGUCAUUUUGUUUAGAAAGUUUGUUUCUUUGGUCAUAGAUAUUGUAUCGCGUCGUAAUCGACUAGGACUAGGAGUCUUGAGUUUAGGAUAUAAAUAGAGACCCUACGAGGUCUGAAAAAGAUGUACAAACACAAACAAACAAAUCUACUUUAUUCGCAAUUUACUUUCAAGUCAACAACUUCACCAAAGUUCUCUUUUUCUUCACGAGUUCUUCCAACCUAGCAGGGCUGCAUCAUCUUUAUCUCUGCUAGAUUAGUGUCUAAGCCUCCUAUUCCAGCUUAACCAAGUUUAGGUUAACUAGAGUUGUUACACACGCACACGUUAUUAAUGGGAAGAUCCACAAAUUUCGCCUGGCAAGUUGCACCGUGCUGACGGAAGGCCCGCGAUUUCUGUCCGUAACUCACACUGUUGUCUGCUUCAAAAGCACGAGGGGCACGGAGCCGUUGUCACUCUUAUCCUCAACCUCUCGCAGCGCCUCCGCAUUGAGCUCACUGAGCACUUCACCGCCGCAUUCGCAAACCCUAGGUUGCGCUGCCACAUUCCGCAUUCCUCUCGCGCACGUGCCGCUGCUGCCCGAGCCACCACACUGCUUUAUGCGUAGGAAAACCCUAGUCCACUUUAGAUCCAAAUUUCAAAACCUCAAAGCAAUGGCGCAGACCUAUGCUCCGAUGCCUUCCUCAGUGUGGAUGAAGAAGUGUUAACACAAGAGCUCUUGUCCGUGGGCUCUUCCGCCCGCAAGUGCUGCUCGACUAGAAGCCCACUGCCGGUUAGGAGUUCCCGUCGGAGGACACGGUAGAGUUGGUACUAUUCGCACCAUUCUUCGAGCGCAUAUUCGGGAUCCCUACUGGAGUUUUCUUUCGCGGCCUCCUCAAGUACUAUAAGAUUGAGCUGGUACACUUAGACCCAAACUCAAUCUUGGACAUAUCUGUUUUCAUCCAUCUGUGUGAAGCUUUUUUGGGCAUCCCUCCCCAUUUUCAUCUGUGGCACUAUCUUUAUGAGCUGGAACCCAUAGUCACCAAGGGAAAAAAGGAUCGGGUUAUUGGGGGGGGGGCUAGAUUCUCAUUGUGCCCUAAGAGGGUGCAUGAGUACUUUGACCUUCAACUAAAGGAUUCCCACAAGGGGUGGCAUUCCGAGUGGUUUCUUAUUGCCAAUCAGAAGCCCGAGCUACCGCCGCAUAUGAGUUAUGGGCUAGUGUUAGUAGCCAAGUGGCAAAAUCUGCUGACCUCGAAAGAAUAGGUCCAAGUAAAAGAGUUGUUGGUGAAGAUGGCGGACCUAAAGGCACAGGGGCUGACACCCACGGCCAUCAGCAUCCAUUUUUGUUAGAGAGCAACACAGCUAAUCAAAUACUGAGUACAUCCGUUGUACGAGUACUCGGAGCUAGAAGAUCCGACCCGGGAGGUCCCUGGCAAGGUACCUGAUGAGGCAGUUGUUGGUCGGGUGUCCGAGUUCUUCAUGGGCGAGGUCAGCAACAAGGAUGCCCCUAAGGCCUUUUCAUUGAGGAUACCAUCGCCUACCCCGGUAAGAUUGUACUCAGCUUUGUUUUGAUGUGGUGUGUUGCUUGUUUGCAAUCUUUCUGACUUGGAGCAAUGACUUGGCUUAGGAUGAUGCAUUUGUUUAUUUUUGCCCUCCGCCAUUGCCUUGUGGGGCUCCAGCGGCGCCGCCAAAGAUCUGUCCGGCUGAUGUGCCAGUCGUACCAUGGGCUAGCCUUGAGUUUGAUUUUGAAUCCUCUUUUGUGCCCGUCGUUAGCACAGCCAAUGAGAGCGGUGAGGAUCAGGGCGCAGGACGGCAGACCCUGCAGGUCGUGCGCGAGCGACCCUUUUCCAAGGCAUCGUAGCUGACUGGAAAGAAGAAGAAGCUGGCCGGCAGGAAGAAGGACAAAGUUGUGCCGAGUACUGCUGCCGCAACUUGGUCGGUCAGCGAGGCAAAGUCCGACGUGCCAAGCUUGGCUGCAAAUGACAACAAGCCAGAACUCGAGAAGACCACCAUGGCUCAUGCGGCAUGCCUCAAGAAGGUGUUGAAGGCAAAGAUGCGCAGCGGUCCGAGCGAAGAUAAAACCGUGCCACCAUCGCAACAGCGCCCAAAGUUGUGCUUGAGGAAGAAGAGAACCUCUAUGAGUGCUGCCACCUUUACACUUUCUAUGUUUAUGAUUGCAGUCUGAUCUUUGCUUGGAUUACUUGUUUGUGAUGAUGAUGUAGAACUGGCGUACGAUCUGAGGACGGCAGUGCACAGCUGACGAGGUGCUCGGGCCAGACCAAGGCCACCAGUGGUCGCACCAUUGAGCAGUCAUCGGCCACAAAGAUCGGGAUUGGCGAAGGUGGUCAGACUAAAGAGGUUGCACUGAGUCCUAUGCCAGAACAAGUUGAGGUCGGUGCUAAGGCUGCCGAUGGUAGCAUGGCUGAACCCAAGGUCAUGGAGGAGGUGGAGGAAAACGUCGUGGCCGAAGAGGAGGCUGAGGAGGACAUUGGGGCUGAUCUUCAGCAGGAUGAGCUGCCUAAGGAUGAUCCAUUGCCUGAUUUGCCCACCUUGGACGGAGGAAAUGAUCCUGACGCCUUCAACAUCUCCAGGGAUGACCUUGUUGGGGACGCGGUGCAGGACAAGAGAGAUAUUGUCGAGCUGCAGAAAGCAUCCUCCAUGGUUUUCCGAGUUGUUAAUCGUAAGUUUGUCGACCAACCCAUAGGACUCACAUUUGAAAACUAGUUUCUUUGUAGAGCUCUAAUUGUUUUAAUGUGAAUAGGGUCUGGCUGAGUGUGCUCACAAGAGGGCGGACACGAUCCACCAUGCUGAGCAGUAUUGUCUGAAGGCAACGCGCCUAGAGGCCAACCUUGAGAAGGCAAGGGGAGACCUCGAGAGUCGGCUGGCUCGGUAGAGCCUCAAGAAGGUAGCGCAUAAUGGACUCAUGAAUGGUACAGUGUGCCGCCCUAUUUUAAUCAAUUUUUGCUUUAGCAACCUUGAUGCUGAUGCAAUCCUGUGUUGUUUAUGCAGAUUCUGCCAUGCAAGUAACCAAACUUUAGUGGAGCUUGAAGGAGUGCGAGGACACCAAAGCGUGCCUUCAAGCCGACAUACAAUAGGUAAAGAUUGAUUUUGAUUUUGAGAAGGAGAUCUUGAGCUUGAAGUUGUCAGGUAUGCUACGCUGACUUGUUAAGUCAUAUUUCUCUUGGAUGUUGUCACACUGAUGCAGACUUGGUCAGUCAAAUAGAUUCUAUAAGGAGGGAGGAGAGGCUCAAGCGAGACCUAAAAGGGUGUGAAGACUCCAACAAGCACCUCUAGGAAGAGCAUGACGCAGCGGUGAAUCAUGCCAAUGCGCGCAAGGAACUCAAGCGCUGCUUAGAGGACACUGUAAGUAACCUUCAGACUGACUAACAUGUAAUUGCAGGGUUGGAGUUAGAGCUGCAGGAGCUGCGGAAGUUGGCUAGCUAUGUUAUGGACAUGAUUCAAGCUGAUGCCAACCCAUCCAAGCCAAUUUCGCUGCUCGACCAUCUCAGGGCUUGACCAGGUCAGUUGAAGAGUCUGCUGAAUGAUACUAUCGUGGAGUGUGUCAAUAACACUUUUGCGUUGUUGGCAUCACACUUCCUGUCGAUUCCCUUGGAGCAUGCUACGACAGGAAUCAUGGCUGACUUCGAGGAAGAUAAGAUUCUUGAGGUGGCUGAGUAGUACCAUAACACGGCGGAGACUAUUGUAAAUGACCUUGACCUGUAGGGAAAAUACUUUAAGAUGUGUUAAACUAUUUGAUGAAACGAUGAAUGCAACAUUUUUAUUUAUAUGUGAUGAAGAAAAACUCCAUCCCUCCCUUGGUUGGCCGGUGGGUUGGCUGGUUGGACAGUGUUUUGCUCCACCUACUCUUUAUGGAUUGGAUCCAACCGACCACUCGCACGGUCGCCUCGGUGGUGGUUCGAUCUGCUUUGCCUAGACCUAUUUCAAGAGUGUCUGGACGAUGUGGACCAAGAGUUUGCAAGUUAGUUGUUGAUCUACUCCUCGAGCUGGGCAUUGGCAACCAGGAGUCGCACCUGAAGUCAUCGGACUUGGUUUGAGUCUGGAAAAUGUUCCAGCUCAACAAAGGCAUCCCCUAGGUUGGCCUGGGGUGUGGCGAAGAUGUUGUGACCAGCUUGCUCAAGGUCGGCUAGUAGAUUGCUAACGCGCAUAGGGCGCCUGCGUCUUUCUUGAGCACCAUCUUGGUCAGUGUUGUCAUGAUCAUUGCACGGCUGCUGGCGCUGGUCACCUAUUCCAUCUGUGUUAGUGACAGGUUGGUGUUGGGUGCCAGCUUGCUUGUGUUGGCGCCAUGCUGUGCAGUUCUGGUUUCUGGCAUUACGACCUUCUUCUUGACAUUCCUUUUCGCCAUCCUGAGGUGGCUCAUCAGCGGAGACAAUGAAAGCUUUGCGAUCUAGCAUGGAAGAGUUGCUCUCGUUGUCUCUUCCAUAAGAGUUUGGUGUUAGGACGAUGCGAGGCACUUGGAAUUCACCACAAUCCAAAAACUGUGCGGGUUCAGGCAGGUCUCCGAUUGGAUCUGAAAAAACUAAUCAAGCUUGGCAGAGUACUCGAAGGCCAAGUUUCAUAGACCGAAGGGGACGUGGGAUGGGCCAUGCGCCGACCUGGUUUCAUGCAGCGCCACCUCGGAUAGCUCUAUGCACUUAGCGCUAGUGAUGAGGACAUCAACACCAACGAUACAUCCACGCCUACACAAGUACCAAUUUCUGGUCCUAUUACUCAUGCCCAUGCUCGUCAACUUAAUCAUCAAGAAAGUUCACUCUUGAGUUCCUAUUAAUCCUAUUUAGACCAUGGAUACGCAUGCACUCUUGUUUUGGUUAGGAACUAGGGAGAAAAAUGAAAGGGAAAAGGACUCGCGCAGGCUGGAUUCGGACUUCAGGAUAGCACAACCUUGUGAUGGUCACCACGGUCGCAUACGGACUUGGAUUGGAGCGUUCAAGUACUUUACGGAUUCGUUAUGAAGUUUAAUGUCAUAUGGAUUUAGACUCAAGUUCAUAUAUAGUCUGAGGCGGCCGCAAUGACCGAUUUACUACCGAGAGGUUUUCUGGUGCUGUGUCACUUUAAUUUGGCCCAAUGGGCCGUGUAUCAAGUCAGGUCCAAUAGAGAUGCGUCCUAGGGUUGGAGCACGACCCCAACACCCUGGUGGUCAUCCUCCUACCUUCAUAUACCCCUUAGCUACUACCAAGAACAGUUGGGUUUUGUUUUGAUGUAAGUUUAGCCAUUGCUACUUCCUUGUAGACGCAUAUGUCGACUAGACCAUCCGUUCUACUCAAUUUAGAACCCUAACUUUGUGAUUUCAGAUUAGCUUUUAUCUCCAUAGUUGCAAUAGAGUUGCUUGUUCUACUUGUUCUUGCUUGUUCCUUAAUUGCCUGCAGAAAUUACCCUAGUGGUUUGGUUGAUCGUGCUCCACAAGAUCACGGCGACCAUUGGAGGUUGGGUAUCGGUUGCUAAGGAGCAGCAUCCUUGGAUGGUUGUAGUCAGGCCGUGAAUGUCGUCUCCAUCUACCAAUCGAGUUAUCCCACACCUCUCAUCAAAAGAUCGGGAAUCAACCCUAGCGGAUUCCUAUCAGCUAGUACUACUGAUGCGAUCUAGCUAGCCCCAUGAUCAAGUCGGAGGGCAUGGAUGGGCGGGCGCCAACGAGUAGAUUUGGAACCUUCUCAGAGAGACAAAGUUCACUGACUUGCUGGGCAAGUGGCAUGACUAUCCUUGGAUGGAGAACUUGUCCCACUGGAAUAGAUCCAGUGGGAGCCGAGUUGGUGCUGGAUGCCGAGUCGAUGGGAGUCGCCAAGUUGACAGGAGCCAUCGAGUUGAAAGAGAAAGUGGUCAGAUUUGAAUCCUCUAGCAUGGUUUUGAUCUGAAUCUGAACCGGGUUGGUAAGGAGGUCCUUCAUGCUCUCGGGAAAAACAACUCCAGGAUGGGAUGCCAUCGAGGUCGCAAAAAAGAUCUCGCAACCCACCCUACUUGGCGCGCCAACUGUCAGAUUUAUAAGCCCAGUAGUCCACCAGGGGGUUACCCAAGUGGUUGAUUUGAAGGUGAGGGUGAUUGCGAAACCAAGAACUCGAAGGUGAUCAUGAGAACACAAAGGGGACAAAAGGUUUUUAGAUAGGUUCGGGUCUCCGGAGAGUAAUACCCUAUGUCCUGUAUGCGUGGAUUGUAUUGCUUGGUAUGAGAUGAGUUGUCCUCAGGGGGUGCCCUUGGCCGUCUUAUAUAGGCUGACAAUCAAGGAUUACAAGUCGGUUUGAAUCUAAUCUACUCAGUAUUUACAUGAAAAACAAUCUGAGUUGGGCUACAAAAUGCAUCCCACAAUGUCCGGAUAGAUUUGAACAGUCUUGUUGCCUUGACGUGUACUCAAGUAACUUCAUGUCCUUGACCCACAUGCCCUAGUCGGGCGGUCCUACCCCUUAGGUCCAGCUAGUAUCCUCAUCAGUAGGGACCCAUAGGGUACCCAUAUCCCUCAGUCGGAGUCCCGAGAGGGUGAGCCCCUAGGAGGGUCCUUCGUUUGCCCGUCAAGCCACCGGUCCUGAGAGUCCUAGGAGGGUCCUCAACUGGCGCUAUUUCCCCAAGGCUAUUGUCGGGAGUCCCUAGAAGGGGCGUGUCGGUGGUGCGCUCGGGCGAUGUGCUGCUCCCACCGGGAGGUGGAUCCUGCUCUUCCCUUUCAACCACUAGAUCCAUGCUCACCACCUGUGGAGUUGCGGUGAUGUACAAGAGCAGCGGCUCCUCAUCUCUGGGGUGACUAAUAUCGGCAACAUCGAGAGGUACAGGUUCAAUCGCUUCAGGGCUUCACUUUCUUCCUCGGUCCACUCAAAACGCCCGCUCCUCGAGCCUUGAGAUCAAUCAUCCUAGGGCUACCAUGCAGCUGGUAAGGCGCUACACAUCCUUUUGGCGGGUGGAAGGCUGCAUGCACUCGAUGGCUUCCAGCAUCUCAGGGUUGGCUUCUAUCCCUCAGUUGAAGAUAAGGAAACCCAAGAGAUUCCCUGAUGGUAUUUCAAACACGCACUUCUCCAGGUCGAGCUUCAAGCAUAUCGCUCAUGGAUUGUCAAAUGUUUCGGACAGAUCCUCGAGCAACGUAGCUUGAUCCUGGGUGUUGAUGAUGAUGUCAUCGACAUAAAACUUGAUGUUUUGGCCUUGUUGGUCUCCCAACGUGAUGCACAUGGUCCGCUGGAAGGUGGGACCGGAAUUCUUUAGGCCAAACAGGAUGCGUACGUAACAAUACGUUCCCACUGGGGUGGUGAAUGUUGUCUUCUCCUCAUCCUCCCUUAACAUGCUUAUCUGGUGGUACCCGGAGUACACGUCUAGAAAAAAAGGAGGUCACAUCCUGCUGUGGAAUUGACAACCUGGUCAAUGCGGGGUAGCAGAAAAGGAUCCUUUGGGCAGGCCUUAUUGAGGUCGGUGUAGUUGACGCACAUCCGAAGCUUCAUGUUUGCCUUCAGCCCGAUGAUCGGGCUGGCCAACCACUCGGGGUGGAUGACCGGGCUGACCAACUACUCUGUGGGCUGGCCUCUAGCAUCUUGCAGACUUGCUUGCGGAUGAAGUCGUGCCUUUUUGAGGCCCACCAUCAUACUUUUUGCUGCACGGGCCGCACAUUAGGACGCACGGCUAGCUUAUGCUCGAUCACCUUCCUGGGGACCCCAAGCAUGUCCAAUGAUUCCCACGUGAACAUGUCUUGUUUGCCCAGAGGAAGGCGAUAAGCGCGCUUUCCUAUUUGCGGCCCAGCUGGACCCCGAUCUUGGCAACUUUGUCGGGGCCAUCCCUAAGCCGAACCUCCUUGGUGAGCGCGGUGUCAUUAGGGAUGAUGCACUACUUGGUUGGGGGGUGCGAGUUCUGCUCUAGGCGCUCAUCAUCAUCACUGGCGCAGCCGCGGCCAGGGCCUUAGAGAGCUUCUCAGCACAAUACACAACCCCUCUUACGUUGGUUUUCACCGAGAUGAUCCUGGGAUCUUCAGGGUCGAGUAUGCAUAGUGUACUGCCACCAUGAACUUAUCCAGCUCUGGUCGGCCUAGGAUGGUGUUGUACACCAAAUCAAAUUCCGCCACAUCGAAGGUGAUGUUCUCCGUCCGGAAGUUGUUUCAGUUGCCGAAAGUGAUGGGUAGUGUUGGUUUAGAGCAAGCUCUUCACCAAAGACUUGAAUAAAGAACACAUGAAUGGGAAACAACACUCUCUUAGGGCUUGUAUUUCUCCAAAAAUGUGAACCCUUGUACAGUACAGGUGCCUCCCCUUUUAUAUGGAGGCCAACGGACUUUUACAUACUGAAUUUACCCUUAUUCAACCACUACUUCCAAGAAUAUACUGUACAUUUUUGUAAAGAAAGAGUCCUAAACUAACUUGGACACCCUAAAUGGGUCGCGCUAUUCAUGCUACUAGGGUCACGUUCACAACGUGACCCCAAUCUUCUACACCUUCGCUUGAGAAACUUGGGUUGGCCGCCGGAUUAUAGGUUGCCGAGGAGUACAACAAAGACCAACUCACAACCUCAACCUAAAAGUCAUCCACGUUGCCUAUGGAGGAAACACUGGGCGUCGGAGAAGGGGCGUCACCAACUUCAAUUUCCAUGCUUGAGACUCCCUCUACUUCCUCGGGGUCCUCCUCCUCCUCCUCCUGAGCCAUAGGCUCAUCCAGCUGCAUCUCCAAAGUGUGGAUAGCAUCGAGCCCAGCAUGGUGCUCAGCCAAGUGCGCAUUAGCAACCACGAGCUCCAUCUCAACCUCCAAUUUUCCUUCAGCAAGGUGCAUCAUAUCCUGCUCCAUGUCAGUUGCUCUUUCCUCUAGCUCGGUAAUCCUGGUCUGCAUGUCGGAGACCUGUAUGCCCCUCUGGAUAAGCUGAUAUGACUAUUCCACCAAAUCUCUCUUGGCGGUGUUGAAAUGCUCCUGGGUGUCUACAGCUAUCCGUGCCAAGAUAGCCCUAGCCCUUCCCUGAAGCUCAACCAGUCGGUACAAAGUGGUCAUGCACCGUGUCGCUUUGGAAAUGGUGACCAGCGAGUGUGAGGCAGCCAACACCUCCAUGUUGUUUACUCAGUCAAGACAAGCCGGGUCCAUCCGAUCCCUGGCGGGGAACAAACCAAUCGGGUCCAAAAGGACCUCAAACGGGUGUAGCCGGUAAAACUGAGUGAGAGCCUGCAAGGCAGCUGAUUCCCAAGUAUCCUCAAGGGUGUGACCAUAGGUCGAAACCUUGAGCUGGGGCCACUCGGGCUGCACUAGGGGUGGAGGUACCAACACUUGCACGUUGCAUCGCUGCACUCCGUGCUCCCGGUACUCACGUCCCGCGUAAAGAGGCGGCGACUGGUGCCCAAACCACCUCAAGGUGUCCCACAAAAUAGUAGGAAAACCCUCAAAGUGUAGGCAUGUGGAGUAGGAGGAGCCAUCAACACCACGAAACACAUGUCCAGGAGCAGCCAUCUAGAACCAAAAACCGAAAGAAGCAUGAGAUUGAAACCCCAAAGGAGAAACAUAUUCUGGGAGGCUAGAAAAGCUCAAAACUUCAACAAGGGUUCAUUCAAAACUUCCAAGUUACUACCAGCAUUCUCUCCUGAUAGUUGGCAACAAGUUUUGGAGAGAGAGGUGGAGUGAAAACAGAUCAGACAGGGUGAAACACUCGGUUUUCUGACCAGAGCACAUGCUGAAAAGGUAGCUAGAAAUCCUUAAAUCAAGGAAGAGCUUAAAACCAGGGCAAGGUUGUUUUAAGGAUGUGGGUUUACAGAUUUUAGUUCAUGACGCAUGCACAACCUACCUCAUCCUCUCAACCAAAAAUAACAGCCAAAAGCCUUGGUCUUACGUAGUUAGUGCCGGUGGCAAGGCAACAAUUAUGCCACUCCCUAUAGUAUCUAGUCGGUCUCCAAUAUCGUUUCUCUUAGGCGAACGUGAUUAGUGUACCUGCAGAAAACACAACCACAUGAACCUUUCGUGCCAGCACACACGAAAGCGUUCCCAAGCAUUACCGUUCACUAUAGAAAUGGUACUCAUGCAUUUAACGCUGCAUGGACAGCGCAACAACUGUGGAAAUAGGUCCCCUUUGAAUAGGACCAUAUAACCCUUCGCAUACUCGUGAUGAGGAAUCAUGCGCACGUGUCAUAGACGUGGGCGAUCAACCAUGAUGAUAGGCCCGUUGGAAUUGGACCAUACCAACCAUCGCAUGAGUUAACAUACGGAACCUGCGCAUGUAUGAUAAAUGUUGGCGAAAACAACCGCGAUGAUAGGGUCCUUUGAAUAGAAUUCCUUAUCAACCCUCGCAUACUCGUGAUGCGAAAAUCGGCACAUGUAUGAUGCAUGUGGCGAAGUGCUGGAGGUUAGCAAAAUAACCAAUAAGUAAUAGCCACCUAAAAUAACCAAAAAGUUCCCCUAGAGCCUCACGUACUAAGGUCAUCCUUAACGAUCGUAUGACAUUUUUCAACACAUUUCUUGCAAAUUUUCUUUAGAAAAAACAGUGUUGAGGAUCCAUUGUCUUCUCUGUCCUGCUAACCUGCUCUGGUACCAGCUAUGGUGGAACCACUUGGAUUAACUUAACUAAAGCACGGUUAAGUCGCCUGACACGCGAUCACAUGCUUUAAUCAAGUUAACUCGGCAGUCCGUCGGAUUUCAUCCGAUAGAACCACUAUACAGGACCGAAUUAGCAGAGCUCACACGAAGGUGAGUGGUUCCAGAGAAUACAACACACCAUCCAACAAUUAAACAAGUUCAAUAAUUUAUUACAACACUGUUUCAAAAAUCAGAGUUUUACAGAGUUUUUAAGCAGCGGAUAAAGAUAAACCAUCGGAAGCUAGCGCCGGGGGUCGAAUGUCACUGAUGAGGCUGAUUAGGACAUCACUGAUCCCUCUCCUCGCCGUCCGAGGAGGGAUCCCACUCGACCGUCCACCUGGGAGGAAGCUUGGGAGGCCAAGUGCCACAAGCGGUAGAUUCGGAAGCUUCAACAUCACCUGAAAGAUGUGCCACAAGCAAGGCUGAGCUGCUAAGCUCAACAAGACUUAACCGACCGGUUGGAAACUACUCCACCAACUUCUAGACAUGCAAGGCUCUUUGGCUGAGGGGUUUGUUUUGCCAAAAGUGACUACAGUAGGUCCUUAUUUUCAAUAUUUUAGCUCAGAUUCUAAGUUCAUUAACCAGUCUAUAUUAGCAACAUAUGCUAAACAAACAUAGUUUCCAAACAACUUAAGGAACAAGCAUCAAGGUUCAUAUCAUCAUCAUGUUCCAUAUUUACUCAGUGUAGUAUAGUGAUCAAGCAGUCUCAAUCUGUGAGAGGCAGACGAAUCGAUUCGAAUUUCUUAACCAUGCAUGGCGAACCUAAUCUCACGACAUCCGCGCACCACAAAGGGUCGCUUCCCUUGUCAGACGUCCCCAUCAAUCCCCUGACUCGUGUCAGGCCCACUUCUCUUGGUACAAGGCUCCACAGACCCAGCCUCUGCCGUUCUGUGACCACACUUGUCACCACAUGCGGCCACAAGGGAAAACUCUAUUCCAUAGACAGCGGAUCGAACCGCUCACGUCCUGGUUCAAUCAGGUACUAGGCUUCCGCAUCCCAUACUAGGUAUGAGAUUAGUACUUUCAAACACUUGAUCACGAACACUAUCACAUCUCGACCUUAGUCCAAUUUCAAGUAGACAGACGGGGCAAUCCACCGACCACCAAAAUAGUUCACAAGGCCCUGCCCCAUCCACCGUCCUUAUAGUGGUGACAAAGGAGAACAAGCAACUCCUAUAACUCACGAGUGACAGGGAAUCACUCGACUUUUACUGAGUCCUGUUAAGCACUGCAACUACUCGGCCUAUCAUACUAGUGUUCAGAUCAAGGGGACUAAGUCAUGCAUCUCUGGUUUCAACCAAUUCCUGUAACGUAAAUGCACAUACAUACAAAUGAAGGCAUGCACAAGUUUAGAAAGACUGGGUUAUGCUCCAGGGCUUGCCUUCGAGCGAGGUGGAAGCGAACUGAUCUUCGACGCUCUCGAGUUCAGCUCCCGCAGGCGGCAGCUCGGCUACAACUCCAUCUUCUACCACCGGGUGCAGUUCGUACGUGCCGUCAACGAGGUUUACCUCUGCACGGAAUGCAAAAGCAAGGGUCAACAUUUAGGUGGUUAUUUCAACAACACUUGCAAGAUUUAGCCUAGAAACUAUAGCAAAACUAUAGGAAAGGUGUGAAAUCCCAUUUUAUUGGAUUCUACUCAGAAAGAGGAUUCCAACCCAAGUGAUUUCACAUUUUUCUGAGUUUUCCUCGAUUUAAGAUGGAUUUCGCAAGCUUGGUCGAUUCAGACAAAAAUAAAGAGUCAGAUCCGGAAAAACUUACGAUCUGACCCUUAGACCUAAGGAAUAACUGUACCGGGGUCCUUAGACUUAACACAGAGAAGUUCCCAAAAUUUUACAUGGAUACCCUUGGUCAAAAGAAAAGGGUACAGCCGAGCCCUCAGGCGAGGCGGACAAGGGUCGGGCGAAGCAGAUAGGGGUCGGGCGAAACGGAAAGGGGUCGGGCGAAACGGAUAGGGGUCGGCAGCUUACCUUUGGGCCUACUGACGAAGUCUUGGGGUUGGAAGAAGCAAGCUCAGGCGGAACGACGAAUGGCGCUAAGUUUCGGGCGGCGGUGGCGCUUCUUGAGGGCAACAAGCACUUUCUAGCACAUCGCGAAGGAAGGCGAAACGGCUGGUGGGGUGUUGGGUGGAAAGGGAGCUCCAUAGAGAGCUCAGGCGGUGGCACUUGCGCAUGAAGCAGAGAAGCGUGCGGCGGCGAGUGCGCUAGAGAAGAACAAGUAAGCAAGGCGGAAAGGCGGUGGUGGCAAAAGGGAACUUCGGUAAGAGGCUUCGAUACUCCCUUUUAUAGUUGCGCGGAAGAGAAAGAGUUCGAGCAGCGCGAGGAUAAGAUCGAAGAGGAGGGAGUGCUCUGCCAUGGCGGCGAUUGGUCGACGUCUCCAUUGGCCGGUGAAGCGGAACUCCGGGAACAGGGUCUUACGGUAUUGGGCACUGAAGACAGCGCUAUGCAGGAGCGGUUUUGCCGGACGGAAGGAUUGGCGAGGUAGAGCGCGUGUUUGGUCGCGUCAGGCGCUGGAUUGGCUGCGGCGGCUCUGUAUCGGCGGACAGGAGGGGGAGAGAGACACUGCAGGUGAGGGCGCUGCAGGCGAGGUGACAAGGCAAGCAGUGAUGCUAGCAGUCGCGGGACUAGCGGCUUUGCCGUGGCACGCUACUGGCAAGGCGGGGGAAAGGAGUCGUCAUUGCCGGCUUAGUGGUUGGCGAAUGCAGUAUCGUCGCGGGGCGCGUGCAUGGGCAGUGCGACUGGGGGACGACGGAAAAGCCAGAAGGCGUUGGGGCGCGGCCGGGGAUCCUGGUGAGGAGACGCGUGCAGGAGGCGAGGCGGACUGGCGCGGCAGCGGGCAAUCUUCGGUCGCAGCGGUGGCAGGGCACCUGGCGCGGCUGGUGAGAUUUCGGGCGGGACGAGAUGGGGUGGAAAAGUCUGCAGGGCGCUUCCGCACGCGAUUGGGGAGGAGGCGCGCUGAUCCCUGUUAUUGCCGCCGGCGACUGGGCGAGGCGGGGCUCGUCGGUGAGGUCAUGCCACGCGGCGGCGGCGCUCUGAAACAGGGCGCACGCGCUCUCUGGCGCUCUUGGCCCAAGAGGUCCGCGGAAUCCUUUCUGGGUCCAUCAUCCAGCCUCUUGCUCUCCCAAUUUUCUGAACUGCACCACUUUGACUCCCUUAACAAGAGUUGUAGUACUCAAGCCAAGGCCCAACUCUUGUAAUUGGUUUGAGUUCAAAAACGUAGUGGAUUUGGGGAUCUAAAGCUUCAAAGUUUAGAGGAACACUGGUUUUGGGACUUAGAGACAAACAGCGGGUUGCUGAGUUUCAGGGGUCGGGGCUGAUUUGAACUGCAGUUUUGGGGAUCUUCGGAGGUGAAUUGGACCAAGGUCCAACUAACAAAGUUGUAGCACAGACUUCAUUCUCCAACUUCCAUAAAGGAAUUUCUGCGCGUUUAGCUCAACUUACCAAAGAUAAGUCCGCCCUAAGGCGUGAGAUCAGACUAAUUUUCCAGACUUAGCCGUAAUGGCUAAAGGAGUUUGAGUUGACCAGAUCAGGGAACUUGUCUUAAGAUUAAGCUCGGCUGAUCUAAAUCUAGAUCGUUACAAGGAGGCGGUGGAGGAGGAGGAUGGCACGGUGGAUCCGGAGGAGGAUGGCGUGGUGGAGGAGGAGGAUGGGGCGGUGGAGGAGGAGGAGGCUGCCCGGCGAGGGGGGGCUGGCAGCAAGGGCGGUGGGGUUGAGGGGGAGUUGGGAGAAGAAGGGGGGUCGGUGGUCGGUGGUGCAGUCCCGGGGUGGUGCUACGACUGGUACUAAAAGUUUUCGAACCUUUAGUACCGGGUCAUAACACCACUCUGUAUUAAAGGGUCACUUUUAGUACCUGGUAAUGUUAUGAUCCCGUACUAAAAGACCUCCUAGGAUCACAAAUUUAGACCCAGUAGUGAUGCUAAUAUUAGUACCGGAUUAAAAUGUAACCGCUACUGGAUUCGAGAACGAAUAUUCGUAUUUGUAGUAAUGAUUACGGAGAGAGAGAGAUUGUAAUUUGGCUGCUGCCGUGGCACCGAGGUAUGCUGUGUACUUGUGUUUAUGUGAAAAUGCCUUGACACCUGGUGUGACUGCGGACCGAUGUGUGGGGGCGGCAGCGGCUCCUCAGUCUCGAGGAUGACGGUGCUCCUAGAUCUUGCCCCCUCUCUUAUUUGGUUGAGCUCACCUGUUUUGGCUCGUUUCUCCUGCAGUAACUCCGUUCUGCGACGGCUUUCCGCCUUCCGGCGAGGACAGCACGACCGCUGCGGUGUCGUGUGCGGCGAAGAGCUCCACAACAUCUUCGUGGGUGACUCUGGGGCGGCCGAAGAGCAAAACGGAUCAGCAUUGGUAGACUGGGACGGACGAUCUUCCACGACUCCAAGAAACGGAUAACAUGUUCCGGAUAACCUUUGGAAGCGUGCAUGCAUUACAUGUGGGAAGUCCUAAUAAAAGACUAAUCGAGGUUAAUUUGAGCAUUUCGCUAUCAGUUUGUUACGUGAGUGUAAUAAGUUCUAUGACUGUUAACAAACCCACCGUUAAAUACAUAUCGAGGAGAUGGAGAUCUUAACAUUGACAAAGCCAUAUCGCAUACUUUAUUCGUUCCAAAUUAUAAAUCGUUUUUGCUUUUCUAGGCGCAUAGAUGUUUGUAUACUUCUAAAUAUAAUGUAUGUCUAGAUGCAUACAAACACCUACAUAUAGAAUUAUAUCUAAAUUCAUAACAAAAUCUAUAUAUGUAGAACAGUCAAAACUAUCUACAUUUUGAAAUGGAGGGAGUAUAUGUGUAUAAUUUUACGGGUAUUAGGAUUUUGAACCCCCACUGCUGGGGAAUCCGCCUUUAGUACCGGGUGGGAACACCCUUUAGCACCGGUCGUGCAACCGAUACUGGUAUAUCGGUACUAAAGGGGACCUUUAGUAUCGGUUCAAAUAACCGGUACUAAAGGGGGGCCUUUAGUACCAAUUGUAUACACCAACCGGUACUAAAUUAUCUGCCACAUCGUGCGUGGCUGAGGCCAAUUUAGUACCGAUUUGAAAUACCGUACUAAGCUAUUUUUCUUUUUUGUUUCUUUUCUCUUUUUAUUUUCUAUUUCUUUAUUCUAUAUUAGUAUUUCGUAUUUGAUUGCUUUACGUAUACUAGUUCUUUACGUAUACUAGUUCUAGUACGCUAAUCUAUAUAAAGUUAUAUUUAAUUUAUAAUAUUAUAGUUGAGAUAAUAUUAUACAUAGACAUAUUGUGCAUAUACAUAUAUGAAUAAUAUUACAUUGCAUUAACUUUCCAAGUUCAACAUUUUAGAUCAACUAUCCUGAACCCACCUGACGGUGAUGUAGAUUCAAUCAGUCAUUAUGGAACUUUACCGCUGGAUUUAGUACCUCAUCCAAAGGAAAUUCGCUGAGUUGUUCUUGAAUUGCCCUGAUUUUUUCCGUCUCGAGUUCUUCCUUCAUGUGUAUAAUCUGUGUCAUUAGCAAAGGUUAUUAUAUUAGAUCAAUGGAUUUGCACAAUUAGAACUAAUAUAUUAUUAAGAAACUUGUCUACGUACUAUGAUUUCAUGGCCGGUCACACGUUUCGGACCUACAAAGCCAUGAAUGAACUCACAAACAAAGUAUCCGUAUAAAUUAUUCUCCGGAUCCUGCCUCAAACACUAUACAUAUGGCAAAAGAAGUUAUGAAAUAUUUAUUGUGUUCAAGGAAGUGACACGAGAUGUGCAAAUUCAAUACAUACCAGAAAUUCAUAGUGGAUAUAAAGUUGCUCCUUGAAUUCACCUGAGUGAUGUUGAUGGAAGCGAGUCCAUACUUUGUUAAGCAUAACUAUGAGGACGGCGUACUGAUCUCUUGGUCUGCUCAAACAGUCCAUGAUAUAGACUAUGCUUCGAUCAACCAUAAUAAUAAGGAGUAUCCAGUGAAAGCUGUACAUAUAUGUAUAGUGAAAAACUAUUUAAUCUUAUUUUUAACUAAUAGUUCAAAAAAUAAAAGAGAUAGGAAACACACUCACUUGAAGUUGUACGACAGAAGUAUGUACUUCAUGCAAUGUCUCUUGUCCAAAAAAUUAUAUAUAUUCUUCAAGGUCCGAUUUUGUUUAUCUCCUACAGUUGCCUCAUUUAUAACAUCUGGCCCUGUGAAGCCAACAUCAUAGAAUCCUUUAUUCCAGCAAGUUUGAAUUUCCAUCCUGCAUGAUACAAAAUAGAAUAGGAGAUAAGACGUUGCACAAUGACUAGAGCGGGGAUUUAGAAGUUAGAGCAAAUUAAAUACUUACAAAACUUAGGAACUGAUGUGGGCCUUUAGUACGGGUGGAGGCUUCAAUCGAUACUAAUGUAUGACCUUUAGUACCGGGUGAACUCUUCACCCAAUACUAAAGGGGAGCAUGGGCCCAACUGAGGAACUAGUCAUCAGAUUCAGUACUAGUGCCAACCAGUACUAAACCUCGGGAGGAAUGCUGAGUUUUCCAGUAGUGCCCUUUUGAUAAAGUGGUACCUUAUUUCUCUAUCACCAUAUGAAGAGUUGGUUUCCCUAUAUCCACCAGUGGAAAACCCACCUUUAGUCCCGGUUGGUAAGCCUCAUAGGUCCCGAAAAACCAACCGGGACUAAAUAUUCGGAACUAAAGGUCCCCUCUUUAGUCCCGGAUCAUAUACCUGGGACUAAAAAUCCCCUUUAGUCCCGGUUGGCAGUACCAACCGGGACUAAAAAGUUAAAAAAGUGCGGGCUGCCCGCACCGGCCGCCCGCUCGCGCCAGCCCCGCCCUCGCGCCUGCUUGGAAGAAAGGGAGAAGAGGAGGAGAUAAGAUAAUAAAGAAGACAAGGGAGAAAGGGAGAGGAGGAGAAGAUAAGGUGGAGAGAGAGCGGGCCGCAUGGAAAGGGGGCUUUUAGUCCCGGUUAGUAAUUCCAACCGUGACUAAGGGGGGGCCUUUACUCCCGGUUGGUGUUUCCAACCGGGACAAAACGCCCCACCAGAUUUUUAUGCCUCACUAGCCAUUACAACCGGAACUAAAAGGAAGCCUUUAGCCCGAGUUGAUAUUUCACAACCGAGACUAAAACUCCUCCCGUUUGUGGUGGCCUUUUGACCCGGGACUAAAGGCCCUUUAGUCCCGGGUCCAAAGACAACUGGGACUAAAAAUGUUGAAUGGAAAGUCUCUUCUCUACUUAGUGAUCUAUGUAACUUAUUUAGGGGGUGUUUGGAUUAUAAAACCAAUUGCACGGAUGGAGACUAAUUUGCAAGACAAAUCUAUUAAACCUAAUUAGUCUAAGAUUUGACAAUAUGGUGCUACAGUAAACAUGUGCUAAUGAUGGAUUAAUUACGCUUAAUAGAUUCAUCUCGUGAAUUAACCUCCAUCUAUAUAAUUAGUUUUAUAAGUAGCUCAUAUUUAAUCCUCUAAUUAAUAUCCGAAUAUUCAAAGUGACGGAGACUAAAGAACCAAACAACCCUUAAAUCUCUAAAUUCUUUCUGAAAAAGAAGAGUAGUAAUAAUCAUCUCAAUCAUUCAUGCUACUGUUCAAGAAAGAAAAAACGAUCGCUGAGCAGCCAAGAUAGUACCGCAUGCGAAUAUAAAACUUAAACACUCACGCAACUAUAUAUAUGGCAGGCAAAGGCUACUUUCUGUACCAGAAAACACGACCACCUAUACACCAGAACAAGUUCGUACGAGGAACUAGGAACCAUGGAUGUGGCAUACCAACUCCUGCAAGUGAUCACCACACCUCUAGCACUACCACUCCUACUGCUAGUCCCCCUCCUGCUGCUGCUCCCCUCCACCUCUCGCCGAAGCCGUCAUGGCAGCAAGCAGCAACUGAAGCGUCCCGUGCUGCCUCCUUCCCCUCCGGCCCUGCCCAUCAUCGGCCACCUGCACC